rnacentral:lncRNA from 1 species
AAAACACGUAUACAGUCUGUCAGUUCACGUUACCCCUUACUAAAAUACGCUAAGAAAAGGAUUUCACAUAUUCAACCCUAAGAGAAUGUUUCAUAAGAUAAAUCUUUGUUUGAAAUGAAAGAUAUUUACGCAACAAUAAAAAAGAGAACGAAAAUGGGUAAGAGGAAACGUUGGAAUUUGUAAUGAGGUGUGCAGGGAGGAUUUUAUUACCAUGUGGUGUGAUGCAAGGGUGGUAUCUAGUAGUGGUAAGGAGGAGGAGGAGGAGGGGAUUUGUAGUAGUAGUGGGGUGGAGGUGGUGAAGGGACUGGAGGAGGAGGAGACUUGUACUUAUAAGGCUUCUUGUGAGGUGAUGGUGGAGGAGAGUGGUAAACUGGGGUGGGGACAUGGGGAGGGUAGGUGGGAACUGGUGGCGGUGGGGAGUGGUAGACUGGGUGGGGGUGAGGGUAGCGGUGCCUGUGCACUGGUGGAGGAGGGGAAGAGUAUUUGUAUGACUUCUUAGGAGGGGGUGGAGGAGAGUGGUAAACUGGGUGUGGGUGAGGGUAAGGCUUGUGCACUGGUGGUGGGGGAGAUGGGUAUUUGUAUGGCUUCUUUGGUGGUGGAGGUGGUGGGGAGUGGUAGAUUGGGUGAGGGUGAGGGUGAGGGUGUGGGUGAGGGUAAUGGUGAGGAGGGGGUGGAGGAGAUUGGUAGACUGGGUGUGGAUGAGGGUAGGGCUUGUGCACUGGUGGUGGUGGAGAUUGGUAGACUGGGUGUGGAUGAGGGUAGGGCUUGUGCACUGGUGGUGGUGGAGAUGGGUAGUGGUAGGGAGGUGGUGGUGAGGAGACUGGUGGAGGUGGAGGAGAGGAGUAGGAGUAGUGGUUGCCGGAGAUUUGAGAUGGGAGGCUGAAAAGGAUAAUGGCAAAUGCAAGAGUGAUAGAAGCAGAGGCCAUUAGGGACCCCAUUUUCCUCCAACUGAGUUUUGGUUAUGCUCUAAAGUGAGCUUCUGCAUCCCUUUUUAUAGUUGCUUCUGAACCAUUUAACUCCAACCUACACCUUUCUUAACUCUACUUUUUUUCACUUCCACACUCACCUUCUCGGAAACACGUUAUCACGUACGUAAUCCUGGUUUUGAACUAUUGCCAUGACAUUGACUUUCAAACCCUUUGGAACACGGUUUUGGAUUCGAUUCAUCUAUCAAAAUAUUACGUGCCUUUUUUUAUGCAGAUCUCUAAUCAAAAUAUCAACUUCAUUUGAUGAUGUGUAAUGUAUUCUUCCUAUUAUGCAUGUUGUUGAAGUAAAACUUCACUUAUGAUCAUGAUUGAAUAGGAGCAUUAAAAAAUACUAACCAAAAACAUCUAAGUUUUGUUGCUUUGAAACUAAUUAAGAAGGUUAACAUUACAAGUUAAAUAUGGUAAACUUAUUGGUUUGAAUUAUUCUGAGUCAUAAAUAUUGUAUUGUAGAAGUGCUUUUGAUUGUGUAGAAAUGAAAAAGGUAAAAUAAAAAUAAGUGCAGGGAUGCCAGACUGUGGAGUCUGUAGCUAGGCUGAAAUGCUGACACAACCUUUAUUUUUCUCUGUGUGGCGGAAGAAAAGACAAACAAUAUGAUUUAAUUAUUUGUUGCUUCUAGCACUGAAACAUCACUCUGUUAAAAAACAUGCAUAAUUUUUGGGUACUACUUUUUCGUUAAAAUAAUGACAUAAAUGAAUUCAGCUGUAUCAAUUGAGGAACUAAAGUAAAAAUAUGGAUAAAUUUUUCACAUAUUUUAAAAAUUAUUUUUCUAACUUACUUUCCCAAUUCAUAUCUAAUUUCAGAAUCUUUGAAACUUGUACUUGUCUAAAGUGGUACUGCAUGAUAUAGGGGCACCUAAAACUACAUAUUUUUCAUCCUUCCCUGUCAUUAAUUAAGUAUUUAUUAAACUAUUUUUUCAGUUCUAAUAACUGUAUGAAAAAAAAAAAUCUCCACUGAACAAACUACAAGUUUUUUUUUCUCUUUUUUUUAUAUAUUUUAAUAAGUAUUUUUAGAAAACUAAAUAAAAAGGAACUCAAACAUUUUUAUAGGCUAAAUUUCUUUAAAAAAUUGUGCAUCGUAAGAAGGAUAAGUGGGAAGGUUUCAACUUGGGAGAUAACACUCUAAAGUGAAAAAACAUUUUAAAUUGGGAGUUGAACUUUCUUUGCCAGCUCAAUGCAGGUCCAUAUAUAUAUAUAUAUAUAUAUAUAAUAUUAUUAAAAAAAAUUAUAAAAUAGAAACUAAAUUUUUAUAGACCAAAAUAAUUAAUUAUAAUAAAUAAAUUAAAUAGUAACUAAAUUAAAGAUCACUUUAAAAUUAAUUUCAAAAUUAAUUUUUAUUAUUAUUAAAUAGUUUCUAAAUUGGUAUCUAAUUAUCAACUAAUGUUUUAAUUACCAAUUAUUUAGUUUCUAAAUUUGGUUUUUAAAAUCUUGUUAUUAAUUAAAUAUCAAUUUAAAAACUAUAUAAUAAUAAUAAAAAUUAAUUUAGAAACUAAAAUUUCUUUUAUUUUUUAAAAUAUCUAUAAUUUAGUUACUAUUGCAACUAAUUAUUUUGAUCUUUAAAAAUUGAUUUUUAUUUCAUGAUUUUCUUGUAGUACAUUGAUUAAUGCUUAAAAUAAAUUUAUUAAGUAAUAGAUUUAAGACGAGGUUGAUAUUUACUUACAUAUUAUAUAUUAUCAAAUAUUAUACUUUGAUCUAAAAUUUUCAGCACGUUUUCUUAGGUUGAAAUUUUCUAAUUCGUGGUAUUGUAAUUUUCUAAUUCGUGAUAUUAUAUAUAUAUAUAUAUAUAUUUUAUUUGAUAAUAAUAUAAUAACCGAGGAUAUGCUAAACUCAAUCAAUUUUGUUAAGAUAAACUUAACUCUGAUUUUAUAUUAAAUAAUAAAUUUUAAAUAUAAUUUAAUCUUAUAAACUGAAUUAUGAAUUAUAAAGUUAGGUUUAUAAUUAUUUGUAUAUUAUAAAAAUCUUCAUAAUAUUUUCAAUUUUUGUUAAAAUGUAUAUUCUUUUUAUUUUAUUUCUUGACAUUAUAAAUUAUACGAAAAAAAAAUGGUAUUCUAUGCUCCAUUCCCGAAAGCACCAUUUCACGUGCCAUUGUCAUGCAUUUCUACCUAUAAUAGCUUACUGGAGUAGGCCAAGACUCACGAGUUAUCCAAAGUAAUCUUUGUUUUCUAUUUUCCCUCUUUUUCGGGAACUUAAAUUAAAAUGUUUUUUUGAUUAAAUAUAAUUAAAGUUAAUUUAAACUUAUUAUAAUAUAAUAUUAUAAGAAAGGAUGUGGAUAAACACAGUCAUUAAGAAAAUGUAUUACUUUACAUAAUUGUGUAUAAAUUAUUAUAAUAUGAUCAAUUAUAUUAUUUUACAUGCUCAAUUAAAUGUUUUCAGAGAAUUAUAUUUGAAGUUGGAAAUAUUUUUGUAUGAAUUUCAAACUCUUUUUUCUUAAUCUGUAAAGCUGGGAUGAAUUAUUGAAUGAAAACUCCUCAACAGAUAAUUCAGAAGUGACUCAAAAUUCAGAAAACAGAAAGAGAAAAUCAAAUUAAAUUUAAUGAAUAGUUUUAUUUCCAAGGCAGCAUAGGGUAUCCUAAUUUCACUAAUAUUAAUUUGAAAAUUUACAGUAUUCGGGAUUUUAUUUUGUAAUGUCUUCUGUAAAUUGUUAAAUAUUAUUGUUGAGAUCUACCUACCUAUCUACCUAGCCAACUUCAUAAAAUAUUUAAUCACCUUUAAAAUUUAUGUUUUAUUAUCUUUAUCCAUGAAUUAAAUUUAAUGAUUUUAAAAAAUAAGUUUAUGUUACAAUUAAAAUUAUUUUACUGGUAUACAAGUAUAUUUUACAUAUUCAGAAAUAUUUAUUUGUUAUAAAUUUUAAUAACUGUAAUUUUGAUUUUCAAAUAUAAAUUAUAAUUGUAAAAUAUUUUAUAUAAUAAUUUUUUUUAUUAUAAUUUCUACUUAUACAAAACGUAAAUAUUUAUUCGAAUAAUACUCGUGAAAUUGCAUGUGCAUUUGUUGAAUCUGAAGAUGGGCUAGUAUAAUUAAUUUUUAUAGACAAAAAACUGUGAUUGUAUCUUUUCAAUAAUUUGUAAAUCAGUUUCUUUUCUAUGCAUAUACUGAUGAGACUUAAAUAAAGAUUUUGUGUAUUAGUUAAACAUAAACAAAUUUCAACCAUAUUGAUUCCUACUUAAAACACCAUUUCCAAUAAUAAUACAUACAAAUCCAUCCACAGAAAAUACAAAACGAUUUAUCAGAGCUAAAAUAUAAUGUAUGAUAUAUCAUAAUCUUUAUUAGCAUGUGCUUGCUACUAUAAUUAAUUAAAGUUUUAGACAAAAAUUACCUUUGAAGAUAACUUGAUACACCUAAAGAGUUCCAACAUAAUGCAAAGCUAAAGAAAUAUAGGAAAUGAGCGUGGGUGGUUCAGUGUGAAUUGGAUAGGAGAUAAGACUCUAUUAAAUAGACUUCCUGAAAGUCUAAAUUCACCCAAUCAAUCAAAAUAAGUUUGAAUUCAAACUUCAUUGCCAAAAUGAAUCUCUGUGACAUUUUGAUUAUUGUACCCAAAGUGAAAAUUGUAGCCAUGUGAACAUAAAGUUCUGAGUAAAGUGUACGCUUGACAUGUAUUUUGAGGAAGAAAACAUUGUUUGUGAGAAAAUCAAGUUGUUGCUGCACGACUUUGCAAUUGAAGUUGCCAAUAAUGAGAAAUUUUUUCAUUUUGUGCUUAUGCAAAGUUGUUAUUAACAGUGAAGGAAACUUUGAAAAGGAAGACUGAAAAAUAUUAUGACCAAUGCAAGAGUGAGAGAAGCAAAGGCCACUAAAGACCCUAAUUUCCUUAAAGUUGGUAUUGGUUAUAUGGUCAUGUUGAGAAACCCAAACUAGCCCCUUUUAUAUACCAUUUAGCUCUAAGCAUCUUCCUAACUUUAUUUGUUUCCUUCACAAUACUACACGCAUGCACCAAUGGUUUUAGGAGCAAGUGUCCCAAAGCGUUUUUGGAACGGUUGUGACUCUAAUUGCUUUUGGAACGUUGAAUUUGGAUUUCACAGGCUGCGUCCUAAUUAAGACAAAGCACGUUUAUUUUUCUUUACAUCCCAAAACAUAGCAUAAUAUAUAUUUAAUUAUCUUUGAUUAUAAGUUUCUAGCAUUCACAAAUUUCAUUCCCCAAAUUAUUUGUUUGUUGUUGUGUGUGGUUUAUAGGGAACUAAAACACUAGUUUAUAGGGAACUAAAUCUCUGAAACUAUAUUUGAUAGUUAUGAGAAACUAGUAUAUGGUAUUCACAUUUUCUCUGUUGUUGAUUGCACUGCCAUUGUAUUAUACAUGUAUCAAGAAAACGUAGUGACUUUGUAAUUCUGUUUCGUAGUUUUUACAUAAAAAAUUACUAGAUUUUGUAAGAUAUGAAGCAAGUGUGGGGAUUAUUUGUUCCUAGGGAAAGUUUUAAAGUGAACUUGUAAGUGUCUUCAAAUCUGUUUUGCACAAUAAAUAAGUGCGACGUAUUAGAUUUCAAACAUUGCAAAAUAAAUGUUACAUGUUUACAUAGGUUUUUUAUUGGUAAGUAAUUCAAUUUUUUUUAGAGGUGGUUGUGAUUUUAUUAUAAUUUUAAAGUCAAAUAAGUGAGUCGACGGAUAUUGGAUAUCAAACAUGGAAUAAAUUUUGCAGUUUUUUAGGCCUGUGAUAAGAAAAUACAUACAUUACAACAUUAUUUUUAAUUAAAAUAUGUUUAGGAAAAUGAAAUGUCUCAAUCUGUGUAGAGAUUAAACUCUAUAUAAUGCUCUGAUACGAAAUAUGAUAUCAUCGGAAGUGUAAUUAUUUGGCAUAUAUAUUAUACUUUAACAGCCGAAAACAAUCAUUUACCAAUUAAUUAUAUUAAUAAUUUAAUUAUAUAUUUCAUUUUUAAAAUUAAAUUAUUAAAAUAAAAUUGUGAAAUAUAUCUUAAAAUAUAAUUUUUCACAUAUAUAUUCGAUGUAACGAAACUGACUUUUAACUAAUCCGAGAAAUCGGGUAAGAACUUUUCGAAGAACUGAAGUGCCUCUCCAUUCUGAUAUUGACAAAAGGAAUUUAAAACAUUCAAAUCAAUACAAAUUAAAUGUACCUAUAAGACUGAAUUUCAUUUCAAUGAAUUUUAUGAGGAAAAAGAUAAAUAAAAAAUAAAAUAAUUCUUUAUAAAAUUAGUUUAUGUAUAAUUUAAUUUAUAAAAAUUAAAAAAUAAUUUUAAUUUGUGUAUAUAUAUUAAUUUUUAUUUAUAAAGAAAUUUGUUUUAUUUUAUUUUUCAUACUUUUUCUUAUAAAAGUCCUUUUAGAAAGACUAGUCUAAAUAUAUCCCAAAAAAUAUAUUAUUGUACUACGACAUCAGUACACUGACAUCAUGCAUAUGACAUGACUGAAAAACUUUACUUUGAUUUUAAUUUUUCACAUUUUUAUUCAUCUUCUCAAGUUUCUUCAAUUAAGUAAUAAUAAUUUAGUAAAAUAUUUUUUUAAAUGAUAAAUUGUUUAUUAUUUAAUUAUCUUAGUAUUUUUUUUAAUUAUUGUUAUUUAACUGAAUAAAUGGAGAAAAAUGGCGCGAAAUUUCACUAUUAAUAAAAAUUAAAUUUAGAGAUAAAUAAUUUUCUUUAUGAUAAUAAAAGUAAAAUAUAUAAUAAAAAUUGAUAUUAUAAUAAUUAUCAAAAUAAUUAUUAUUAUAAAAUAAAUAUUUUUAAGGCAUAAUUAAUUACCCUUUUUCUUGCAACAUUUUCUAACUUUAUUCAAUUUAAUCUCUAUAUUUAAAAAAUAAAUAAAAAAUGAUACCAAUCUUGUUUAGAAAGUUCAAUAUGAUUUCAACUUCUUUUACUAUUCAAUCUGAUUCCAAUGUUUUUAAGAGUUUAGGGUGGUCCCGUUUUUUUAAAAAUAACUCAAUAGGAUGAUUCAAACCUUUUUUUUUUUUAAAUCGCUAAGAUAUUAAAAUGAAGACAUUUAGCAUGAAGGAUCACAUUAAAUCGUUUCUAAACAAGAUUGAGAACAUUUUGAAUUUUUUAAACAUACGGAGAUUAAAUUAAAUAAAGUCAUAAAAUGUUGAAAAAAAAGUAAUUAUGCCUAUUUUUAAUUAAUUUUUAUAAUAUUAUAUACUACAAGAAAAUAUUUAAAUAAAAACUAAUUUUAGAGAAAAAAAAUUAGUUAUUAUAUUAAGUAAGUUAUAUACUAUUUUAUAAACUAAACAAUUUUUUAUAUAUAAAGUAGUUUUUAUUAUUAAUAAAAUUUACAAACUAGUUGUUAAAUUAUUAUCUAUCAAGGUUUUAGCUAUUAAUUAUGUUAGAUUAUAAAUUAAUUAGAUUAAUAAUAAGUAUAAUUGUAAACAGUUAUGUGUAAAAAGAAACUUUUAUUUUGAAAGAAUAAACCUUAUUAAAACCUUAUAAAAAAAAUCCUAUUGAGUUGAAGAACAUUAGGGAUAAAAUAUUGAGUUAAGGAAAAUUAGUACUUUAUCUUAUAUUCAACGCAAAUCAUAAUGUAUACACCAUAAAUCAAUCAAAAAGGUGUUUCUACCAUAGAUGUUUGGGGAAUACACUGAUAUCCCACAAUAUGUUGGGUAUAUUUUUGGCCCAAAGAUCUUUGGGUUCCCCAAGAUUCUUUUUGAGUUAUGGGUUUUGCGUGUAGGAGUAUGGUAAGUUUGUGACAUAUGAAGUUAGGAUCAAUCUCUAGCGUUUCCACUAGACUCCAUGUGAAGAGGUCAGAGUUACUGAAUAGUACCUUUUCUAUAAGGAUCUAAAAAUUUACUUUAGAGUAAAAGUGGUAUAUUUUAAAUGAUACUUGAAUAUUUUAUUAUUAAAAUGAAAAGAACAUAUAAAUAGAAAAAUCAUUUAUUCAGAUUUCAUUUCAAAAGAACCACCAUCUCUCUAGAAGUUUCUUUUUUCCUUUCCUCACCCUACUCUCUAAGAUUAUGACCUCCUCGCUCAUCAAUUUGACGAUCGGAGUCUGCUAUUAAACUCUUGGCAGCGAAGACUACAAGACUGCCCAAUCAAAAUCUCUUAUAGAGUAAGUUCAAUUUUACUCUUCUCUUUGAGUCAAAUUUUGAACUUGUAGGUCUGUCUCAAUUUAAGUUUACACAUUUGACUCUUUUAGCUUUAAGAUUAGUCUUUGUUAUCUCAGAGUCCUAGUCAUAUAGUUAAAAAUUUUAUCAGGACUUUGUGGUGCAUGUUAAGCUACUAUUGAAGCUUUUGGUAGGUUUGAAGCUCUUAGGCUUUGUUUGGAUCCAGGGGUGCCACUGUUGGCGACGACGAAAGUCACAACAACACCCCGUUUGGAUCCAUGCAUUGUUGCGGGUGAGGGUGCAGCGAAAGAGAAAGUUGAGUGAAUUGUGUUUCUUCUGAAAGAUGAAGAGAAAGUUUCACUGUGCAGUGCAAGUGCCAAGUCAUCACCACGAAAUUCCAAUGAUGCCCUUACUUUUGUGUUGGAAUCAAGAAGCACAGUGGCUGUGCAUGCAUGCCAGAUGAAAGCAUGAAAUUCCUGACUUGGCUCAGGAAUCUAUUGACCAUGUGAAAGUUUGAAACCUCAUCAAUGAAAUGGGUGAGAGGUAGGUGCGUGAGAUUUUUGGUUUCUUUAUAAACGUUGCUUCCUCCAUUCAUAGUCACAGAUAAGCGAAGCAUAAGCAAAGAGAGAGCGAAGCAUAAAGUGUGUAGUUGGAGAGAUUUGUAAGUCAUAGUGUGUGUUAGGGGCUUCAUUAACGUAGAGGUUAUUCAUCUGAAAGUGAUGUGUUCAUCUCUGGGUUCAUCUGUGCCUUCAUGUGGUUCAUCUCUGGGUUCAUCUGAGGUGAGUUUAUAUGUUUGAUUGUUGGUUAAUCGAUUAUGGUUUAAAUAUCACAGGCAAAAUAAUCGAUUAUAGUGUAAUCUGCAAAAUUUCCCAGGCAUAAUCGAUUAUCUGUAGUGUGUAAAAUUGCUCUUAAUCGAUUAUUUGUUGUGAUAAUCGAUUAUUGUUGUUUUUAGCCUAGUAGCAUAAUCGAUUAUGCUUUGAUAAUCGUCUUAACUGUGUAAAAGGGUUCCUAAUCGAUUAUGUGUUGUGAUAAUCGAUUAUGGUUGUUUUUUUGCCUACUAACAUAAUCAAUUAUGCGUUCAUAAUCGAUUAUCCUGUGUGUGUAAGUGAUGCCAUAAUCGAUUAUGUUCUAAAUUUUUUGAAAUAUAAAUGUUUGUUAAUUUAUUUGUUUUCUGUUAUUUUUAGGUGUGUUGAUCUUCCUAUAAGCCAUCCUAUUGCUGUUCUUGAGUGCUUAUCUUCAGGUUUUAAAUUUUUUUUAUGUAAAAUUAUUUUAUUUAAUUUCUGUUUUAUAUUUAUGAUUAUGGUUUUGUAAUAUAAUUUGUUUAGAAUUUAUUUUAGUUUAUUAUGUUAAGGCUGUUGUUGUAAUAUAAUUUUUUUAGAGUUUAGUUUAGUUAAUUAUGUUAAGUAGUUACUAGAUAGUUAAUUAAAUAUGUUAAGGAGUUUAGUUUAUUAAAUUAAUUGUUUCAGUUGAUUUAUUAUUUUAAUUUUUGUAGAUAGUUAUUAAUUUAUUAAGAAAAAUAUUUAUUUCUAUGAAAUGAAUUAUUUACAGAAUGGAAACAGAAAUUUGUAAAUUUUAGGUUUUUUAUUAUAUUAAACAUAAAUUAUUAAUGUUAUAAUUAAAUCAAAUAAAAAAAGUUGUUGUGAUUAAAGAAAACUGAAAAAUUUAAGAUAAAUAUUGUUUAUAAGAGAAUAUAUAUUGUAUAAUAAUAAAUAUACAAAGUUAAUAAAUAUUGUAUAAGAAAACUGAAAUAUUGUAUAAUAAUAAAUAUAUAAAGUUAAUUUUUUUUUAACAUUUAAUAGAAAUGUUUAUAAGAGAAUAGAUAAUUUUUUUAAAUGAAUAUUUGUAUUCUGUAUGGUUAAUAUUUUUUUAAAUUGGACAUAAAUUAUUAAUGUUAUUAGUUGAAAAGAUUAAAAAAAAUGUUUUUGUAAUUUUUGUUAUAAGAUUUAAUUGUUAUAAGAAAAAAAUGAAUGUAUUUAAAAUGAAUAUUUUUAAAAAUUUGUAAUUUGUAGGUUUUUUAAAAAGUAAUUGAUAUUUUAGAAGUAUUAUUUUUAAUUGAUAUUUUAGUUAUAAAUGUAGAAAGUAAUUAUUUAUUUCAAAAUGAAUUGUUUAUGAAAUAGAUUUUAAAAAAUUUAUUUUGACAUAAUGGAAUUCAAAAUUUUAAAAAUAUUUGAUAGGGUUUUCAUUUUUGUAGAUUAAACAUAAUUUAUUAAUGAUAUAAUAAAAAACAUUAUAAAAAUGUUGUAUUAAUUAAAAAAAUAGUAAAAGUUUAAAGUAGAAAUAUCAUUUUGAGUUAUUUUGAGUUAUUCAGGUGGUGAAAGUCAAAGGAGGUUCAUAUGAAUGAGUAAGUUGCUUGAAAGAUAACUAAUUUGACUUGCUAUAUGAAUUAACCCUGUCAUACUAGGGAGAGAUUGUAUUGAGAUUAUUUAUGCGCAUAAAUGUGUGGAUUUCACAGUAAUAUAGUAUGACAGGUGCAAAUCUUUGAGUCUAAGUUAACGCACGAGUCUUCCGGAAAUAUAGUCAAAUGUCUAUGUGUUGUGAGUCAGUAGAAGUCUGACAUGUGAAAGAUAAAUUAUGAAUUUUAAUAGACACUUGAUGAUUUGAGAAAUUUUAUGAGACUUGAUGAAUUAUGUUUAUUAAUGUGAAAUUGAAAUUAUAUAGAAAUUUUUAUAUAACUAGCUUACCAUGUUCUUUGUUUGUGUUUGUUUCUUUAUCUGUGAUGAUCGUGUUUUACACGAGAAUGAGAUUGCAGGUAAUAGAGCUCCUUAGUGAGCACCUGAAGGAUGAAAUUACUUUAAUUUGAAUGUUUUGUUUUGUUUUUAAAACUUUUGGUGUAUAUAUUAAAAUUAUACAAUUAUGAGAUAGUUGUAUAUACUCAUAUGUUAAUUAGAUAUUGUUUGUUUUACUUCUGUUUUAUUAAAUAUGGGUAAAAAUUAGGAAUGUUACAUCUUCAAUCCGCUUUCGAAGAUAUCAACUAACUGAUUUACCAAUCUCCAGGUUGACUUUUGAGUUGCACUUAUACUAGGGGUUCAUCAAAAGAUGGUCGAUUCUCCACAAACUCGGCCCUAGGAUCUAGAAAACCUCAUUCUCAUCGUCUUAUGGGAACUCAAUGUGAAACGCCUGCUCGAUAAAGUUGUUGGUAUCCCCAUGGCCUUGGUCAUUUACUUCCCUGUGCUCCUUCGGGUAGGCUAUGGCCUCGCCAAUUGUUGUUGUGGUCAAGGUCUUUACAAAAUAAGAGAUGACCUUGAUGUUCUCAACAUAACACUCCCUUAUCAUCUUCAGAUUUGCCUUCACUAUGAUUAUUUUACCAUUGUCACUGAAAACUUCAUGGUCAUGUGUAGUCGACACUAUGGCGUCCAAUUGAUUAAUACUUUUGCAUUUGAUGAUGUCAUUGCAGGAUGUGGUACCACAAUGAGAGAUAAAUGGAACUCUUAUUCUGGUCAGGGGAAUAGUAUUUUUGUUUCAAAGGUAAGCUGAAGAGUAUGAAAGUUGAUAUCAAGGUGUGGAAUUGGGAUGUGUUCGGGCACCUGGAAUCUGAGAAGAAGAAUUGUUUGAUGGAUAUUGAGGAGCUUGAUGUCAAAGAUGAGGGUGAUGCUUUGCCAGAGAGUUUAAGGACGAGAAGGUUGGUUCUCAUCAAUCAUGUAGAAGAGAUCAAUAAGAAGUUGGAAUCUAUGUUUAGGCAGAAAGCUAGAGCUAAUUGGCUUACGUUUGGGGACUCUAAUUCCAAGUUUAAUCAUUAUGUAAUUAGAUGGAAGAGACUUAGAAAUGAGGUUAAGGGUGUCGAAGUGGGAAGUUUUUGGGUUGAGGAAUCUAAGGUAGCGCGCAGGGAAGUGGUGAAGCUUUUUGAAGCUAAAUUCUCGGCUACUCAGGAUUUUGGAGUCAGACUUGAGCAUGUUGAGUUCAAAUCCUUAUUAGAGGAGGUUAGCUUAAGUCUGGUGUCCAAGAUCACAGAGGAAGAAGUAAAGGAUGUUGUCUGGUUGUAUGAGGGGUCAAAAAGUCCUGAACCAGAUGACUUUAAUUUUAAUUUUAUCAAGAACAGUUGGGAAGUGCUGAAGCUUGAUGUGGUAGCUGUUGUUCACCCUUUUCAGGAAACAAGUUGUAUUUCUAAAGAGUGUAAUGCGUCUUUUAUUAUCCUUGUCCCCAAAGUUAGGGACCCUAUAAGUCUGGACCAAUACAAACCUAUUUCUCUUGUAGGUUCACUGUAUAAAAUUAUUUCGAAGGUCUUAUCAUGUCGCAUAAAACAAGUUUUACCCGAGGUUAUAGAUGACUGUCAAUCAACUUUCUUAAAGUAAAGAGAAUGUUAAAUAACGUUCUAGUUCUAGUGGCUAAUAAGGUUAUUGAUGAGAUGAGGAGAAAAAAAAAAAAUGUUUUGUCAAUUAUGAAAAGGCAUACAAUUCUGUCAGCUGAGUGUUUCUCUUUCAUAUCCUUUAAAAGUUAGAAUUUCACAAUAAAUGAAUGUUUCUGUUUGAUAUGCUUUGGAAGUUGUGAUUUCACAAUAGAUGGAUUGCGUGGAUCAGAGUCUUUUAAUAGAAAACAAGUAUUUUAAUAAUUUAUACAUAUGAAAGUACAGUGACCGUAUAAAAGUUGUUGUACUGUAACAAAUCAAUAUACAUUAUAAGUUCAUUAUUUUAUAUAAUAACUAUAUAGAUCGUCAAAGUUAAACUAAAGUGACUAUAAAUUAAACUAAAAAAUAAUUAAUUUCCAAAUAUUAUCAUGUAGAAAAUAAGUUGGAGUAAAAAAUAUUAUAAAAAAUAGCUUAACAAUGUGGAAAAAAGGAAAAGAAAAAAAAAACCAUGGAGGAAGAUAACUUUAACUAUGGACACACUCUGAAAGUGAGAUUCGUCAAACAUAUUUUAAGAGUUAUAGAUGAUAGUGAUGAUGAAUAGUGGAGAUAAGUUUCACUAUACUUGUUUUUACCUUUUAAGUAAAAAUUAACAUUCCUGAAAAAAAUAACAUUAUUCAUUUCCAUUUUGAUGGGGAUAAAAUUAGUCUCAUAUUAAUGUAAAAAGAAUACACUGUCUUCUUAGCACCAAUUAAAAAUAAAAAGUUAUAAUAAAAUAAAAUUCAAAAUAAAGUAUUAAAGAAAAUAUUGUUAAUAAUUUAAAACAAAUAUAAGAAUUCGUUAAAUUUCAUAUCUAAUUUAAAUAAUUAAAUUAAACAUUGUUCAUAUAAAGACAAAUUCGAAUAAUAGUAAGACAUAAAAUAUUUUUUCAUCGAGGUGAUUUCACCGAUUACAUGGAACGAUUGAUUGUGUUUUUUUUUCAGAAAAAAAGAAAAAAUAUCUCAUUUGCUUAAAGACAAAAGAAUAUUAACUAUAUUUCUAAAAAUAAAGAAUAAACUUAACAACGAGAACAACUAAUUAAUUAAAUACAUACGUUUGUAUAUAUACUAGUAGCCUAUACCAUGUUUAAUUAUGAGUAUAUGCGAUUAUUCUUAAAUUAUUAUGUCACUUUUGUUUUUCAUAUCUAUGUCCUUCUUAUUUGAAGGCUAAGCCUAGUCACGCAUCAACUUGAACAUCAACUUGGAUUCCUACGGUCCUAUGAAUGCAUAUAACUUGCCCUCAAUCCCACAAUUACAUAAAUUAAAUAAAAUAUUAAAACAAAUAAUUUAAAAACAACUUAAGUGGUUUAAAGUCAGAUUCACUUUUGUAUGAUUUCUUUAAAAAAAAUUACCAUUUUAUUUUAAUUUAUAUGUUACUGUUUAUUAUAAAAAAAAUUAAUUUUAAAAAUUAAAAAAUAAUUAAUUUUUAUAUUGAUUAAAUUAGAUAUUAUUCUUUUAAAUAAUAUUUUAAUUUUUUUUAUUAAUAUCUAAAUUAUUUUUUAUUAUUUUAAAUUGAUAUUUAAUUAAUUAUAAUAUUUUAAUUACCAAUUUUAAAAUUUAAAUACUUAAUAAUUAAAAACUUAACAGCUAAUUAGAUAUUAAUUUAAAAAUUAUUUAUUAAUAACAAAAAAUAAUUUAGAUAUUAAUAAAUUUUUAAUUUUUAAAAUAGUAUUUAAUUUAAUUAAGAUAAAAAUAAAUUAUUUGUUAUUUUUAAAAUUAAUUUUUAUUUAAAUAUUUUCUAACAGUGGGUGAAGCAUAAUUUCAGAUGAAAGAGAUUUUAGGUGUUCUUUAAAUGGAUUUACUUAUAAUAUUGGUUUACAUUAAUUCAAUAUUGCAAUGGUUAUACAAACAUUUUUAACAAGUAUUGUAUUGAUAAUAUUAAAACGUAUUUUAUUUAAUAAGUUUGAUAAAACUUAAUAAAUAAUCAACUUAGGCCUUCCAUGUUAUAGUUUGAAGAAUUAAAAUUGAUUUUUGGUAAAGAAAGUUGGAAAAUGGUGAAGAUUUGUUCCCCCUUCUCGAAAACAAGUUUAAUAUUAAGUGAAAGUGACAUAUGAGAUCCUGAUGGAUCUAAAGUGGAAAACCAGUUUAUGAGAGAUUGGUGUUUUCGAAAGCACCUCAGAAAAAAACAUGUCGGUUGAUUUUAUAAAGGUUCUCGAAUUAAGCAUGUCGGUAAUGACAUUUAAAAUAAACAUGUUUUAUUGAAUCAAAUCUGCAAUUGGUGAUUUGUGUCUGAGACAAUAGGCACCCUUUCAUCAUCAGGAGCAGUUAUCGAUAUUCUUCACAUAAAAUAGUGGAGUUGGUGGUCACUAAUCAAAUGCAACCUCUUUCUUUUUUUUGUUUUGACAGCUCCCAUAAUGAAUUUUUUUUGAAGAAUUUGCGACCUCUUUCACACUGAUUACAUUCAUUUAUAUUUAAAUAAAUUAUUAUUUUAUUAUAAUAUAAUAUUUUAUUUAAAAAAACUUAAUACAUUUUAUUAUAAUACAAUAUUUUAUUCCAAAAAAAUAUUAUAGAAUAAUUACUUUUACUAUUUUGUCUGAAACAAAUUUUAAUCAUUUUAAAUCGAUGGCCGUCCUCCUGGAGCACUAGACCCCAGAUCUGUGAGCUACCGAUGUUGACGAAAGUAUAAAGAAAUAUUUGGAAGUGAGAAUUGCAUUAAUUUAGGAAAACUAAAUGAUUCUUUCUACAAAAUUAUUCUCACUCCUUAAAACCUUGAAUCGUGAUGUCCCAAAUAGGGCACAAAUCAAGCCACCCAUCUUAAAACCCUCAAUAUUGUCUUUACAUCUUUAUUUAUGAGAAAAUAUAACUUAAUAAAUAAUAUUUAUGUUGAAGAUUUUUAUUAUUAAUAAAAAUAUUUUAUAAUAUAUAAAUCAAUAUACACUUUAUAAGAUAAUAAGAUUUGAUAAGAUUGAAUUAAAUUUAAAGUUUAUUUUUUUAAUAUGGUAUUAAUAUAGUUUAUUUUAAUAAAAAUUUAUUAGAUGAUUAAAUUAUCUAUUAUUAGAUUCUUAUGGAAUGAUUCAUUAUAUAGUAUUAAACACAACCUAACAAUCUCGAUGAUAGAUGUUAUGUUAAAAAUUAUGUAUUAAUUAGAAAUAAUAAUAUUUUAUAAUAGGUAAGUUGAUGUAAAUUUUAUUUCAUAAAUUAAUUUUAUUAAAUAGAGUUAUGUUAAAUAUAUUUAUUAAUAUUUCAAACAAAAUUGAGUUAAUUACAAUAAAAAUUAUAUUACUAAGAAUAGUCACAUAUGCUUAGAUAAAAAAUGUUAUCAAUUCAAGUGAGUAUCUGGUCUUCUCCAAAAAAAACUCAACAAAAAUGUCACAUCUUUAGAACUCUAUUUAUGGAUAAAUAAAUAAUUAUCUUAUCUUAAUGUAAUAUAAUUUGUUGGGUAUAUCUUCUUCCAUUUUUCCUACAUAUAAUAUUGACAUAAAUUUAAAACUAGUAUUUUUAUUUAUAUAUAAUAAAAUUUAUAAAUUUAUGUUAUAUACUAAUUUAAUAAAAUUAAUUAAUUUGUAAAUAAUUAUAAAAAUUUGGUGUAUUAUAUUUGUUAUAGAUAUUACAUUAUAAUUUUAUUAUAAACUUAUAAUGUAAUAUCUAUAACAAAUAUAACACAACAAAUUUAUAUAAUUAUUUAAAAAUUGUGGACACUUAUUUCCGCUAGUAUUUAUAAUUAUUCUGACAUAAAAUUUUAACUAUAUUUUUUAGGAUAUUAAAUAAUUAUUAUUCAAAUAUUUUUAAGAUAUUAAUUAUAUUUUGAAAACAUUAUAUCAUUUUUGUAAUAUAGAAAUGGUUAUAUAAAUAUAUUAUAAUUUUGUAUAAUUUAAUUAAUAAUUUUUAUAACUUAUUAAAAAAUAAAUUAAAUUUUUUUCUAUAAAAUUAUAUGCAAUUUUUUUCUAUUUCAAUAUAAUUUAUCUUAUAUCUUAACAUUAUUUAGUUUGUUACCAUAUUUUUAUCUUAUUAUAUUUUCAUCAUGCCAUAUUUUUAUUUUAUUGUAUCAUAUUCUUCUAUUUUAUUAUAUUGUGUUUACUAAACGAAUGUUUAAAAUUUAAAACAGUUAUAAUUUAUAUACAUUAUUUUCUCUAAACUCAUUAAGACGUUUUUGAAAACAAAGAAUUUAACAAAAGUUGAUAUUACACAUGAAAUAAUUCUCAAUCAAAUUUGCUAACGUAAUCAAUUUCUUUUGUAACAUCCUAAUUUUUACCCAUAUAUAAUGAAAUAAAAGUAAAACAAGCAAUAUCUAAUUACGAAUAAUAUAUAUACUACUUUCUCAUAUGUGUAUCUCAAAAGAAAUAUCCCUCCUCAUAGGGAUUUAAUAUAUACAUCAAAAGUUUUAACAACAAAACAAAGCAUUCAAAUAAAACUAUCUCAUUCUCCAGCUGCUCACUAAGGAGCUCUAUUAUCUGCAAUCUCAUCUGCUCCCGUGUAAAACACGAUCAUCACAGAUAAAGAAACAAACACAAACAAAUAACAGGGUAAGCUAUCUAUAUAAAAAGUUUUGAUAUAAUUCAAAUUUUAAAUUAAUAAGCAUAAUUCAUCAAUUCUCAUACGAUUUCUCAAACCAUCAAGUGGCUAUUACAUUCAUAAAAUUCAUAUUUCAUAUAUCAGACUUCUAUUGACUCAUAACACAUAGACUCUUGACUCUACUUCCGGAAGACUCGUGCGUUGACUUAGACUCAGAGAUCUGUACCUGUCAUACUAGCUCACUGUGAAAUCCACACAGUUAUGCGCAUAAAGAAUCUCAAUAUCAUAUCUCUCCUAGUAUGAUAACUUCAUCUAUAUGAUUUCAUUAUCUCAGGAGAGUCAGGAUAUCUCCUUCUAGACGAAUCCCUAGUCAAUGCACAUCCUAAACAAUCUUAACACGAUAUUUUCUUUCCUGAAAAUACUAUGUUUUGAUUUAAAAAUAUAUUCUAAACAUUAAAAUCUCCCACAUCAAACAAUCAAAUCAUUCCACAAUUUAGAAUUUCCAAAACACCCAACAAUUCAUUUCAACUAGAAUGAAAAUAAAAGGAGAAUGAAAUAAAAUUAUCUUCCAACUACAACUAUAUCCAACAGUAUAGUAUUUAAUAAAAAGGAUGAGGAAGCCACAACAUGANNNNNNNNNNNNNNNNNNNNNNNNNNNNNNNNNNNNNNNNNNNNNNNNNNNNNNNNNNNNNNNNNNNNNNNNNNNNNNNNNNNNNNNNNNNNNNNNNNNNNNNNNNAAUUUUAGUUCAUAAACUGAAUCAUCAAGAAAUAUUCAAAAUAUAUAUGCUCUGAAAUUGUCAAGAAACAAAUAAUCACAAACCUUUUUCAAAUACAUUCAUCAAUUCCAAACUUAUAUACAUUCUACAUCAUCUACUAUAUCUAAAUUUUAGAUUUCAAUCUCAAAACAGUUUCAAUCUCAAACAUCAAUCUCAAACAUCAAUCUCAAACAUCAAUCUCAAACAGUUUCUAUCUCAAACAGUUUCUAUCUCAAACAGUUUCUAUCUCAAACAGUUUCUAUCUCAAACAGUUUCUAUCUCAAACAGUUUCUAUCUCAAACAGUUUCUAUCUCAAACAGUUUCUAUCUCAAACAGUUUCUAUCUCAAACAGUUUCUAUCUCAAACAGUUUCUAUCUCAAACAGUUUCUAUCUCAAACAGUUUCUAUCUCAAACAGUUUCUAUCUCAAACAGUUUCUAUCUCAAACAGUUUCUAUCUCAAACAGUUUCUAUCUCAAACAGUUUCUAUCUCAGUUUCUAUCUCAAACAGUUUCUAUCUCAAACCGUUUAAACAAAUUAUUCACCUUAAAAUCAAUAUAAAAAAUUCACAAUCAACCAUUUGAAGAGACAAUCCUGAAAGCAAAAACAAUUGAAAUUGGUGACCACGUCACCUCCAAAUCCAGAAUCUUCUAACCUAUGGUUUCAUUGAAAAUAAUAAGACUAGCUUCCCUUACCUGAACUUUAGCUGAUGCUCACUAAGAGCUCCAAAUCUACCAAAUGCACCGUCCUACUCAAAAGUUGAGUUAGAUAUUAACCCGUACAAAAUCUAAGAUUAACCCGUACAAAAUCUAAUAAGAUCAAAAUUAACUCAAAAGAAAAAGGGGUCAAGAAGGAACUUAAAGAAAAUAUUUUGAUGGAUUCAAAACCAGGAGUCCAACGGCAGACUCUGAUCGCCAAACUAGGAAGUUAGAAUCUUAUAGAAAAGGGAGAAAAGGAAAAAGAGGAACAAAACUGAACUUACUCUGAUCAUCAAACUGAUGAGCGAGGAGAGUUAGAGAGAAGGGAGAGUAAGGAAAAACGAAACUUUUAGAGAGAUGGUGGUUAUUUUAAAAUGAAACAUGAAUAACUGAAUUUUCUAUUUAUAUAUCAUUUUCAUUUUAAUAAUAAAAUAUUCAGUAUCAUUUAAAAUAUACAACUUCUACUCUAAGAUUAUCAUCUAAAAUAUUUAUAUAUCUUUUAACGCUUGCGUUGUUUUAAAGUUAACAAUACACCGCUCACCCUUAAUUUUGUUUAAUUUUGAAAGCUUUGAAAUAAAAAGCUAAUUCUCAACCCUGUCACUCCUUUCUUAAAGGAGCCCUUUCUUUUUUAUUCAACGCUCGAAACUAUUGUUUACAAGAAUAAUAAUAAUAAUAAAAAAACAAUUUCUCCUUUAGUAGUUUUGAAUGGGCCAAACUAUACUCUUUUCAAGAUCUCUCCUGGGCUUUUUCUUUCUGAAACUCCUAAUUUCAAUUUACACCUCCAUAAAUUUAUACUACAAGAAAAUCAUAAAAUAGAAACCAAUUUUUAGAUAUCAAAAUAAUUAGUUGUAAUAGUAACUAAAUUAGAGACCAGUUUAGAAACUAAAAAAAAAUUGAUUUCUAAAUUAGUUUCUAUUAUUGUUAAAUAAUUUUUAAAUUGGUAUCUAAUUAACUACUAAGGUUUUAACUACCAAUUAUUUAGUUUCUAAAUUUGGUUACAAAAAUCUUGGUUGCUAAUUAGAUAUCAAUUUAGAAACCAUUUAACAAUAAUAGAAACUAAUUUAGAAAAAAUAUUUUUUUUUAAUUUUUAAAAUGGUUUCUAAUUUAGUUACUAUUACAGCUAAUUAUUUUGAUUUUUAAAAAUUGGUUUCUAUUUCAUGAUUUUUUUUAGUGUUAAAUAUUCUAAAUUUAUCUUUUUAAAAUUAAAUACUUUAUUUGAUUAGUUGGUGUUAGAAUGUUUGUUACGUUUAUGAAGGAUGUGGUGUGGUUCGUAGUGGUGCUUAGUGCAUUUGGUGAAUAUCUGAAUUUUUGCAUUUUGAGUUUCACUUUUUUAUAUCACACAAUCUGGACAACUUUUACAUUAUAAAUCUAUAAUAUUAAUUUUUUAUUUUAUUUUAUAAAUUAUAAUCUGAAAUUUAUAUUUAUAUAUUUUUAAUAUAUAUUUUAAAAUAUAAAAUUUGUGAUUUUUUUAAAUAUUUUGUUUUUAUUUUAUUCUUAAGUUGUGGAAUUGCAUCACAAUCACAUAUAUUUCAUUGGUUUGUACAAACAACUAUAGAAAACAACUUUAGAAGUGAGGGCUGAAUAUAGAGAUGAAAUUCUAAUAUUGAACCAAAAUAUACGAUGAAGUAGAAAAGUUGUUUGUGAUGAAUCAAUUGGAUAUAAUGAAGUUUGUGACAACUUAAAAUGAAUUGGUUGAAGGAAAUUGUGUUUGCUCUUUAACAACAAAUAAUAUAAUUAUAAUUUAAUUAAUUUAAGUAGAAACAUGUGAUAUAUGACAUUUUUUUUAUUAGCAAAGAAUAGAAUUAAAUUAAAAGGGACAUUUCAAACCCUUAUACAAGAACCAUUCACCACAUAUAGCUAUAACAGAUCGAGGCAACCAAACCAUAAAAAUAAAUACAACACUAAGAAACCAGACACGAAAGGGCUGCCAAUACAGCUACAAAAGUGCUUCUGAAUUAUGCCGCAGAAACAAGGAAACUUGUCCCAGCAACCUGUACCGCAUGAGCUACAUUAAACGCCAUCUGGAUGCUGCCCCAUGACUACAAUACCUCUGUUGCAGCCCCAAAAACAUCCUGCUGAAACCUGCUUCUAGUCCCUUGGCCCAUCUUGUUGGUACUUCAAUGUACACAUGACCCCCAAACUGCUUACAACCGGAUCACCUACAUUGCACAAAACUAGCAACCAACAACAUUCCAACCAAAUCUUCACUUGGAUUGCCUUAAUUACUAAAGCCAAGUAGAUUCCACCUUUUUCACUUACCAACAGCACCUUCCAGGUACACCAAUGGGAGCUCCAGAUAUAAAACCAACCACGUCACAAGAUCUAAAGCAGCAUGUCGGGUUUACCUUCUUAUUUGGACAACAGCAAAAAUGCGCCUUCCAAAGGACCAAUCACUUCAGCUGCUUGUCACAAAUAUGCAAUAUAACUUAGGUCCACCCUGCACCAGCAUAGUUGGCUGCAACGCAUCAAAACAACCCCUCAACAUUAGAUUGUUACACCGUGGUCAGAGAUUGAUCAUAGUCGUGACUCAUGCAUUUGAAAGAUUCAAAAGGAGAGUCCCUUCGCACUCAUUCACAUAAACUCUCAGCUUUGGCAUAAGCUUUCCUUCAUAAUAGGAUACUCCAUCCCAAUCUAUUCUAGUAGCUACAAUCACAUUACAUCAGGAAAAACUUCUAAAAUGCUACCCCACACCACAGCUCCUACUUCACUCACCUUUCAACACUUCCUACUGAUUUCCUCACCACUUCCUCCCUUAAUUUCAUCUGCUUCACUACAUAACCGUUAUGCUUCAAAUCUGGAUAUAGAAACAAGCUGUGUGAAUAUCAGUAUUCACAUUAACUGCUCAAAAGUUCUAAAAGACCCUGCUCUGUUUGAUUUCUGCAACAACUACACAACCACACCACUACAGAAUACUAUGCUCCUCCAUUAUGACCAUCAAUCAUUCCUCCAAAAGCUCCUUGGCUUCGAGUCCAUCAUCACUAGAGACCUCCCUUUUCAGAGUACACUUUGAAGGCAUUGGCUUGGGUUCAGAUGCCAAUUCGAAGAAGCAUACGAAAAGGAGCACACCCUGUGUUUCAACCAUAACCAAGUAAGGAGUUGAGCCAUUUGGAAAAUUUCUUCAGCGUCAGGUACCCCUAGCUUAAAGAUAACACUAUUCCUCUUCUCCAAGAUGCAUCGAACUAUUGCCACCCACAUACCUUUCAACACUUGAUUCGGCUUAAUAGACAUAUGAGCCAGAUAAAAGUUCUCAAAGUGACACCUCAAAUCCUUAUGUUGAACAAACAUAACACCUAUCCACCUGAAGCAUAAAGACCAAACUCGUUGUGCAAAAGAACACUCCCAGAACAAGUGUUGAGUAGUUUCUUCUGACUCUCUACAAAGCACACAAAUAGAAGAGUUUACUGCCACCCCUCUCCUAAGAAGAUUAACAGAAGUUGGGAUUUUGUCGAGUAAGAUUCUCCAUGCAGUUAUAAGGGCUUUAGGCAUUGCUUUAACCUGCCAAAGAGAACAAAAACCGCUAUCAUGUGCAUCAUUGUUUUGAUUAGCCAGACGUACAUAAGCUGACUUCACAGAGAAGUUCCCUGUGGUAUCCCCUCCCCAGACAAGAAUAUCCUUGGAUUCCUUGUUCAUGAUGCCUUUGUUAAUGUGCGUAAGCAACUCUUCCUCCAAAAACGGAUUCCCAAUCAAACCUAGCCCUCCUCCAAUUUAGCCUCCAUUGCCAUCCAUAAACCUCGCACGUACCUACCUCUCCCACCUUCAUUCCUUGAUCCAUAGAAAGAGAAUAAAGUCUAGGAUACAUAGACUUAAGAUUAUUGUUAUUAACCGAAGCGUCUUCCCAGAAUCUAACAUUGCCUCUAUCACCAACUUUCCACACAAUAGUCUUUUGGAACCAAUCAUCAUCUUCACCCUCUCCACAAGCUUUAGAAAGAUCUCUCCACCACCAAGACUGUCAUUUCGAACGGGCUUGGCUUCUUCCUAAUUCCGAACCAUACUUAGAAAAAAGAAUGUCUUUCCACUUCCCUUUUUCAUCCUUCAUCAGUCAUCAUUUCCAUUUUUGUCAGCAAAGCAUUAUUAAAGUUUAUGAAAUCUUUAAUCCCCAACCCUCCUUUCUCAAGGGGUUUACACACAUUCUCCCAUCUUACCCAUGAUAUAGACCAGUUAUCUCUGCCCCAAGCCCAAAGGAACUUCCUUUGUAUACUGAUUAUUCUGUUACAAACCGACAUCGGUGCUUUAAAGAAGGACAAGUAAAAGAGAGGAAUGGCGGUAAACACCGAUUUAAGUAAGUAGACUCUUCCUGCCAUAGAUAAAAAUCUCCCCUUCCAGAUACUAAGUCUAGCAUUGAUUUUGUUUAUGACUGGCUCCCAAAACUAUUUCUUCCUUGGGUUACCUCCUACUUCUAAUCCCAGAUAUUUAAAAGGGAUCGUCAUGGUCAUGCAGUUCAGAGUUUUUGCAUAGGUAUUGAGGGAGAAGCUAUCAACACCAAUGCCUGCCAACUUUGAUUUGUGGAAGUUGAUUUUUAGACCUGAGGCAAGUUCAUAACACCUUAGCAUCGCCUUUAUAGUGAAGACAUUAAAGAAUGAGUCUUCGCACAUAAACAAAGUGUCAGCAGCGAAUUGUAACAAACAACACUCAAUUUCAUUCCUCCCCACCUUCUCACCUUUGAGCAAAUUCAGUUUUGACACUUGUCUCACUAACCCGGCCAAGCCUUCAGCUACCACGAGGAAGGGAAACAGAGCUAAAGGAUCUCCCUGUCUUAACCCCCUAGAGGGUUUAAAUUCCUCCGUAGGGCUACCAUUAACCAGAACAAACACAAACAACGACUCCAAGCAUCCUCUGACCCACGCAAUCCAUUUAGAAUGGAAUCCCAACCUUUGUAACAUAUCAAAGAGGAAUUUCCACUUAACCGAGUCGUACGCCUUUUCGUAGUCCACCUUCAAACAAAUCCCACUCCUCCGUUUUCUAGUUACCUCCUCAACCACCUCAUUUGCCAGAAGGACACUAUCUAACCUUCCACGAUCCUUCAAAAAAGCUAACUGACUCUCAUCAAUGACCAGAGAGAGGACAUCCUUCAUACGAAACGAUAACACCUUAGCUAUGAUCUUAUAGAUGGAUCCUACAAGGGAAAUUGGUCUGAACUGGUCAAGCGUAGUAGGGUCCCUGACUUUAGGUACAAGUGCGAUGAAAGAGGCGUUACACCCCUUUGGAAUGCACCCCGUUUCCUAAAAGAAGUGCAUCGCUUCCACAAUGUCAGACUUAAAAGUUUCCCAACUAUUCUUGAUGAAAUUGAAAUUGAACCCAUUCGGGCCCGAACUCUUUGAACCUUCACAUUGCCAAACAACUUCCUUCACCUCUUCCUCUGUGAAGCUGGACACUAUUCUUAAACUAACCUCCGCGGGAAGGGUUUUGAACUCCACAAUACCAAGAUUAACCCCACAAUCAUGUGUAACCAAGAAUCUUUGAUUAAAUGUACUCUUAGCUUCCCUACAAAUAACUUUCAGCUCUUCACACCAUUGAUGAUCAAUCUCUACACCUUUGACCUCAUUUUUAAGUCUUCUCCACUUGACUCCAUUGUGAAAGAAUUUAGAAUUUGUAUCUCCCAACUUAAACCAGUUUGCUCUAGAUUUUUGUCUACAAAGAGAUUCCACCUGCUUAUCAAUCAGCCUCAACUGACUAAACAACUCCAUUCUUCUCAACUGACCGUGCUCCUCAAGAAUAUUGUUGUCAUCGUUAACAUCGAGAUCUUCAAUAUGCCUCAAAAUUUGCUUCUUCUUGGACUCUAGACACUCAAACACAUUUUUGUUCCAUUCUUUAAGGUCGGCCUUUAGAAGCUUCAAUUUAUCUUUGAGUUUAGAUAUGCUAUUCCCCUGCACAUUAUAAGAACACCAUUUCUCCUUCACAAAGUCCUUGAAACUAGGCUCCAUAAACCAUGCGUCAAUGGUUCUAAAAGGUUUAGACCCCCAAUCUUUGACCGAAAAUUUCACCACUAUAGCGCAAUGGUCGGAUACCACUCUCGGUUGUACAUAUUGCUUGCAAGACGGCCAAAUUUGAAGCCACUCUUAGGAAACAAGAAACCUAUCUAAUCUGCUUUUACCUGUACCAUUUGACUUGAACCAAGUAUAUUUUUGACCUACUACGGACACGUCCACCAAGUAAUUGCUUUCAAUAAAAUCAUUAAAGCCACUAAUCUCCUUUUUUUUGACUAGAAUUGCCUCUAACUCCUUUCCUUUCAUCUUCUCUUCUAACUGCAUUAAAAUCCCCACAAAAGCACCAUGCCACACUUUGAUGCAUACUCUUAAAAGACGUCAAAGUUUCCCACUGAGCAACCGUAUCACUUAAAUUGCAUGCUGCAUAAACGUUUAUCACAACACACAAGCUAUUAGAUUUAAGGUGUUGGCCCAGAAUAACAAUAAAGCCACUUCCUACAACAUGUUUAUCAUACCGAAAUGCUUCUUUGUGCCACAUGGAUAAGAUGCUCCCUGCCCCAUUCACUCCUUCAUUAUGUAUCCACCCAACAUUACUAUCUCUCCAUAGCGAAAAACAUUUAUUGUCUGAUAAAGUAGAUGCUUUUGUCUCUUGCAAACAUAAGAAUUCCGUACCCUCCUUAGCAAUAAAGUGUUUCAAAUAGCGAGCUUUAGAAACCCCCCAGACCUCUAAUAUUCAUAUUGAUAAUAAUCAUAACACACCGGCAUCCUCCUCAGACGACAUCAUUACUUCGUUAUCUCUAACCUCCAUACAAUCCAUUUCUCUAAUCACUGCCUCCUCAUUACCUGAACAUUUCAUCCCCAGAUGUUUACCCGUUCCCCACAACUUGACAGAUUCAGUAUCAUUCCAUUCGACCCUCAGACGGUUAUUACAAUUGAUAAUAUCACUAUCAGUUCCGGCUUUAGAGCAGAGGCUUAACCUGGAUGAGGAUCUGAUCCCAUAUUGAAGGGUUCCUUGGCCUCCCUUGGACAUCCUUCGUGGUUGUGCAGAGGUCGCACCCAAUUCCCAGAGAGCGCGUAUCCUCUGGACUCUCUCUGGUGACUUGAACCCUUCCUUCGCACCUGCAUCUUCCUCCCAGUGCCAUCGGUCCUCCUUUCUAACACUAAAUUAUCCUCGAUUCCCUCUUCGCAGAGACUUUGAUUAUGGUUAUUAAGAAGGUCCUUGUCGCUGCAUUCCGAGGAGCUUCCGUCAUUGCCGCACCGCUUAACAAAAGGAGUUUCUUCUGUUUUAGUCAGUGUAUUCGCCUUUCCUUUCGUCGGUAGGGGUGCCCCAUAUAACAACUCACCUGAACGAUUCUCCAUCUCACCUUCGACGUCACCGGAGUAGACAGGCGAAGCCUUCGGACUUCCUGUCACUCCUAACAUGUCCCCUGAAUGACCCUCUGCCUCUCUACCCCCACCUCCCGUAUUCACAGGGCCCAAUAACAAAGUUUUUUGAUUUUGGGCUUCAACGACAAAAAGAUGGCCCACACAUGUUUCAGGCCAAGUAACCUUUGCACAAGAUAAUUGUACCUCAGCUAAGUUAGCCAAAGAAUUUUGAAUAAUCAUGCAAGCUGCGUUGACCUGUUGUGCCACUGAUAAAGCUGCCCCUACAUCAGAACCUACCUUCUCACGCAUUGCCUUAUUUGAGUAGGAGGAUCUGUCUUUUUGCUGACACACCAAAUCAUUCUGACAACACUCUUCCAAGAGCUUCUUUUUUUGUCUCUAGCGGAGCACAAACUUUGUCUCCUUCCUUGGUCGCCUCCGGUUGCCGUAAAACACCACCGUCAUCACCGUUCUCAUCCCCAUCAUCACUAGAUCUUGACGAGAAAAUCGUUUCCUCAACAAAGGAUUCCAUUGAAGAAACGCUAUCUGAGGAGUCGUAGUGAUUCACGGGGCAAUUACACACUCCUACCCCUUGCAAGGGUUCCUCCUCAACUAGAGAAAUAUUAAAAGCUUUUCCAUUAAUCUGAAAGGCCUUUACCACCCCUUCUUUACAGGACAACGACAUACGAACCUGGAAACGAGCAAAUUCUAGGUUCUCCCAUGAUAAUGUAGCCUCAUCUAUGGUUACCACAGACGCUGCUUCUCCAACCACCUUUGUAAGGCAUUCCUUGGUCCACAAAGAUAUGGGUAGACCAUAACAUCUGACCCAUACCAAUCUGUGGUUCGCUACACAUGCUUCAGACCAUGGUUCUACGUCCUUGAACACACUUACAAACCAGUCUUUGUUUAGCUUAAUAAUGUCUUCCAUAUGAUCCCCUUCCUUAGGUGUUAGGAGUACCAUGUUAUCUCCCAUAAAUCUAACUUUAACCAUACUCAUCCCCCUUUGAUAAGUUCUUCACAUAGUAAAUCAAAGUUCAUGUCUUCGGACAUCCAUCCAACUGCACUGUUAGCCAUCCAAGGAAGAACUUGUGACUUAGUUUCAAAGACAAGACCUUUCCACUUCUCUUGUGAGGUAUUUCUAACUACAUAAGCAUAAGAGUGACUCACGUUAUGUGCCCUUUUGACAUCCUUUCCUUUUUUUUUUUCUCUCCAUACCUCCUUACUUUUUGGCUUCACAGGUUCAUGAGUGAAAUGAUUUUUGGCCUGUAUGGGUAAAUCAGACUCACCACCUAAUUGUGCAGAUACAACUCUCUUGUAUUUAGGUAUGUUCACAUAUAACUUCAUGUUGCCAAUGUAGAUUUGAUCCAACUGCUUCUCUAGACAAAACACAUUUUCCACAUCAAAUAACCUCACAAAACCAAAUCUUCUUCCCCAUCUAUUAAGACGUUUUGAGAUGAAUACCUCUUUCACCCUAGCCCAUUUCUGAAAGAUCUUUAGCAUGUCAUAUUCGCCAAAGCCACCUGGAAAAUUUGAAAAGAAGAACGUAAAGUAAUUAUUCACCGAAAAAAAAUUUCUAUGCUCCUCAGUUUUCCGUCGGUGGCCUUCUCUCUCCCUCCUCCAACGUUCCUCCCUAGUCCUCCGCCAGCGCUCCUCCUUCAUGACCGUGUUUUAAUCAGUCACAUUUUAUAUGAAUAUCCAUUGAAAUGAUUCAACAAGUACAAGACAUAUGACAUAUACUUAUGUUAUAAUGUAUUUAUUUAGAUAUUUGGUAUGCAGGAUGACUUUAAUGGGUACAUAAGGUGACUGUUAAACUUUCCAUUUGUAACUGUCAUUUUGAGGUUCGACAAAGAGCAAAUGGGUCAAGGAAGAAAUACAUGUUUAUUGGAAAGUACUGUAACUUGUACAAAAUAAUGUGAUUUUACUUUUAAAUUAUUUUAAAUUAUAGAAUAAAUCAUUUUGCAAUGGAGAAGUUUGAGGGUUGAAGGUAAUAUGUGUGAUUUAUAAUCAUGAAUUUUUUUUAUGAAAACAAAAUUUGUAGAUAUUUUAUCUACGGACAUACAUCCUUAAAUAAUAUUAAUAAUAAAAUAUUACCCACCGAUAUAGAUCUGUAUGUAAAUUACUUAUAUCUUUAUAUUUGUAGAUAAAUUUAUCUAAAUAUUUAUAUAUGUAGAUAUCACUUACUAUUAUAUCUGUAUAUAGUAUUAAUAAUAUUAAUAUUAAUUAUGAUAAUAAUAAUAUUAUAAUUAUUAAUAUUAUUAUGAAUACUAUUUCUAUUAUUAUUAUUUAUUAUUAUAAAUAAUAUUAAUAAAAAUAAAAAAUAAAAAAUAAAACAAAAAUAUUUUAUCAUUAUUAUUAUUAUUUUUAAUAAUUUUUUUGAUAAUAAUAAUAAUAUUAUUAUUACUAUUAUUUUAUUAUUAUUAUAUAUUUUAUUUUGCAGGCCAGCAAACCAACCUGUCCCGCCCCGCUGUUGGCCUUCGCGAGUUGCGGUUAUGCGGGAUGAGUCUAAGCGGGUCAGCGAGCUAGAUUAGUGAACCCGCCCUACCCUUUUUAGUAGCGGGCCGCAGGUCGGUCCUCAUGGUCCACUCUACAUUGCCACCUCUAGCUUGUACCCAUAUUGGCAUAAAAUACGCUCUAACAAAUGGCAAUGUAUACACGUACCUAGAUGAGCAUAUCAAAAGAACAUGAAUAUCAACUCGAAUGAACUACUAAGAUGAUGGUCAUCGUAAGGAUUCCAAAUUAUCCUUGCAUGGGUCAGACCAUCCAACUGCAUAUACAUAAUGCUAACAUUGUGUAGUAAGCGGAUUGGGGAGGCCUUCGUUUACCAUUGGGACGCGUGUUCUCACUUUAAUCAGUUUUACCUUGAUUGAACUUCUCAGAAGACUAAGAAAUAUUGAAGGUGUUUGUGGAUUGCUAUGAUUGGGGAAAUUUAGAAACAAAGGAACCUCGUUAUCUUUAAGAAUGGUAGAGUGGAUUGUCUGGAGAUCUUCACCUUGGCCCAACUCAAGGUGUGGUCUUGGCUCACGAGUAGAGUAAACAAUGUUUCAUUUACGUAUGCUUAAUGGUGUCUGGACCCUUUGUUCUAUUUGAAGUCAAUUAAAAAGUAAAUGUGGAGUUGGGGUCUUUGUGAGUUUUGGUAUGUGUUGCAGGUUUGUCAGGUGGUUCCGGGGUUUUGAAGCUUAUUGAUUUAUUUCUUCUUAUUGUUUUACUUUUCCCCUUUUGGAUGGAAGAACUUGAUAGGAUCUUGGUAGGUUUUUUGGUUGGAGCUCUUGACCUACUAGGGUAAUGAGCCUUUAAAAUGGACGUUGUCGGGCAGUGCUAGUGGGGGGAAUCUUGUGGGGGCCGGUAGGUUAGCUUAGUUAACUUUGAUAUAUCUUGUUUUUAUGGUUUGGGUUCUACUAACGUUGGUCUUUGGCCAACAAAGGGGUUUAUUCUUGGUUGUAGGUUGUAAGUUGGAAUCUGGUGUUUUAUAGGUAAGCUUAGUUUUUUGCUUUAUCUCUGGUGGUGUGUUUUGAUCAGGGUUUAUGGAAAUCGGACAUAUCGGCAUGAAGGUAAAGGUACUCUAGGCUUUGAAGAAGAGUGGUUCUUUUAGCAUGAUGUUGUGAGUUUGGCUGUGGGUAAGGGAUUUGAGUUGUAUUAGUUUUUUGAUUUGUAACUAUGUUUGUAGAAUUUUGGUUGUAGUAGGAUUUGUUUUGUGUGUAUUGUUUGGACUAAAGACUGGUUGUAUGAACCUGGAUAGGGGAGUAAGGGCUAACUUGCGUGGUUUGCCACUCCUUUCUUUUGAGGUUGGGUUUGGAGGUCUGUAGAGCCUGAAUGGUCAGGUUUUGUGCAUGUUGGAUUUGGCUAUAUAAUGUAUAAGGGUUGAGACACCUGUGAAGUAUCUCCUUUUAUUAUAUUUAUUUUUUUGCUGAGAAAAAAUAAACAUUGUGUAUAUAUCGCCUAGUGACAUAUUUUCUUGUUCAUGAGUCAACCCCUAAUAAAGUGAGAUUCAUAUAUUUCACUCCUAUCCUUAAAAAGUGCUCGUGUAUCAAUGCCUAUUACAAUUUCAACAAAAAAAAAUUGUUCAUAUAUUCAUAUGAAAAUAAAUCUACCUUAUACAAAUUAUAUAUAUUAUCUACCUGUAAAAUCGUAAUAUAACUGUCCAAUUAUUUUUUUUUGAACAAACACAUAUUCCUUAACUAGUCCUACAUCUGAGUCACAUGUAUUAUUUCCUCAAGUCUUUAUACAUUUAUUAUACUAAUAAAAAAUGAAUUUACUCAAUUUACCUAUUUAUAACAAUAGAAUAAAAAAAUUUACAUAUUUUUACCAAAUAUUAACUAUAAUUAGAAAAUAAUAUUAUUAAAAUAAUAAAUAAAAAUUAAAGUGUUAAUAUAAUUAAGUAAUAAUAAAUAAAUUAAGUAGUCAAACUGUGGAUACAUUGAAAAAUGUUAUAAUAUUAAAAAACUGAAAAUGUCAAUCUAUAUAAUUAAAAAUAAUAAAUAAUUAAUAAAAAUGAUAAAAAAUUAUUAUUAAUGGUUUACAAGUAAAACCACCCACCAUAUUCAUUAAUUUAACUUGCAACUGCAUACCAUGUUUAAAAAAUCUACAUCAUUGAUUAGAUACAGAGCAAACUAACAGUGUCGAUUACUACCAUCGCUAACUCGUUUUGAGAAUCUAUACUGCGGAACGGAUUUAUUUUUUGCAAUAGGGUCCAAGAUCCCAACCUUCUUUUACCAGUCAAUAAUAUUUGUUUUAGGCAGAAAAUUAUUUUAUAAUUGAAAUUUGUUCUUAAUUAGAAGUAUUUUGCUAUGCUACCUUUUUUUGUGUAAUGUUAUUUAUAUAUUGUGUAUCAUCGUUUAUUAAUCAGUGAAAAUCAUUCAAAUUUAUUUUAUAUAUUACUUUUCAAAAUUUCUAGAGUAAUAAUUAACAAAGACUUAUUAAUUGACAUUAAAAAUCAGUUAUUUAAAACCACGAACACUUUUCACUUUCUAAAAUUAAUAUAUCUAAGAUAGUUUUUAUUUAAAGAAUUUGACGGUGACAAUAAUGAUACUUGAAUGUUAUUUAAUCGUGUUAUUUUAUAACAUAUUUUAUUUAAUAUAGUAUUAUUCAAAAGAUAAUUAUAUCAUAUAUUUUUAAUAAAUAUUAUAUUUAUCCCAUUUGAUAACAUAUAUAGUUCAUUAUAUUUUCUUCUUUCUUAACAAAAUAAUUAAGCAUAAAGUAUUUUCUCUUUUCAAAAGUAUCUUUUUAUAAUACAUAUUAUGAUUGUUUUGAAUAUAUAACUUUUUCUUUUUUUUAAUAAAAAUACUAUUAUUUAUAAAAUUUAAGAAAAAUUAAGAAUUUUGGGGUUGCCAUGACAUCUUUCCUAUCGAAGAGACUCUUUUACUAGCUGCCUUCCCUAGUUGUCAUUUGUUAUAACUAAUCAUAUUUUUCUUUACUAUUACGAAUAAUUUAACUCUUUUUUCUGGGUACUUUAGGGGUAUCAAAGUGAAGAAAUGAAUAUCUUUGCCAAAAUGGGCUUGCAUAUUUAGAUAUAAUAUUAUAUUGUCAAGUAUAUUUGUGCAUAUAUGUUAUAAAAUCCUACUGUCAAAAUUUGAUACCUGGGCCAACUCCAAUGCAUUACUUGUUACUUUUUGUUUUUGUAAAAGGGAAAAACAUGCUUACAUCAAUUCACGUGCAAAUGGACAAGCAAAUAGAUAACUUUGAUAUGCAAGUCAGAGCCUUUUGUUCAUGAAUGAUUGAGUUAAUCACAAUGGGGACAGACAAAACUAUUCCUAUAUACUUUCAAUAAUUCACUGCAUAUCAUAAAAUAAUAGAUUGCAAGCUCGUUUUUUCCUUUCAAAACCAACACUUUUAAUAAUUAAAAUGUUAACAAAAAUAUUUUUUUUUUCUAAAUCAAAUGAACAAACUUAAUCAGCUUAUACCGAAAAACUAAAUAGAACAUAUACAGAUAUUGCAUGGAACUGAUUUUAGAGGCAGUGUCAUUGUAGCAGCUGCCUCAGCCACUGCCUAGAGCAUUGCUGCACCAGUGUUGAUACUGCCCUUCAUAUACUGCACUUUUUUUUAUGGCAUUCUACGGCUCUGGUAAGGAUCAGAGACCACAACAUUCAUCAAGUAGCUUUACAACUUUCAUCUUCUCAAAUUUUCCAGAUAAUUAUGGGGAAUACGAUAGGAUCAAGAUCUUCCGGUGAUGGACUAGGGUAAAGGAAGUGUUCAACAGGUGGGGGGAGAAGAUUUGGGUUUUUGAGGCUCUUUGAUGUGGAAAACACAAGUACGCUGGAGAGGGAGCUGGACCAAGUUCGCGUAGGCAAUAUGAAACUCUAUGUCAAUAUUCCGCGUUAUAGAAGAGCAGAGUUGGAGCAACCGGUGAGUCACACAAAAUCUGCGGUGGAACAACCAUACCGUAAGUUCAAUGAAGCUAGGAAACGCUACAAACAAGAACCAAGGGAGAAAAACAACAAAGAGGUAUGAAGGGUUAAGAAAGGGAAGGAGAAGAAUGAAUGGAGAGUGAUCAAAGAAAAGCAAUCCUACGCGGGUGCAGUGAAAAAAUCUUCAAAAGGAGUAUGGAAGGUUCCUAUUAUUGAAACCAAGCAACAAGUCCUACCUUGGAUGUCUAAUAGUGCAAUGAGGCAUAUAUUAACAAAUUUAAGCUAUAAUCAGUUGUGUGAAGAAUUCAUCAUGGGGGGAUGAAUAUGGUUAAAGUGAGGUACUUGGGUGAUAAUCUGACUGUGUUAACUCCUAGAGAAGGGGAACAGAUGGAAGAUCUUAUCAUGUUUAACAAAGAAUGGUUUGAAAAUGUUUUUGAGGUUAUUGAGCCAUGGUGAGAUUCACACGUAGCAGGCCAUAAAAUUGUUUGGGUUAGAUGCUAUGGGCUCCCUAUAUCUCUGUGGAACAAAUAUUACUUCUCUAAAGUGGUAGGUGAGGUAGUUUCCUUAGUGUUUAUUGAUAAGGCAACAAAAUCAUGGGAUAACCUUGAGUAUGCAAGACUCCAACUGCGUCUCCUUAAGUCGUGCUCUAUCAGCUUAGCUAAGGGGAUGAAGAUCAAUGGCCAUGUAUAUAACAUUUGCAUUGAAGAGGAGCACCCUAAUUUUGUUGAAGGUAAAUGUAAGUGCACGUUUAAUCACUAUGCUUCAUUAGGUAGUAUAACGUUAUCAGAGUCCUUUGUGGAGGAAACCUAGUUUUCGGAAAAGAAUGUUGAUGAAGAUGUCAGGAAAGGGGGAGGGGAGUUGCGGUGGCCAGAGGACUCGAUGAGAGGUGGGAAUGUCAACAUCCCGCAUAAGACAAACUUGUUGUAUGUUGAGGAAUUGUGUGUGCAUGAUAAAAAUGGGCAGGAGAAAGGUGGUAGUUCUUACACAAAUAAGGUAAAGGGGAAGCAGACAAAAUGUGUAGGGGACUCAACUUUAUGUGUCCUAUAUGGUCAAUGUUGCAUGCAAAAGCAACUUUGUCCAAGUAGCCUUGACCAAUCUUCUUGUAGUUGUGGAGGCCUUUAACAGUAGCAAGUCCAAUAAGAAUGUGGCCCAAAGGCUGCGUAGAGGCCUAUUCGGGGAGAGGUGUAGAGGCCCAAUUUUGGGACGACGACCCAUGUUAUGUAGAGGGUGGGCACGUAGAAUCAAUGGUUGGUCUAGUACGUGAGGAGGGCGUAUGGGCCAUUGGGAGCGAAACCGUGACAACCACUUUGAACGACAGUGAGAAAGGGAGUUCGUUCGUGGAAGCUAGCGACGAUAGUGAGAAUGGAGAAAAUCUGUUCAUGGAAAACAGUAGUGCUAUAGAGAGGGGAGAAAAUAUGUUUGUGGAAACCAGUAGCGCUAUCGAGAAUGGAGAAACACAUUACACACCCAUCAAUAGUAGCGCGUGCUCCGCCCAGGUGGGCAACUCGCACAUAGAGGAAGGUCCCCGAACCAGUCUCAUUAACAAAGGCAUCAGGGACGAAGUAGGUAUUCAGAUUCAGAGCAUUGAUGACCACGAAAAACAAUCCUUAGUGUUCGAUGAUGAAGAAGAUGAUAAGGGGGAUAAUUUUGUUACCCCGCCACGACACCGACGUCAGAAGGGUUGUGGGAGUUGGGAGAAUCAAGCAGGAUGCCUCGGGGGAAGUCUAGAAUUGGAGCGGGAAGUCUUUAUGUAGGGAUUUUCUCAGAUUCAAGGGUUAGUACAAAUUCUAACACCUUAUCUGGCGACAAUAUUGUUAAUUGUAACAGUAGAUUUCAGAUUUUUGGAAAUAUUGAUGAACCUAUAUAUCAAUUUUUGGGAGGUAGGAAAACAGUUAGGGGUCUCAUGUUGUGGGUAUGAGGAUGAUGUGGUCAAGGAAAUAGAAAGAAGGGAAGCAAGAGAUUUGGAGGUUAUGAAAAAGUACGAGGAGAGAAAUAAGGGGAGUUUCUUAUGAUUAUUGUGAAUCUGAAUAUAAGAGGUCUUGGGGAGGGAGGGUACUAAGGCUAAAUAUAUGAAAAAUAUUAUAGCCAACGAGAGUGCGAAUGUGUUGUGCUUACAAGAAACAAAAACAGUUGCGUUCUCAGAAGCUAGGUGUUUUUUGCUAUUGAGGAUAAUAAUGUGGGAUGGUUACAUAAUGAAGGUAUAAGUGGUGAUGGGAGUUUGCUAAUUACGUGGCAUAAAGAAGCGUUUCGUUGUGAUAGUCAUGUGGAGGUAGGGGCUUCAUUUAUAUUUUUGGUAAGCAUAUCAUAUCUAAAAUAAAAUGUGUGGGGAUCAAUGUGUAUGCAACGUGCAAUCUGAAUGACAAAGUGACCUUAUGGGAGGAAUUGACAACCAUUAAAAAUGCAAAUAAGAACUUGGCAUGGUGUCUUUGUGGCGAUUUUAAUGCUGUAAGAUGUGAAAAUGAAAGGAAAGCUAAAAGUGAAAGGGGCAACCAAAACAAUGAGAUCACUGGCUUUAACCAUUUUAUCGAAAGGAAUUUCCUGGUGGAAUUGCCAAUUGUGGGUAAGAAGUAUACUUGGUACAAGGAAAAUGGUACAACAAAAAGCAGACUAGAUAAAGUGCUUUUGUCUGACGUUUGGUUACGGAAAUGGCCAAUGGACAAACAAUAUGUACAACCAAGAGAGGUGUUAGAUCACUGUGCCAUAGUGGUGAAAUGUUUGGCCAAAGAUUAGGGUCCUAGACCCUUCAGGACUAUUGAUUCUUAGCAGAUGGAGUAUGGAUUCAAGGAUAUGGUGAGAGAUAAGUGGAAUUCUUACUUUGUUCAAGGCUAAAGCAUAACGAAAUUCAAAGAUACAAGCUAAAAAGUAUUAAGGCAGACCUCAAAGAGUGGAAUAGAGAUGUGUUUGAGCAUCUGGACAUAGAGAAGAACAGAAUUAUGAAGGAAAUUGAGGUUUUAGAUAUCCAAGAUGACGUCUUCGACCUCGAAGGCCACGCAAGGUUGAAGAGAAUGGACCUUACAGGUCAAUUGAGAGUGAUCAAUAAAAAGAUGAAGUCUCUCUUUAGGCAGAAAGCUAGAACUAACUGGUUUGUGCAUGGAGACUCUAAUUCUAAAUUCUACCACUCCGUAAUUAGAUGGAGAAGACUUAGAAAUGAGGUAAAAGGUGUCCUUGUGGGGAUCAAUGGUGUGAGCAACCUGAGGUUGUUCGAAGGGAAGCAAAAACUAUGUUUGAGGAUAGAUUUGUGGCUACACAUGAUUUUGGGGUUUAGGGUUUAACAAAGACAAUCAAGAAAAAGGCACACAAAAAGAAUCUAAGAUACUUACUAAACUUUUAACAAUGAAACUUUCUUUAGAAAUUGUUAAAGCAAAAGGAUAAAAAUUCCACAAUGUUAAAAUCAAUUUGUCAAUCAAAAUGGACCCACUAUUUUGAAAUGUUGCUAUUUUGAAAAGGUUGGAACCAAUAGACUUGCACAACUUCUCUUAUUUUUUUUUUAUACUAUUAUGGAAAUGAAAUGUCCAUAGUUUUGAUCAUGCAUAUUUUCAUAGACCUCCAAAUAUCACAAAAAGUUUGGGAUUCAAAUUAAUUGAUGACUUGAAAUCUUUUGUUUGGAACUUAAAUCUACUUCUACUAAAACAAACUUCCAAUUACUUUUAAACUUUCACAAUUAAAAGCAAAGUAAGUAGAAUCAAAAUAUAAGGACUCUUAGAACACUAAAGAACAUAUGACUCAAGACAAAAGAGGCAAGAACAAUAAAAGACAUAAAGGAACAUUCAAAAUGAGAACAAAGCCAUUGAAUAACAAUAAUGCCAAAUUGAAAAAAAGGAAAGUAAAGGACUGAAAUUAUAUGUGCUUGAAUGUAAAGACAAGAAAUUAAAGGUGUUUGAAUGUAAAGAUAAGAAAUUAAAGGUGUAAGAAAAGUAAAGUGCCAAAUCAAUUCAAAGCAAAAUAAGCUCAAGAACCUAAGCUCUGAUAACCACAUGAUGUGAGUUGAUUUUUAGAUGGUUCCAUUUUAUGGUGACACUUUUGCUUAAAGUUGGGAUUUUAGCAAUUUAUGGUGAAACCUAAGGAAGAUUCCCACUGAACACGAACUUAACCAAAUAGUUAAGUAAGUGUGAAGGUUCACUUCACAAAGGCAAAGAUGAAAAAUCAAUAUAAAAUGAUGCAAUGUGGAAUGGAAAUGGCAAUAAGGUAAGUAUCAAUGGUGGUCAUGGCCGAACCAAAUGAUGAACCAUUAGCAUAUAACAAAAGCAAAACAAAGUGUAAGAGUCCAAGAUAAAGACAUAUAUGAAAUGGAAAUGAAUUGAAAAGAGUGGAAGAAGAGUAGCUUAUGGAGUGAAUGCGAGAGUGGUUCACGUCACUUGGGGUGUGGUAGCCACCAAGAUGAGUGAAGAGCCGCCACUUGAGAGUCUCACACUACUAAAGAUAAGACCUAAUGCUAAGAGGAAACAGGCUUCAGUAACACCUCACACAAAUUGUGCAGAGUAACUUUUCUAUUUAAAUUCAACAUUAAAAAACAAGGAGUAAGGCACCCUAUUUAUAGGAAUGGGUGCAUUGGUGGACAAGAAGGGCAAGGGUAGGGUGGUAAAUGUGUGAGGGGGUUGCCUUUAGGGUUUGACUAAUUCAAAACUGCACCCUAGUCUUGUUCUUCUAGAAACUAGGUCAAAUUUCCUUCCUAAAACACUAGAAACAAGCUAAAAUGAUAACUACACCCCCUAUUAUGCUAUAGGCACCUAUUCUAGCCUAUCUUGCUAUUUUGGACCCCAAAAUGAGCCCAAAUUACUUACAUAACUUUUCUCUUGUGGAAAGGCCAAAAGGAAGAACUUCUGAUAUUCUGGUUUAUAGCUUGUUCUUCUUCUGCUGAUGCUUUCUCGAGGUUUGGUGGACCCGACUUUGUAUACUGAGAUGAUUGACCUUUUUGUGAAUUGUUUGUUGUGUCCUUAGUCCUCUACUGAUUGUUGUGGUUUGUAUCACUAGACAAUGGUGGUUCAUUGUCCAACACUUUUUUUUAAUCAACAAUAAAAAUUUAAUAAAUAGGAGUACUCAGGGUACUCCAACCCAUGUACAAAAAUCCCCUAUGCUAGAGAAAUGAGGUUUCCAGAUAAAAAUGACCAAAACAUAGCCAUAUUCUACCCAUAUAAUUCUAAUAAGCUUAAACAUCUUUAAAAACAUCUAGAUAUCAAUACAUAAAUCAAGCUAUCUAUAAAAAAAUCCAGCAAUCCAAUUCCAGAAUAUAAGCAUGUCAACUCUAAAGAAAGACUUUGCCUCCUUGCUAUCUACUGCAGUUUCCCAAGCACCCAUUAUGACUAUAGUUGUAGCCCAAGGAAAUUCCUCUCAUGCAAACCGAGAAUCCAGCAAAAAAAGUAGAGAAAAUGUGUUAAUCAUCAAUGUAGUGAUUUUAAACUUUCAUAUACAUUAAUACACCAAUCAGAAUAAGAGAAAUUUGACUUUGGAAAUUUAUAACUUACCCAUGCCCACGCUUUUACUUGGACCAAAGCAAUUUUUUUAACAGGAUCCACCAUUGCAUUAUUGAAAAUUAUCCUAUUCCUAUGGUUCCAAAUUCCUCAAAUAAUGGAAAUCCACAUACAUUUCCAGACACAAUUUCCCAAGUAGUUUAAACCUGUAAAACCUAUUUGUUUGUUGAGUAACAUUAUCACAAUGUACAAAAGUUCUACCAGCCCAAGCAUCAGAGAUAUACCACACUUUAGAAGUCACUUUAUAUGUGAAAAAAAGAUGAUUUACUGUUUCAAGCUCAGACCACACAUGGCACACAUCCCCUCUCCAACCUUAAUUCCUCUAUGUAUUAAAUUAUCAUAUGUUGCAAUUUUACCAAUUAAAACACGUCAGGCAAAGUAAUGUGCUUAUGGAAGAGCUUUUAGGCUAAAAAAAGAAUCAAAAUUGAAUGCAGAGAAUGAAUGUGGCUGCAAAAUAUUUUGGUGGCAAAGAAUUUUAUAAGCUGAGUUAACAAUAAAAGAAUUUGAGGUAUCACCUACCCACAUCCACUCAUCAUUUUUACAAGCAUAUAUUUUAAUAGUCUUCAAUUCAUCCAUAAAUUCAUUUAUAAUUUCAGUUUCCCAUUAAAACUACUAUUUUCUCCAUUCUAUUUGCCAUACCCAUUGGUUUUCAUGUCAUACCCUACAGAACCUUCUUUAAGCACUGAGUUUUAAAAAAUUAUGGGAUUUCUAUUUUUCAGAGUAUCAUUUCCUAUCCAAUAAUCUGUCCAAAACAGAAUAUUACUCCCUGCACCGACCUUCCACCUUCUCUGGUUAUCAAACUAACAAUUUGAGUUUCCUCCACACACCUUCUUGAUAUCUCUCCACCACCAAGAUUUAGUAUUUGACACAACACUAUCAUCCAACCCUCUCCAAGAACCAUAUUAAGAUUACGGGUGGCAAAGCGGCCCGCCCGCCCCGCAUAGGCCCGCGGGCUGGCUUGCAUUUUUGUUUUGAAACAUGGAGGAGAAGUGGAGGCAGCAACGGUGCGGUAGCAGUGAUGUGCGGCAACAACAGUGUGCAGUAGCGCGACAGUUGCAGGCGAAGCCGCACGGAGUUGCAAGUGGAGCGAGCGAAGUCGCAGGUGGAGCGAGCGACGACACUGCAACAGAGAGUGCGUCGUGUACAUUUUUUGGAACAACAUAGUUGCGUUGUGUUUUGAGUGAAAACCUAAUUUUCUUUCACUCAAAGUUGCAUCUCUUCCACGGACCAUUGCUGCCAAGUCAAUUUUUUUUUUUUUUAGCGAGCUAGCAGGCCAGCCCGCCUUGCCCCACUGCUGGCCCAUCCCACUUUGCCACCCCUAAUUUAGAUUCCAAUACCGGUUUCCAAAGUCCUUAUUUUUCACAACCAAGUCCCCAUUAUCAUUUCCCAAGAAGAACAAUAUUAAACAAAUUUACAUCCUUAAUUCAUAGUCCUCCUUCCGAUUUGGAUUGACAUAGGAAGUCCCACUUGAUCCAGGCUAUCUUCCUUUUAUCACUUCCCCAUCCCCAUAAAAAAUCCCUUUGUAAUCUUGUGAUUAAUUUCGCAACUGCCAUAGACAUUUUGAACAGAGAUAAGUAAUAUAAAGCGACAGCUGAAACAUGACAGAUUUUAUCAAAAUAACUCUUCCAGCAAAAUAUAAAUGUUUUCCAUUCCAACUAGAAAGCUUAGUUUUAAUAUUUGAUUUCAUGUCUUUCCAAAACACUUUUUUUCCUAUUAUUAUCUCCCACAAGACAUUGUCCUGCACUUGAUAAUUCAAGUGACGUUAAUCUGCCGACGAGGGAGCAUUAGAGUUGGAAUCCAGCGGCUUGCUCUCUGUGCAAUUGGGGGUAUGGCAGCAAGCCUACUGUGGAGGGGUUGCAAGCCAAGUUUAGACUAUGGUAUCUUACAGUAUAGGAGAUUGGGAACAACCAUUUUUUCUAUCUUCUAUUGUCUAUUUAUAUCAAUACUACAAUCCCUCUUUAGGAAUUUGUUUGACUUGGCUCUAUGCAGGUUAAUUGCUAGGAAAUUUAGUGGCUGCUGGUGUUUUUUUUUAUGCAGAACCAUCUGUUUGCUAAGUUGUGUUAAGCUUUUCUAAGUCGUGGUAGAUUUGUUCCCGUAUGGCGUGGAAGAAUGUUUUUUGGUUUGACUAGGAGAAAACGUUUUGGUUAUCGUAUAAGAGUUUGAACACUAUAAAGUCUUCAUUAAAUUCAAUUAUUCUUUGUUAUAAAAAAAUUGGAAAAACUAAAUCUGUAUGGAAAAUCUCAUAUUCCACAUACUGAUAUAUAUAAUGAAUGUGCAGUCAUCAUAUUUUUGAAAAUUUAGAAUAUAUAUAUAUAUUUUAGAAUAUUUGAAAGAUGUUUUAAUUCAUAUAUAAAAUAUUAAAAAUUUAAAUAAAUCUUAUUUAAAAAAUUACGAGAAAAUAUAUAUAUUUAAAAUUUGUCCAACAUAACAUAUAAAAUAACUAUCAACACAACACUGCAUCCUAAAAGGCGGAAGCCUUAAAUUUUCAUUUCUCGCAAAAAUCUGUAUUUGCACCUGAAACAAAGCCCCACCCCACGACACUAACGCAUUAGUAACAUGUAUAUGAUCAUUUGAAAUGUUAUUGAUCGAAACUUAACAUUAUAAAAACAUUUGAUUUUGAUAACGUGUGGAAUAAGGAUUUGUUCGAAAUUGGAGUUUGGUUUGGUGUGAAAGAAUUAUCCGAAAAAAGAAAAAUGGAGAGGAAAGUGGUAGAGUAUAUAAAGACGAAAUGAGAUGAGUGGGUUUGAUAGUCACGGACGAGUGAUUCCCAUAUGAGGAGGCAAAUGACAUGAGGUGCGACAAAAGUGUCACAAUAUCUUUACUAAUAAUUACAAUAACGAACAUUUCAGAGACUAUACUGUCUCUGUUGGAUGCAGAGCACUGUGCCCAGCCAUCACACCUUUAUUCAUUUACUUAACGCCAUAAAGAUCUUUCACCAAAUGAAUAAUGACGUGAGACCUAACCCUAAUUGUGAGCAACCACGGCACUGCCCUACAGUGCAUGCUAACAUGCAAACAGUUCAGAGAGAGAAGAACUCCAUAAGAAUGUGAGUUUCAAAAGUGGUCAACAUGCUCAGGAAUAUUUCAAAAUGAUAGGCUAAAAAGGCUCAUCUUUAAGCAAAGGAAUGUCAACAAAAGCACAUCAAAAUGUGAACGGCGUUUAUCAAGUUUUGUAGUGCUGCUAAUGGAGUUAGUAACCAUUUUUUUUAAUUAAUAAUAUUGUUAAAUAAGUAUUUUCAUAUAUAUAUAUAUAUAUAUAUAUAUAAAAUUAUGAUAUAAGCACAUGUCUCUUUUUUAAAAAAAGAAAGUAGUUUGGUGUCUGAUAAAUAAUAAUUUAAAUGUAAAAAAUCGUAAUUAUAUUUUUGAUUUGUAUGCUGUCAUGCACGUUUAUACUAGUCUUGGUAUCUUAUGUGAUGGUCUUUUAAUAAGAUUUUUCUUGAAAAGUAAGGAAUUAGGUGUAUGAAAUACAAAAUUGGUACUGCUUUAUUUUUAAGUUUUGUGUAGCUGUAGUGGGUAUGGUAUAUGUUAAUUAUAGCUAGAAAACAAUGGUGAAAUUGAAAGGAAACCAGGGUUUGUCGUUUCCAUUGGAAUAUAUCGAAUACGUGAAGAUGCUGAGCAAGAGAGUCAGCAUCCUCGUCUGUUGAGCAUUGUGCACAACCUGGCUGGCUUUACCGUAUUUACUUUUCUAUCUCAAACUAAACUUUAUCAUGAAAUUCAAUGAAACAGUAAAUUUAUUCAGAUGUCUAUCACUGUCAAAGUGAGAGAGUACUGAAGAGAAAGGGAUCGAUGUACUCAAGAAAAACAUAAGAGUUGCAAUUUAUAGAAUCGAAAUCAUAGUUAAUAGACCAAUUAGACUUCUUUUCAUAACAAAAUAACCUUAAAGCAGUUUUAAAUAAGUUCAUACAUACGUAACAAGCUAUUUCUUUAAUGUUUUUUCAUUGUGCCUAAUCUUUUCCUUAUUACAACGUUGACUUUCCAAAAUGAUGAUUUGGCUAUGCUGCUGCCUUCAGGUCAGGGUCCAAAGAACUCAGUACCCAUGACACGUUGUUGUUGUUGUAGUUGUUCUCUCUGUGAAAAUCCACCAUUCAUAUUUCUAACCAUUCCUCCAACACCCAAAAAGUCUAAGGUCAACUUAUCAGAACCUCCAAAGUUUACAUUAUUAAGAUUCUGGGGCAACUUAUGGUUGGACUCGUCGACGUUGUGAAACCCAGAAAGGUUGUUUUCAUUCCCUUGCAUGUUCCUAAACAAGGACGUGUUUCCAUUAGCAAUAGAGUUCAUCAACCCUUGAAGAUUGUGGUGGUGGUGGUGACCAUUUUCAGCUUUGGAACCAUUGCUAGACAUUCCUCUAAGUAAAGAAGAACCGCUGGUGGUUGUGGUUGAACCCAUUUGAGAGGCUUUUUGAAGCAACACAGUGGCAGACAUAUGAGGGGAUGAUACGUUUUCUAUUGAAUCACCAAAGAGCGAAGAAAAACUUGAACCCACAUGAUCACUUACUGCAGGGUUGUUAUUAACAAAGAGUGGUGGUGGUGUUGUUCCUUGGUCACUACCACUUAUGUUGUUGAAUUGAUCAGGGAUAAUGGUGCUAGUGCUAUUGCUACUUGGGAAGAAGCUGAGGUUGAAGAGAUUGGAAUUAGGAGCAGCAACUGAUGAAGAAUUGGAGUUGUUAGUGUUGCCAUCAAGAGCAGUGAGCUGCAUUAGGCCAUGUAGUUGCUUGUUUGAGAAUAGUUGUCCUUGUUGUGAUUGGUGUUCUUCAAAUAAUGUUUGAUUGGUGUUGUUAUUCAUGAAGAAAGCUGAGGAAGGCAUUGAUUGUGGUGAGUGUCCAAAUGAAGACUGAUUUAGAGGUGGAAUCAAGUGCUCAAACUUAAGAGCUGCACCAAUGUUAGUGACUGUUUGGUUCUGAUUUUGAACUUGGGAAAGUUGGGUACCCACUUGGGAUAGGGUUAAACUAGUGUGGUUUGUGCCAAACAAAUGAGUUCCCAAAGGAUUUGAGCUACUGGGGUAUCUUGCACUCUCAUGUGCUAAUGCAUCACAGAACGCCCUAUGAGUGAUGAAACUGUCACGCCUGCAUCAAAAAUAUAAUAAAAGGUAUACAUAAAUUGACCACAUCUUCCAUUAUAGAAACUGACAAAGGUGAAUUUAUUACGUCGAGUAUUAAGUAAGACUUAAAAUUAUAUUAUUAGUAUGCUCCAGUAAGAAUACAAUAUAAUAAUCAAAAUGUUCCUAAUCAGCUCAAUAACAACUAUUAUGCCACCACAUCAACACAUAAAAUUCUUGAACCAAACCAUAUAUUAAUUUUAAUAACGUAUAUAGGUAACCUAACACCGUCCAACCUAAAGAAUUUUGGAACUGUAGAAGUUCAAGAUAUAUAUAUAUAUAUAUAUAUAUAUAUCAAUUAUUUAACCAACCAAUUCCAAAGGUAUAGUCAAAUAUAAAAUAAAAAAUAAAAUAGGAAAUGUUUUUUUCUUUGUAAUUGGAACUGCAAUUUUGAAAAUAAAACUCUAAUGGAAACAGAGGGCCCAGGGGAUCAUUAUACCAAAAGAUGAUACACACAAGAAAUCCAAAUCUAACUGCCACUUUAAGGUCUCUCAUUAAUCAAUAAAAGAGAAUUAUUUUCAGCUUCUGAUGAAAGUCAAUUAUCAUAAGACCAAAGAUGGGGCCAGUUCAAUAAAUGCAAACAACCUCAAUACUUGUCUAUUUUCUACGACGAGAAUUCAUUUCAAAGCAAUGGUAGAAUACAAAAAUUGCUGAUAUAGAAGUGGCGAAUUAAUGGUGAGAAUUUGUUUAGCAAUGAAUAAAGAAAUAAUGGGAAGUGGUGACAAUUAUGCAGCUCGGACCCAUUGCAAGAAGAUAAGUGUAUUUAUAUAUGAACCGAGCCAAGCCGAAAGAGAACAAAAGCCAGCAUCUCCAACUCAUGUGAGAACAAACCCAGUAUCACUAUGCCUGUUGCCUUUGCAGAGUUGCUUAACUGCACGUGAAUGGGAAUAAGGGUGGGGGCACAGUUCCCGAGGACCAAAGUUGAACUUGCUUGUUUUUCUUCCCAAAGCAUGUCAAUUUUGGUACCCCAUUUCAACAGUCUACUCACGUGCGAGCAGUCUCCUGCCAUGCCUCCACUAACACCCAAGGAAAUGAAUGGAGAAAGCUCUAGUUCACAUUUAACUUCUGUUUCGACUAUUUACUCAAUUUUUUCAAACUAGCGACACCUUCUUAGGUUGCGUUUAGAAAUGCUUAUAAUAAAAAUGCAUCAAGCUUAAAAGCUUUUACUAGUGUGAAAAAUUCAAAACCCACCAAAGAGUAUGAGAAACCCUAAUUUUUCAUAAACUGGAUGGUGUGUGUGUAUUAUAUACACAUUUGAAGAAUGUAUAAAGUGCAGUGGAAACUAAGAUAAAAUGGGUUGUUACCUAGAGAAGAGAGUGCCACAGUCACAUCUGUACUCUCUAGUGCCACAAGUCUUUGAAUGUGCUUUCCAAUCAGAUUGAACAGCAUAUUUCUUUGAGCACUUUUCACACUUCCACUUCUUCUCACCAUGCUUGCGAGAGUAGUGCUUCUUGAUUCCAGUGAGGUCUCCCAAAGCCCUUGAAGGAUCAUGAUGGACGCAGGUGGGCUCGGGACAAAGAUAAACCUUUCUUUUUUGCUCUUUUGUACUCUUCUGCUUUAGCUUCCAAGGAAGGUUGUGUCCUCUUCUGUGAAGCUGUAGGUUUUGCUCCCUUUGAAAUCCUUUAUUGCACACCUCACAUAUAAACCUGUUUGUUGCCAUUAGGGUCUUGGGAGAUAGUUUUAUCACCUCCGCGUCUGGAUCUUUUACCCCCACAAAAAUGACAAACAACAAAUUAUUAAAAAACUCUCAUGCUUCAAUCACUUGCUCAAAUUGAAUACGCACAAGAAACAGAAGAAUAAUCUUUCUUUUUUGACCUUGUUUUAGAACCACGUAGGAAUUUCAAUAGUAAUGAUAAAAAAAAAAAUACAAAUUUACGAAGAUUAUUAAAAAAUUUAAACCAGAAGUUUCAUGCUUUUGAGAUUCUUAGAGAAAAGCAAUCCAACCAUGAACUGAAUGUCUCUACAGUAAAUUAAAGAAGUCAAUAGCCCUAAAUCACGAAUAGGGUUUCGUCGUGUUUGUUAUUGAGAAAAUGAAAGAAGUGAAACAAAAUUGCAAAGGAUGUGUAUAUGUGUGUGGUUUAAGCAAUCAAAUUUAACUAAGCUACUUGCUUGGGGUUCCAGGUUGAUUCCUCCGUUUCUUUUGAGGAACUGUGAUUGGAGCAACUGUGGAGGGUUGAUGGUGUGUUGUAAUCUGAGGGCUUUCUUCUCUGGUUCCCGAGAAUGGAGUGGAUGAGGAAGCUGCCGCCAUAACUGUUGUGCAAAUCUGGAACUAAUAUCUGAACCAAAAGUAAACACCUAUCAAAUAUCCGAAUAUCCUUCUGCUGAAAGGAAAAAAAAAACCUCAAUUGCAUGUUUUCUUGUCCCUUGGAAAGAAUAAACAAAAAGAAAGGGAAAAAGAAACUACAACAGAAUGAAGAAAAAAAAAAAGACCUGAAGUAUGUUUGAUUUUUUCCCUGCUUUCUUUGUCUGUCAGGAAAAAAGAAAAAAAAUAGAAACUGAGAGAUUAAAUCACAAAAGAUACCGAGAGGAAAGUAUCUUAGGAGACAGAAGCAAACAGGAGACGAAGAGAAGAAAACAAUUCACUCUGAAUACCUACUUAUCUUCUGGCUAUUGUUUUCUUAUCAUAAAAUUUAGCUACUACUACUCCCUCUUGUUAUUUCUCAAUCAUUUGGUGUCAUCUAGACAGAAGAAUAAUAAUAAUAGUUAAUAACAUGCUAGCUUGUCCUCCAAAAGGCAUAUAUAAAUCAACUCAUAUGUAUCUCUUUUGAUCUCUGUGUCUCUUCUUUUCCCCUCUUCUCCUCAUGGUUGUGCAUUUUGUAAGGAGGAAUAAUUAAGGGUGGUAAAGUUGCCAGCGAAGUGAGGGAGGUAAUUUAUGUCACUGUUAUACUGCUCCUGCACGGGCUACUGUGUCCUUAGCAGAUGAUGGUCUGGGGCCACCGACCCUUUUAGCUCUCACACUCACCUUAUCUCUCCUUCUCUUCUUUCCUAUCUUUUUACCAACAACCAUACAACUUUCCUCAUUUUUUACCCAACAACUAAUUGGUUUAUGCAUUAUUAUAACUAUUGUUAAUUAUUACCAUGUCUACAAUACUUUCUUUAGCAUGGUUUUUAUCAGAUACAACUUUCCACUGUUAUUCGAUUAUAUAUGGUUACUAUAAACUGACAUAAAAGUUCUAGGAUUAGUUGGUAAAAAAUAUUUUCAAUCAAAAUCUUGUGGUAAUUUACGGACAAAGUACUUCGAACUCUUACACCUAAUCGUGAUAACUCAGUAGACAGAGAGCUUGCUGGUAGAUGAUGACAAUAUUUGGGUUUAUCUCCUAUUUUAUAAUAAUUGUAAUGGUAGUUUGAACUGUUUGCUUGAAGAUAUUUGCUUGGAAAAAUGUUAUCAGUUUGUAACCACCUUGGUAAACAGGGAUAAACAGGGAUUUUUGAAAUGAUGUUUGCAUUGACAAUGCUAGUUUGAAACAUUCUUUACCAUGCUUGUACCAAGUCUAUGUUGAAAUAGCUGCUUCGCGUGUAGAUGAAAGGGGAGUAUGGUAUGAUAAGAUUUGGUUCUGGAGAUCAAUUUGUCGGUCAAAAUCUAAUGCUAUAUCAGAAAAGCCAAGGCAAAUUUGUACGUAACACCGAAGUGAAAGCUACAAAGAUCAAACCAAAAUAUUUGCAUCUCUGCACUUAUUGGAAGAUGCUAAAGUUGCGUCCACAAAAAAAAUCUACGAACCCUUUGAAGCUCAAUUUUAUAAAAUGUGGUCGACACUACCUCUACAAUAUCACAAGGACGAGAAAGUUAGGAGGGUUGAGGGGAAAGUAUAAAAUUUUGAGUUCAUUUAAUAAAUAUAUAACAUUACUUUUUAUGUUAAAUAUUCAUAAUUGUGUGUUUUUUUAAAUGAUAAAAAAUAAUAUAAAAAAUAGGAUUGUAUGAUAAUUAUUAUCUAUAGAGUAAUUUAAAUAUAAUUAUUUUAGAUCUCUUUUUUAAUUUUAGUUGUGUUAAUUUAAUUUACUUUUGAAUAAAAUUGUUCUUUAUGUUUAAAUUUAGUUUUAAUUUCAUGUUAUAUACUUUAUCUUUGUUUUUUUUAGUUCUGAAGGAUAAAAGUUGUAAGAAGACGUUAUCGUGAACAUUAAAAUAGAGAAAAUGAAGUUUCCUAUUUAGAUUUACGCGAUAAAAAUUUACAAGAAGAAUUUGUAUAUAUGCACUUUAAGCCACCCAUUUUGUAGGCAUUUUAAGCCAAACUUGAGAGGAAAGUAGUGCUUAAAUAGUUUAUUUUGGACAGCCUAAGAAGUUCCAUCUGAAGUCCACUAUGGCAGAGGUUGAGUGUCUAUAAAAGACAAAAAAAAAAAUAGAACCUUAUUUUCAUACAAUUAUACACUUUGAGACAUACUUGGAGACACGGAAAAAUUCUUCUCCUUUUGAAGGAUUAUUUCUCUAUAAUUGAUAAGAAGUAGCUAAGUUUUCUUUCUUUCGUAGAAGCUUAAUACACUUGAAUCUACAUGUAAUUGUUAUGUUUUUUUUUUUAUUUAUGUAGUAGCUAUUAUUUUUUUUAAUGUUCAGUUAUAACUGAUAAAUUGGAGUAAUGGUAUGAUUUUAUAAUUUUUAUUAUAAUUCAAAAUAAGUCAAAGAUUGGUAGUAGAAUCAAUUAUAUAAUCAUUAAAUAAAAACUAAUUUUAUAGUAAAAAAAUAAUUAGUUACUAUAUUGACUAUAUUAAAUAUUAUUUUAGAUAUUAAAAAAAUUAUUAGUAUCUAAAAUAAUUUCUAUUAUUAAUAAAAUUUAAAACUAGUUUCAAAUUGAUAUAUUUUCCGACCUCAAGUCUAUUAAGAUAAUAUCACUAGGAUCAAUCACCACAUCUGAGAUAUUUGGAGCUCGAAGUUCCAUUACAUUUUUUUUUUCUUAAAAGGCCUCUAAGAAGUUUAAAGCACUAGUGCAAAUAAUGCUUUUUACAACAACAUAUUUGGUUGGUUAAGAAAGAACCGGUGUAAAGAAAAAUACGGUGACAUUUUUGUAAAUAUUGUGCAUAUAUUACAUUGGUUGUUACUCCUAAUCGGUGUAAUAUGUGUUGAUUUUGAGUAAUUUUUUUUAAAAAAAUUACAUUUUUACAGUGAUAUAUUAAAUCGGUUGUUAGGUCCAAGCGGUUAAUAUGUAUUGAUUUUGAGUGUAAAAAAAUUAUUUAAAAAUUACAUUUUUCUAGUGACGUAUUACAUUGGUUGUGAGGUCCAACCGAUGUAAUAUGUAUUGAUUUCGAGUGUAAAAAAAUGUUUAAAAAACUACAUUUUUUGGGAUGAUAUAUUACAUCGGUUGGGAGAUCCAAUCGAUGUAAUAUGUAUUGAUUUGUCUUUUAAAUGUAUAAAUUUUAAAAGGUAAGUGAUGUUAGGGGCAUUUAUUACAUCGAUUAUUACUAAGAAUUGAUGUAAUAUAUGCAUUCACCUUGUUUUUUUUUUUUCUUGUGCACUCACUGCUCAUUUUGCAUUUGAAGUUUGUUUGCUGAGUGUAAGACGUCUGAGCCACUGCCACCAUUGCCUUUGUUACCACUAUUUUUGUUGCCAUCGCUCACGCUCCCUUUGUUGUCACUACCAUCGCUUCUCGUUGUCGCCACUGUUUGUUGUGCCCUUGUUCACUGCCACCGAGAGUUGUGUUUCAUUGUCGCCAUUGUUCGCGCUAAUGUCGUCAUUCGCUGCUACCAUCAUUCAUCUAGCCACCAUUGAAAACUUCUGGUCCUGCCACGUUAAGGUAAGUUUUAAAUAUUUUUAUUAUAAUUUAUUAUUUUAUUUAGAAAUAAAAUUUUAAUUUAUAUAGAAAAUUAGUUUUAAUAUAAUAUAUUAUGUUUGGAAUAUAAUGUAUAUUUUUUUAAAAAAAAUUAAUUUGUUGUUGUUAAUUGUUAUAUGUUGAACGCUUUGAUAUUAGGUUUGGCGGUGUUCGACCCUCGACAAUGUGUACUGUGUUUUAUAAUACAUCGACUAAAAAGUGGGAGAGAUUGAUGGAUAAACCAAGUGCUUUUAUUACAUAGUAAUGGAUUGAAGUUGGAUAAGUGAUUCUACACUUUUCUCAAUGAAAUGUAGAAGCUAUAAAUGGAAGAUAUUAUUAUCCAUGUGUUAAUUGUUUGAAUGGGAGACUAUAAGAAAUUAAGUUGAUACGAGAACAUGUUGUGAUGGUUUCUUGAAGAGUUAUAUAACGUGGAUAUGACAUAGUGAAUUUGUAGACAUAACACCUCUAUUUAAAUUUCAAUAUUCUAAUAUACACUUUGAAGAUUGCAUGGAGGACAUGAUUCAUGAUAUUUGAGAAGAUAGUUUCCGACAAGCACAUAUGUGUGAUUCAUUGAAAGAUGAUUCAAAACCAUCUCUAUAUCUUGGUUGUUCAAGUUUCACAUGUUUGUCUUAUUAAAAUUAAUUAAUAUUAAGGCAAAAAAUAGGAAGAUCGAUAAAAGCUUCACUAAAUUAUUGGAGUUGUUGCAUGAAAUGCUUCCAAAAGGUAAUACAUUGUCGACCCUUCAUAUGAGGUGAAGAAGAUAUUGGGUCUGAUGGGUACGGAGUACUAGAAAAUACAUGCAUGUCCUAAUGAUUGUAUUUUGUAUAGAAAAAAAGGUUUGAAUCAUUGUAUAGGUGUCCAAGAUGCAGGAUAUCAUGAUACAAAGUGAAAAAUGAUGACAGUGAGGAAGAUGAUGUGAAAAAGGGUCCUCCUAAGAAAGUAUUAUGAUAUCUUCCAAUCAUACCGCGAUUUAAACGUUUGUUUCCCAAUAUUAAUGAUGCAAAAAAUGUCACAUGGCAUGCAAAUGGAAAAAAAAUGUUAGGUUGUUACGACAUGUUGUCGAUUCACCACAAUGUUAAUAAAAUCAAGAGUAGAAUGGAAAUAUGUAAAAUGAGAUUUUUGUUGUUGGCGGGUAGAGUAUGCUUACUAAAGUCUAUCAUUUCCUCUUGACCCCAAUACUACAUAUCUUUUUAUAAAAUUCCAGCUAUUAUAAGACAUCAAAUUAGAACUAUCCAGAGGAAUUUUUUAUAGAGGAGGUGAAACAAAGGAAGAAAUAUAUCAUGGUUAAAAUGGGUGGACAUAUGUAAACCAAAGGAAGAGGGAGGCUUGGAACUUAAAGAUGUCAAAUUGUUUAAUGUAACAUUGUUGUCUAAGUGAAAAUGGAGGUUAGGGUAACCACAAAGGACUGUGGAAGAAUAUUUUAGAAUUUAAGUAUGGCUUUUGAGGAACUUGAAUGUUAAUGGAAACGUCACUUACGAGUUAUGGCGGUGGAGGGACCUAAGAGGGGUUUGUGGGAAGGCAUAAAAGGGGAAUGGUUUGUGAUAAAUGCUAGAUUUCAGUAAUACUUUAUAUUAAAAUACAUGCACUUGUGGAUAUUAAUUGAUAAAAUAACCACAAUAUAACCCCUAAUUCAUGAACUAAAACCUUUUUACAUAUUUUCUAAUUAUAAUUUGAAUAAGAACGAUUUAUUCCCAAAUUUGUGUUAAUUUCAGGAUUUUAGGAAAGAAUGAAGAUGAAAGGGUAAAAGGAUAAUAUACAAAGCUAAAAAGGGAAAGUUGGAAUGCACCAACACUUACCCUAGAGGAGACAGCUGUCAAGGAGAAACAUCCUGAAUCUUCUUUUCAUGCUUUCCAUGCUUGUAAUAGCCAACAUGAGUGGCUAAUUCUACCAUUUGGGAAUGAGAGUAAUCUGUUCAAACUCUUAUGUAUUGAGGUGAUAUUUAAAUAUAAUAUUUUUUCUUGAUUGAUGAUUGCUAUUGUCAUUUUAUUUGUAAUGCUUGUUUACCAUUAUCAAGAUCCUUAGAUUUAACUGGAAAGUACUUCUAAGUUUCUAACCUAAAUGAUAAUGUUAGGAAUAGAUUUGAAAUGUUAAUUGCUAUCAACAUCUAAUCGUAAUGAUAAGAAGUUUUUAUAAAUAUGCGAGAAAUCAAUAUUUAGGAGACUUUCUUAAUAAUUUUAUGUGAGUAAUCGAUAUAAAUUACUUUUAUAUGGACAUCAACAUCAAUCAAAAGAUAAAAUAUUACUAUGCUAAUCAAAAUACAAAAGAGUAAGAAAGACGAACCUCAAUCCCAAUAUUCCCAAUUGAACUAACAAUCUCUUUGACUUCUUUCUUUUUAAUUAUUGCAAUCACAACAAACUCCCAAAAAACUUUAUUAUUUUGUUUUCUAUUUAGUGAAUCUUAUACUUGAUUAUUCAAUGUUCCUUGUGGGUUUGAUAUCCUUCCUUAAGGAUCCUCAUGAUAUCCUUCCUUAAGGAUCCUCAUGAUAUCCUUCCUUAAGGAUCCUCAUGAUAUUCUUCCUUAGCAAUUACAACAUGGUGUACUUUUCGUAAAAUAGUCAUGAAGUUUUUGGCACCAUUAUUGGAAAACAAUUGAUUUUUUAGUAUAAAUUCCUAAAUAUUAUGAAUAUUUUAAUUGCUUUUAACUUUUGUUUUAUUUCAUUUUAAUUGCAGAUUUGUGUUAUUUUAUUUCAGAUUUAUUUUAUUUUACUUUAUUUGUUUUCAAUUUUAAAUUUUUUUAAAAAAAUUACUGUUAGUGAAUCCUUGUGUUAACCCUUGAUUUAGUUGUCUUAUAUGAUAUUAAAAGGUCAAAUUCCCAAAGACCAAAUAUUAUUUGAAUCAAAGAUUGAAAAGGCAGCUAAAAGAAACAAAAAGACAAAGACAAAAGAAAGACAAGGAGACGCUAGAGAGGAAUCCUCAACCACUUCUUCCCUUCCCAUUAAUAUUUUUCAGGAGGAGAAUAAUAUGGCAUAAGAGCAGACACCACCUCCUAGGAGAACCCUUGGAGAUUAUGCCAUGGAGCAAGGGCCAAGGCAUUUUUCUAGUAUUGCAAUACCUGCUACCUCUAGGGUCUUGGAGAUGAAACCCGUUUUCCUUAGUCUUAUCAGUACCCAUCCGUUUACAACAAUGGAUCAUGAGGAUCCAUAUACACAUUUGUCUACAUUUUAUGAACUGGUGGGAAAAAUGGGCUUCCAAUCAGGUGAUCUAGAAAAUGUUUAUAUGCGUUUAUUUUCUUUUUCAUUAGCAGAAAAGGCAAAAUAAUGGCUCAAAUCACAUCCAAAUCAAAGUCUCAAUAGUUGGGAGGAUGUAGAGGAAAAAUUUCUACAAAUGUUUUUUCCAUUAUCUUGCUACAUCAAAGCAAAGUCUGAAAUAUCUAUGUUCAGACAAGGAGCAGAUAAAGCAUUUUGUGAGACAUGGGAAAGAUUUAAAAUGACGCUGAGAAAAUGUCCAAAUAAUGGGUUUGAAGACAUUGCUCAAUUGAGCAUUUUUCACAAUGGUCUCAUAUAUGAUAACAAGAUGCUUCUAAAUGUUGUAGUUGGUGGUACAAUGAUGGCAAUUGAUGCAAAAGAAGCAACAAAGAUUAUUGAGGCAAUGACAUCCACAAAUUAUCAAGCCCAAAAUGAUAGUAAAAAUGAGCCAAAGAAGGGGAUGAUGGAUCAUAAUUCUUCAAACACAUUUUUGGCUGAAAACUAAAUUCAAACACAAUAGUUGGAAGCAUUAACUGCACAAAUGGCUAAAUUGCCACAACAAUUACAAGUUGUGCAAGCUUAUUAGAGUCAGAGUCAAUCAAUAAAGUGUGAUUUUUGUAGAGGUGAUCAUUCCAAUGGGCAUUGUACUUAUCAGAAUAAUUCAUCUGAAGAAGAAGCUCAUUAUAUGGAAAUAAAGGAGGUAAGGUGGGUUCUCCAACAAAAAUACUCAAGGUUGGAGAAGCAAGCAAAAUCAAAGUUUUAAGCAACAACAACAACCAUUAUAUCCUUCAUCCCAAGAGAGAGAAAAGCAAACUGGAGGAUACCUUGGAGAAACUGCCCAAUAAAGGAGCUUUGACAUUGUUGUUCAAAGUUUGAAGACACAAAUGGGACAAAUUGCACAACAGUUGAAGAAAUCCAAGGAGCAAUGUAAGUCAGUCACUACUAGAAGUGGAAUAGUUAUAGGAAAGGGGAUUGGUGAUAAUUUGAUUGUUGAAAUAAAGGAAAUAAUGGAAUUAGUGGCUCGUUUUUAUGUUGGAUGUUCAAACUUGUUGUAGGAUCACACCUCUCAAGUUGUUUUGCUAAGGGGAUAAAGGGAUUUUUAGGGCUAAAUAUGUUUACAGAGAGAGGAUCUCUUGGUUCAAUAUUGUAAAGAAUUCCCGCUACAUCAAAUAUUGGAGACAAGAUUUGUUGAUCCAUUGUAAGGAAUUUUUGUUACCUCAAACUUUGGAGACAACAUUUGGGUUGAUUGAUUAUUUGUAUAAAUAUAUAAGGACAAACUAGCUAACAUAAGGAAUAGUCAUAUGUUAUUUAUUUGUAUAUAAGGUUGAAGCAUUCCUAUGUACUCAUUCUUUGUAUAUAGAUUUUCUUUAUUGAUAAAAAAGUACUGAAUUGUACUUAUUCUUUUUAAAAUACCACUAGCAUACUAUAAAAUAAAAUUUUUUUAAAAGUAAAUGAUACUUAAAUAUUUCAUCUAAUAGAAAAAACUAUUAUUAUCUCUAAAAAAAGACUUUAAAAAAAAUAUCCAUAGCUAAUUUCUUUUAUAAAAUUUAUAAGAAAUAACUUCUCCAAAUAUUUUGUUUUUAAAUUUUGUAAAGUUUCACAAAAUAUUUAUAGAACAAGUUGCACAACAUAUAAAAAUAAUAAUAAAUUUAUAAAAAAACAACAUUUAAGUAUUUUAUCUUUAUAUAUAAAUAUCAAAUAAAAAUAAUUACUUAUAAUGUAUAUUAAUUCAUUAGAAAAAAAGUAAACCCCCAUAUUAGCAUAUACAUCUAUUCUAACAUUAUCAUAACACCUUCACUACAUGAAAAAAUGGUUUUAACGGGAGUUUAUUUUUACAUUAUUAAAGGUUAAAACCUCUCUUAAGUCAUUUACUCAGGGCAGUUUCUCCUGCUAAAUCAUCUUUGAGAAAUGUGUUUCCUGGGGUUUUUUUAAACAUUUGGAAAAAUCUUUCAAAAUCCCCGUUAAAUAUCAUGGGCUUAAGAACCUCCGUAAAAUUUCAUAACCUCCGUAAAAUACUAUGCGUUUUAGGACCUCCGUAAAAUACCACGAGUUUCAAAACCUCUGUAAAAUAUCAUAGGUUUUAGAACCGCUGCAAAAUACCAUAGUUUUCAAAACCUCCAUAAAUUUUAGAACCUCUGUAAAAUAACAUAGGCUUCAGAAUCUCCGUAAAAUAUCAUUUGUUUUAAAAUCUCUGUAAAAUAUCAUAGGUUUCAGAAUCUUCAUAAAAUACCAUAGGUUUCAGAACUCCGUAAAAUACCAUAGACUUCAGAACCUUCGUAAAAUACCAUAGGUUUCAGAACCUUCGUAAAAUAUCAUAUUUAGAUGUUGUUCUCUAAUUAAAUUAAAAAUUUAUUUUUAAAAAAAUAUAUUUAAAAAAAUGCAAAUUAAAAAAAAUAAAAAAUGUAAAAAAGAACUAAAUGAAAAAAAAAAUACUUCUUAAAAUGAAAGAUAAGUGAAAGAGGAGCAAGUCCAAUAUAGAAAGAUUCAAGCCUAGAAAGCGGGUAGGGAUAGAAAUGAUAUGGAAAUAGGUGAUGUUUACAAGGAAAAAGAAGAAGCAAAAAGCACCUAUGAUUGAAUCAAAUUUUCAAAUCUUCAAUGUUUAUCAUGCAUUGCAGCAGUAACUCACCUCCCAUCCUGGUUGAGGGCUAAGAAUUGGUGUUGCCAUGAAACUUGCCUUACCCUUUAUAUAAGUUUCUCUCCAUAUUAGCAAAAAGAUUAUAAAAGAAAGAAAAACAAGCAAUCAGAAUUGACAUGCCAAUAUGUUUCUUAAAUAGCAAAAGAUAUAAACUUUUUCAUCCAAACCUGACUUUUAAGAAAAACUAGUGCAACUGUAUUCCUUAAAAAAAAAUAUGAAAAUGGAUAAAUAGAUUUUGAAUAGACAACUGUACCUAAAUGAUUAUUUUAUUUUUUAUGAAAAAAAUUGUCACUACAUCUUUGAUGGUUUCGAAGUCCUAGUUUGUUAAACGAUUUCAGUUUUUAGGACUUUACUUUUUUUUAAGUAAAGUUUCCAUGUAAGUGAGUUUUCUUUUAUGAUUUAUUAAUUUAGGUUUUUCAAUUUAAAUUUUAUAAUAAUAAAGUUGUGUCUUGUUAUAUUUUAAAAAAUAAUAUUUAAGUGCUUAUAUUUUAAAGAUAUAGUUAAGUUUGUUUUAGAUGAUAUAGUCUUUCAAUAAAAAAAUUUCAAUUAGGUAAAAUUGGGUUUCAUUCAUUGAAAAAUGAAAUAAAAGUUGAAAUUAAUUAUGAUAAAUUUGUAGAAAUUUUUAUUUAAUAUAGACAAACUAAUUUUUAAAACGAAAGGAUAUAUUGUUCUAAGAAUCCAUUUUCUAGUUUGUCUUGUGAACUUUUUUUGUAGUUCUUAUAUUUGAUAGUUUCCUGAAAGGCUGAAGCAAAUGUUGAAAUCUCUCUUUCCCUAUUAUCACCAUAUCCAUAAUAGUAAUUGGCAUUGUAUGUAUGCAUGACUCAACAUUUAUCUAUUGGGGGAAGAUAUCACACAUGAUGAUGAUGGGUAUAUGUGAAUUGACAUUGGAAUGAAAAUGAAAGAUGAAGGGUCACCUGUGUGGACCAUGUUGUGUGUGGCUUUGGUUUGGAUAGAAGCUUAAAAUUGAGACACAUGAUGUGGGGUAAGUACCUAGAUAAGGACCAUAUGUCUUAAGAGAGAAAAUAGAUGAACAAUUAUAAAUCUUUUGGGAAUUUGGCUUUACCUACAUUUCAAGUACUUUGUUUCCAUUACUUGGACUCAAAGUUAUUCUUUCACGCUCUUUAGUAAAUAAGGUACACUUAAGUGGAACAAAUUAAUAGAAAAUGAUAUGUUAAAAAAUAAACUUUAAUGCAUGUAUAGUAUAAAAUAUUCUUAUAUUUAGUCAAUGUGGGAUAUUCAACAUUUUACAUAACAACCUGAUAGUGAGUGACCUGAUAAGUCCAACAAACUCUUACUAGGAUGACUUUAAUACCAAAUUAAAAGUAACUUUAAGUCUAACUUAACUUUACAAAACUGGUUAAUAAGUAAGCAUUCAAUUAUAUAUUAUAAAAUUCUAUUAUCUCUAGUCAAUUUCAUAUCUCCAUCAAAUAUUCAAUUCAAAGACUAUAUAUGAAUUGUUUGCAUCAACUUAGGUUUCUCUAGUAAAUUGCCAAGUUUUGUUCCCGAGAAAGCUGGCCAACAACGUUGGUUUGGUCGGUUUAAACCUUAAACCUUUUCGGGGUAAGGUUCUUGCCUCCUUGGUAUGAAGGGAUAUUUAGCUUGCCUCUUCGGUGGAUUUGAGGUCAGAGGAUAUUAGUCAUUUCAUCUCCGAAAGUGCUGUUAGAAAUUGUAAUAUGAUGUUUUGGAUGAAAAAUGAUGUGUCUGAAGCUCGAAAAUUUAGAAUUGUGGGAAGGAGAUGGGAUUUUUGUUUAAUGGUGAGGAGGAUGUAGUUUUUUGUUCUUUACAAGCCUUGGAAGCUCUGGAUUCUAACAGAAGGAAGAAGGCCAACGUUUUUGAUGAUGAAAAUAAUUAGUCUGAAUAUUAGGGGGCUAGGAGGAAGCGUUAAAAGAAGAUAUCUAAGAGAGUUAAUAAGCUUGGAACAAGUAGGCGUGGUUUGUCUACAAGAAACAACGUCUUUUGAGUUUGGUGAGGGGAAUUGUUUUCUAUUGUGGGGCUCUAACGACAUCGGUUAGGUUGAGAAUGGAGCGAGUAGUAACGCUGGUGGGAUUAUUACAAUAUGGAGAAAUAGUUGUUUUCAUUUGUUGAGGUACUCUAACGGGAACAAUUUUCUGUUAUUGAAGGGGUCUGGAAGGUUGGUGGUGGUGUACAGGUUACAAUUGUGAAUGUCUAUUGCUUGGGGUCGUUGAGGGAUAAGAAGAUAAUUUGGGAUGAGAUUUGUGAAGUAAGGACAAAUCAUUCGAAUAGGGUUUGGUGUGUAGUUGGGGACUUCAAUGCUAUAAGGAGGAAGGAGGAAAGAAAAAGUUUUGUUUUUGUGUCAUACUACAACAGAGAAAUUAAUGAGUUUAAUAAUUUUAUUGAAAGGUCAGAACUGUUGGAUAUCCCGAUGGUUGGCAGGAAAUUUACUUGGUAUAAACCAAAUGGAUUCGUGAAGAGCAGAAUCGAUAGGGUCUUGGUUUCCAAGGAUUGGUUGGAAACUUAGUGAAAUAGUAAAUAGUUUGUCUCUAGUAGAUCGGUGUCAUAUCAUUGAGCCCUAGUACUUAAAGACGUGUGUUCAGAUUGGGUUUCGAACCCGUUAAGAAGUCUGGACAUUUGGCAGAAGGAUGGCAGGUUCAUUGAUUUUGUGCGAGACAAAUGGACUAACUAUAUGACAUGUUUGGAAAAUGGUUGUUCAUUUUAAGGAAAAAUUGAAAAGAUUAAAGUAGGAUUUAAAAGUCUAGAAUAGAGAUAUCUUUGAGAAUGUAAAUAGCCUUGGGGAGGAUUUAAAAAAGAAGAUUCAAAUUUUGGACGAAAGGCGUUCUUAAUGAGGCAGAAGGAGAGGAAAUGAGGUUAUUGUUGGCAGAACAAAGCAAGAAUCUUUCAAGCAAGAAGCGAUCUAUUUUCUGAAAGCUCGUCACAAGUGACUCCAACAAGGUGACCUAAAUUCUAAAUACUUCCAAUCGGUCGUUACAUGGAGAAGGGUAAGAAAUAACUCUAAUGACAUGUUCAAUAACGGUUGUUGGUGUGACGACAAGGACGUGGUUAAGGAUAGAGUCAGAGAUUUUUUUAAGAAUAGACUCGAAGGAGUUAUUGGGCCUCAGGUUAGAUUGGACAACGUAUUUUUUAACUCUAUUUCUGAUUUAGAUUAUGAGACGUUGGUUGGUUCUUUCUCUAAAGAGGAAGUUAAGAAUGCAGUUAGUUGUUGUGACAGUUCGAAGAGUUCUGAUCCAGAUGGUUUUAAUUUUAGCUUCAUUAAACAUAACUGGGAUAUGAUAAAAAAGGACAUUCUCUUGGCAGUGAAGGAUUUUGUUGUCUCUGGUUCUUGGCCUAUGGAGUCUAAUGCUUCCUUUAUUUACUUGGUCCCCAAGUCGGAAAACCCACAAUUGUUAGGUGAUUUCAAACCCUUUUCUCUGGUCAGGUGCUUGUACAAGAUUAUCUCUAAAUUGCUUUCUCUUAGGUUGAAAAAGGUAUUACGAAAGGUCACUGAUUCCAGACAAUCGACUUUUCUUGAAGGAAGGGGUUUAAUGGAUAGUGUUCUUGUCGCCAAUGAGAUACUUGAGGAGAAUAAGAAGACCAAGAAGAGUUUCAUUUUUUUCAAGGAGGACUACGAGAAGGCCUAUGACUCUGAGAAGUGGGAUUUUAUGUACUACAUGUUAGGAAGGCUUGGUUUUUGCGACAAGUUGAUUUUAUGAAUUAAAUCUUGCCUUAAGUCUGCUUCGUUUUUUGUUCUUGUUAACGGAAGCCCGACUAAGGAAUUUUCUCCGAUUAAGGGGUUGAGACAAUGUAACCCCCUCGCUCCAUUUUUAUUUCUUAUUGUGGUUGAAGGUUUGGCAUGGGUCUCUAGGAAUGCUGAUGAGCUUGAUGCGGUAGAAAGUAUGGAGAUCGGGAGUAAGAAGGUUAAAGUUAAUAUGCUUCAAUAUGCAGACGAUACUCAGUUUUUCUGUCAUGAGAAUUCUAAAAGUAUUUUCAACAUUAAGGCAAUGUUAAAUUGUUUUAAGCUGGCCUCAAGUUUGAAGGUGAAUUUUUUGAAAAGCAGUAUUUGUGGGUUGAUUCGUUCACUAUCCGAGGUUUGGCGGCUAUCCUUAACUAUGAUGUUAUGAAAGUCCUUUUCAAAUAUCUAGGGUUGCCUAUUGGGGGGUGUCACAAGAGGGAAGUGUUUUGGGAUUGAAUGGUGGAUAAAAUCAAGUCCAGAUUGAGAAGAUGGAAAGGUAGAAAUUUAUCUAUGGCAAGGAUUUGCCUCAUCAAGUCAGUUCUUUCAUCUAUUCCAUUGUUCUAUAUGUCAAUGUUUUUUUAUGCUUAUAGUUUUGAUGAAAUAGAUUGUGAGUAUUCAGAGGAACUUCCUCUGGGUGGAGUUCUAAAGGGAGAAAGAUCGUUUGAGUUUCUUAGGAAAAGGUUUGUGAGUCUCGAGAUGGUGGCGGGCUUGGAGUAGAUAAUAUUAAGGAUUUUAACUUGGCUUUGUUGGGUAAAUGAAUUUGGAGGUUGGGGUUUAAUGGGGGGUGUUUGUGGAAGGAGGUUUUAAAGUCGAAAUAUGGAGGCUGGAGAAAGCUGAAGGAGAACAUGUUUAUCUAUAAUGCUUCCCUUUGGUGGAAAGAUUUGGAAGUUGAAGAACUGGGGUAAUAACUUCGAUGACUGCUUUAAAUGGGAAGUUGAUAAUGGGAAGAUUAUCAAGUUCUGGGAGGACCAGAGGGUAGGUAAUGAUAUCUUGAAGAAUAAGUUUCCAAGGCAUUUUUUCUCUUUGUGUUGAGAAACAUGUGUCGUUGGACAUUGUGGGUCUUGGGCAAACCGUGUCUAGGAGUGGUCUUUGGCGUAGAGAAGAAGUCUUUUUGAUUGGGAGAAGGACUAACUUAGUCAACUCCUCGAGGUAGUGCACGACUUGUGUCCUGUCUUGGAUAAAGUUGAUAGGUGGGUCUAGAAAGACGUUAAGUUUCAUGAGUUUUCAAUUAAUUCGACGUACAUGAUUCUUAGAGGUGGGUCUGAGGGGAUCUGGUCGAGGAUGUUUAAUUGCUUUUGGAGGAUUAAGGCUUGGCCUUUUGCUCAUGUUACCGCUUGGAGGGUGAUAAAAAAUAAGAUUGUCGUUAAGGUUAAUUUACUUAGACGUGAGAUUACGGUCGGAAGCGCUCCCUGUUGUUUUUGCAAGGUAAAAGGGGAAGAGUUAAAUCAUUUGGAUUGUGGUGGUUAGUGAGAUUUGGAGUCAUAUGAACAAGAUUUUAUUCAAAGGUGGAGUGUUGGACUACUCUGAGAUCUUUUCAUUGGCUCAAUUGAAAGUUUAGUCUUGGAUUACUUCUAAAUUGUCCUCUACUUGUUUCUCUUAUUCUGAUUGGUGUCUUGUUCAUCUGGUUUGUCUUCUUUCGCUUUAGCUUGUUUGCCGUUGUGGUUUUUGGCAUGGUUAGUUAUGAGUAGUCGGUUGGAAGAUAUUGUGUUGUAAGGUCGUCUCAUGUUUUUUGUAUAUGAGUUGGAUUACCCUGAAGUGAUUCUUAUGUAUAUAUUGUUUCUUGUUGAUAAAAAAAAAACUUUACUCUUUGUAUAUCCCUACUCAUAUUUUAGAACAAUUAAUAAAACACGCAUUAGGGGCUUGCUACAAAUUAAUGCAUGUUAAGAAAAGUAUGACCAAAAUUAUGUCUAAAAAUGUUACUAAGGAUUUUUUUUAAAACUGUAUUAACAAAAUAUCACUAAAAUACGCAUACAACCCUCUUAUAAUAACACUUGUUUUUUUGGUUGACAAAGUUUUAAGUAGUCCUUUUAUAAAUGCAGAGUAGAAUGAGACAGAAAUAAAUGGAUGGAUUCUAUUUUAUUUGUAUAUUAUUAAAAGACAUUAAAUAAAAAAGUGAUAUAUUUUAUUUUUUGUAAGAAAAGAGCCAAGAAACAAAGGAAAAUAUUCCCUUAGGUUUUCACUCGUCAAACCUUGCCUCAAACUCUAGUCAAAUGACAAUAACUUGAUAGAACAUGAAUUAGAAGAUGAUUAUUACCCUUCAGCUGACUCUUUAUAAUUCUUUUUCCCAGGUAUAUUUAUACAGUUUUAAUCUCUUAAAUGAGUCUGUUAAACUAAAUUAAUAUAUUUAUCAGUUUUUAUUAAUAAUAUUAAUUUUUCAUCCCAGGGAUUUUAACCUGCACUUCAUAAAUUUAAUUAUUCUAAAAAUAUUAUGAGUUUUAAUUUUGCAUUGUAAAAUUGAUUUUUUUUUCCAAAAUUAUAUAAUCUAAAAUGUCAAAUAUAUUUGUUGUAAGUUCUGAAAUACAAAUUUGUAUUUCAAGAUUGUAUAAAGUAAAAUACUAUAAUUAUCUGUCACAGUUUCCGUCUACUUCAUAUCAUUAACUACACAGGGAUGCAUACAUGUUAUCUCAUUUUAAUACUGUACAAGAGUGCAGAUUGAGAUCAGAGUAUGUGUGAAUGCAGAUUGAAAUCAUAGGAGUGCAGGUUGGAAUCAUAGAGGUGCAUGAAGAUAUCAGCAUAAGCCUUAUGUUACCUUGGUCUAAGCCCAUAAAAGUCCAUAGCUGAUUAUUGCAAUUAGGCACUAUCUUCCUGCACCUCCCUAAAUCUUUCAAUUUCAAAAUUACCCUUCGACAAAAGGUGCAGGAUUUUUUAUUUUUUUUUCAUCUUCAAAUUGUAUAAUCCGUAGAACUUCUGAAUUUUAAAAUUUGAAAUAUUCUAUUCUAAAUUUUAGAGUUCGAAAUAUAUUUUUAAACUCUAAGAAAUAUGUUUUAAAGAAUUCGAAAUACAAAAUUGUAUUUUAAAUUAUAUAAUUUAGAAGAUAUUUUGAACCCAGAAAAUAUAUUAUAUUUUUAAAAAUUCAUAAUACAAUUUUGUUUUCCAAUUUUACAGUUUGAAAUGUAUUUUCUGGAUUCAAAAAUAUCUUUUAAACUCUAAUAUUCAAAAUAUAAAAUUGUAUUUGAAAUUCUAGAGUUCAAAAGAUAUUUUCAAACCUAUAAAAUAAAUUUCAAAUUCUAAAAUUUACUAAAAUUUAUUCAAAAUAUAAUUCUAUAUUCCAGGUAUUUUAGAGUUCGGAGUUUUAAAAUCCAAAAAGAGGAAAGACGGGUGUCAAUUAAAAAGAUGAAAAAAGGAGGUAGAAGAAGAAAUUGCCUUUUGGAGUUAACAAAGAAACAAAUCCAUUAGAGAUGGAAAGGUAAACUAGGCCCACAUCAAUAUGGGCCCAAUUAAGUAUAUAUUGAGUAAGUAUUUAAAAACUUGAUUUUAUUUUUCUUUACUUUUACAAACCUAAUUUUAUUGAAAUUAAGUUGAUAACGAAAUAAAUUAUAUUUAAAAUAUCUCUUCUAAAAAUAAGUUUGUAAUAAAACAUAACAUAUAAUUCUCAUUAUGACGUAAAUCUUACUUUUGUUUUUAACUUUUAACCAAAAGCAAUUUAAAAAAAAAAAACUUAAUUCUACAAACUUCAAUCAUACAUACUUAAUUCUUUCAGUAAUUUUGUGUUUUAAAUUGAUUAUUACAUUAAAUAUUGAAUUAAUGCACUUUUUUAUGGUUAAAUUAUAUAAUAACUCCUUACAAUUUUAUUAAGAUUUUAAAAAAGCCUGUAUAAUUUUAAAAUUUUACUACAUUUUAAUUGCUUAAAUAUAAUGAAUGAUUAUAUUUAACAAUUAAUUUUUUGAUUAAGUUAUAAAUACCUAUUCAAAAGUUCGUGCCACAAAAAGACAUAUUUAAAAACCAACACAAAAUAUAAUUAUUCAUUUAAUAGGUAUCACACUAGAGCUUGUUCUCAUAUUAAAUUUUAGUUUUUAAAUAAAUUACCAGAGUUUAGUAAAAUUCAAUAAUCUCUAUUCAUAAAUUGAGUUUUAUUUACAAACAACAUAAGAAUUUCUUUUGUAAAUUUUUAAAUCAUAGUAAUUACUUAAAGUUUGGAAUAGCUACAUAACAUAAUUUAACCUAAUAUAUAAAAUAAUUGUAUAUAUAACUUUAAAAAUUGUGAAUCAUUAUUUAAUAUAAAAUAAUAAUGUUUUGAUAAUGUACAUAUAUAAGAAGAAAUAAUUUAGUCCAAUAAGAGUAACAUUUAGUAAAGUUAUUUCUUUCAAUCCCGUAUUAACAACAAAUCUUUUGGAAGUGUUUUUUUUUACCUUUUCUUUACUAAAAUUUGUUGAAAUUUAAAUUAUUCAUUUUAAUAAUAAAUACACAUAAUAUUCUAGAACAAUUGCUUUGUUUACAGCAAAAUAUUUAAUAAAUUAUAAAUUAAUGGGAAAAAGUCCUAACAUAGUUAUUUUUAUAUUUUAAACAUAUGCCUAUUUUUUCAUGUUCACACAAACUCAUGCAACAUCUAAUGUGUACUCUUUACUACAAUUCUUGUUUUUAUGCAUUAACAACAAACACUACAAAUAAAAAAUAAUGGUGAAAAUGUUAAUUUAUUAGGCUUGUUUUAAUAUUUGAAAAGUCAAUCUAUGUUCGUAACUUAUAUAUAUAUAAUGUAGUAUAUGUUUUUAUAAUAACUAUUUACAAAAUUGAUAUCUUCUUUUCUUUUAUAACUUUUUCCUCUAUUUCAACAGUAGUCUUUAAUAUUAUAAAUUUAUAAUAAAAUAAUUUUUAUUUAAUGUCAAAUCAAUUUUUAAAAUUAUAUUUUAAUGAAAAAACAAUGUAAUGAAACUUAACAAGGGUAAGUAAUUUUAAGAUAUUGUACAAACUAAAAUAAAUAUUUCUUCUUUUAAAAACUAAAUAGAUAAUAUUUUACAUAUUUAAGGAUUAAAUUGAAACUUUACUAAAAUAAAAAAUCCAAGUAAUAUUAUUGCAAGACCCGUAUGAAAACUCAAAGGAAUUACACAACCUUAGCAGUUCUUUAUACUAUAGUAACACUAGUUUCAGAACUUUCAUAGAAUAGCCCAAAAUUGCAAUGUAUUUCUGGUAUAGCAUAAUUGUCCCAGACACAACUUACACAUCUUCAUAAAAAUCACACUGUUCGUACCAAAAGUAAAGUAACCACAAAAGCUCUAUUAACUUCAUUGUUGUUUUUUUUAAAUAUCAUCGACCAUUUCAUUCAAAAUACUUGAAGAGAUUUUAGAUCUGUUCUUGAUUCAAAAUCAGAAUUUCUAAUUAGUACCAACAUUUAAUUUCAACCUUUAUUGCACAUGAUACUAAAAUGAAAUUCUAAUUUUGAUUAUAGAACAGUAUUAAAAACACUUAAAAGUAAUGUACCUAAAUUUUGUCCACUCUUAGAAGAAAGAAAAACCCAUGACCAUAUCUUGUUCUUGUGAAAAGUAACUGUCGUGCUUCCAAUUCUCGUACCAUGCUUCUCCAACCAUUGAAUCAUCAAGCCUCCAAGUCUCAUCUUCAAAAGUACGUUCUGGUAUUUCAACACAAGCAUACCCGUUGAAACGACAAUCAUCCUCGUACGACAUUAACAAGUCACUGAUAUCAAAGUCUUGAAAAACACCUGUUAAACAGUGGUUAUGGUGAUCUUGUGACAUGGAUGCAGAAGGGUUAUUAUGGUCCCUGGUCGUUGUGAUCAAAUUCAUUGUGCUGACUGAAUCAUUGCCUGGCAUCAUAACCUUGGUACACCUCAUUGAUUUUGGUGUAAUCAUCAUUGGGUGAGGGGGUUUUGUAGGAUCAAGAACAUCAUCCAAGAAAUUUUUGGAGCUUAAGUUGAUAGGAAUGUUGCUGUCAUGGCCAACAACAUGGUUUUGAUUGUACUUCUGCUCUACCUUCUUUCUCAAAUAAGUGUUCCAGUAGUUCUUAAUUUCAUUGUCUGUUCUCCCUGGUAAUCGUCCCGCAAUUAGAGACCAUCUAUUCACCAUAACAAUAUGAUAAAAUAUUAAUACAUUGACAAAAAAAAAUGGAGUAAAUGCAUGUAAAAUAUAAACAGAUGUACCUAUUCCCUAAGAGUUUGUGUAAUCUGAUAAUGAGAUCUUCUUCAUCAGAAGAAAUGUUUCCUCUCUUUAUAUCUGGGUUUAGAUAAUUCAGCCAUCGAAGUCUGCAACUCUUGCCACAUCUUUUCAAGCCUACAUAAAUACAAAUGAUCAAAUUUUGAAAGUAGAAUACUUUUGAAACUCUAUAUAUUUCUGCAUUGCAUAUAUAUACCUGCUCUUUUGGAAAGCUCUCUCCAUUUACCUUCUCCAUGGACUUGAACGUAGUUCAUAAGAAUUUUGUCUUCUUCAGCAGACCAAGGACCUCUGUUCAUAGCAUAUUCAUUCUCACAGUUGGCCUUUCUUUCCAUCUUCUCUCUUUCUCUCACUCACCCUCUUUCGCUCUAUUAUUGGAUUCUGAAAGGUGUUGUUAAUGCCCCUUAAAUACUUGCUCACUUUUCUUUUAAUUAUUUAAAUAAAUGCCAUGUAUAUGUGGUAGAUGAAUCAACCAAAUGAGGAUCACGACUAUAACAGUUCUUUUACCUCAUUUUUUCCAUUCAAAUGGGACCCCUAGUGGACUACGUAUAGUGCUCCUUAAAGGAGAAAAAAGUAUUUUGAAAAGUGAUUUAGAAUAAUGUAGCAAACAUAAAAAUUUCUAGUAUUAUAUAUCAAAUUAAGUUUACACUUUGUAACAUUUAUAUAAUUAUGAAGAGAACUUAAAGUAUGUUCUGAUAAUAUAAUAAGUGUUGGAGUGGUAGCAUUUCACUGAGAUAAAAGAGUCUGAUUAAAGAGAACAGUUAUUAUGACAAAAGGAUAUGGAGAAAAGGAUUGGGCAUCGACCCUCGAAGAUUGCAAACUAAGUGGCUGAAAUAUCAGAGCAUGUGCUCAAUUAUAUCAUAACACACACGGGUCCCUCCAAUCUCAGUUUUACUACUCCUCAAAAAUCAAUAAUAGAACUAAGAUAUUUGCUCUUCUCAAUGUUACUACAAAGAAUCAACGUAGCAUUGUGUUCUGUGUUAAUGGAAAGCAACUGAGUCUAAAGAAGAAAAUAAAGAGUGAGAAACUAGAUCGCUAGAAUGAUAGAGUCGUGUAAAGAAUAAAGAUUCCCUCUUUUUAUGAUAAAAAAGUAGAAAGGAAAGUUUGUUUUGUCAAGUAGUAUUUUUAGUUCUGUCUGCUUAUAUUAUAAAAGUUACUUUAUUCAAAUGAAAAUUUCUUAAACUUUCUUAUAAUAAAUAAAAAAAAAUAAGUAUUUUGUUUAUUUAUUUUUCAUUAUAUUCAAACAAUAAGACAAUAUUUAGUAACUCUUAUUUACUUUAUUUUUCUUUCCACAUCUAACUAACAUAAAGCUAUGGAAAAGAAGUAUAUGUAAAAUUGGCGUCAAGAAUAAUUAUUCUUAUAUAUAGCAAUCAAUAUGUAAGAUUUCCUUCCAGAAAAUAAAGGCCAACCUAAUGGUCCUCUUGGCUGUGAAAACGGCUGACUAUCUAAUUAAAAAUAAUUUUUUUACAUGUAAUAUUAACACAAUUGUGGCUCAUUCACUAUUAAAGGAUACACAUACCAGAGUUAUAGAAGGAUCCUAAUAUUAAUUGGGUGUCUUUUCUAAUUAUCAAUUUGUUUCUCUUUAUAGAGGAGAAUAAUUUAGUGUCUUUUAUAAUUAUCAGUUGUUUCUUCUCUUUAUAGAGGUGAAUACCUUUAUUUUGUCUUUGUGUGUUAUGAUUAUAGUAUUUAAUUAUUGAUUCUUUUCAUUAUUGUUAAAAUUUGUAUUGUGAAAGGCUGCAUGACUUUGAUGAUGGUUCUGAUUUUUAAAUUUGAAAUAAGGUGGAAAACCACGCUUUUUAUAGCAUGUAUCACUGGUAUGCACUGUCUUUCCACAAUAAUUGCAAAUUUUGGAAGUAUAUCUUCUUCCAUAGCUUCCUCUUCCAUAUCCACCACCCAUGCCAUAGAUUGUAGCAUUGUUAUUAUAACCUCAUUUGCUAGUAGCAAUUAUUGCCUUUGAUUGAUCACCAAAAACUUGCCUCUCUUGUUGUGUAAUGAGAGAGUAAACUCUAUUCAAGGAUGAAUUAUCUGAUAAACUAACAUGGUAAUGUGAAUAAAGAUCUUGUGAGGGAUCAACAACGUCACCCAUAGAUAAAUGUAGCAACCAGAGCUCUAAUCAUAGCUAUGAUACCAUAUUACAAAAUAGAACAGAGAUGAACAAAAGAGUAAACUGAAGACAAAAGAUAUGAGAAUGAAUAUCUCUUCUUUCUUAUUAUUCAAAUCAAAACAAAUGGUCUGAAUAUAUACAAGUAGUACACUCAUUCUAGGUUUAACUAAAGAGGAAAAGAAUCAAUAAUUAAAUACUAGAAUCAUAACACACAAGACAAAAUAAAGGUUAUUCACCUCUAUAAAAAGAAACAACUGAUAAUUAGAAAAGACACCAAAAUUAUUCUCCUCUAUAAAGAGAAACAACUGAUAAUUAGAAAAGACACCCAAUUAAUAUUAGGAUCCUUCUAUAACUCUGGUAUUGAUAUUAUCAAGAAUAAAUUUCCUUUUGUUAAAUAUAAUAAAUCUUUUGUUCGUGAUGUUUGUCAUUUUGCAAAGCAAAAAAGACUUUAUUUUCCUAUUAGUACAUUUAAAUCGAAAAAAUGUUUUGAUUUGAUUCAUGUAGAUAUUUGGGGACCAUACUCAAUACCAUCAAUUCAUGGCCAUAAAUAUUUCUUGACCAUAGUUGAUGACUAUUCGAGGUACACGUGGAUUUUUCUUUUGAAACAAAAAUAUGAAGUUGUUAAGGUUUUGGAACAUUUUGUUAUUUUUGUUCAAACACAGUUUGAGACAACAAUAAAAAUAAUAAGAAGUGAUAAUGGAACUGAGUUUGUCAUGACUAAUUUUUUUGUUAGUAAAGGAAUAAUACAUCAAACAUCAUGUGUCAAUACUCCACAACAAAAUAGUAUAGUUGAAAGGAAACAUGGUCAUUUAUUAGAUGUAGCAAGAGCUCUUAUGAUACAAUCUCAUUUACCCAAAAUUUAUUGGUCAUAUUUUGUGAUACAUGCUGCGCAUAUUAUAAACAUGCUUCCCACACCUGUUUUAAACUAUUCUUCCCCUCAUGAAAUGCUUUUCAAAACUGAUGCAGAUUUUAAUGGAUUAAAGGUGUUUGGUUCUUUAUGUUAUGCUAGCACUUUGUCAACAAAUAGAAGAGAUUGCUCGAAUCAAACAAGCCUUGAAUCAGACAUUCAAGAUUAAAGAUCUUGGGAAUUUAAGAUAUUUUCUUGGUCUAGAAGUAGCAAGAAGUAAGACAGGAAUAAUGGUAAAUCAAAGGAAAUAUGCAUUGGAAUUAUUAACAGAUGCAGGUCUUUUAGCCUGCAAACCUGCACCCACUCGUAUUGAUAAUCAUGAGAAAUUCUCUUCUACUGGAAGUGUUCCUUUCACAGAUAUUCAAGCCUACAGAAGAUUGAUUGGAAGACUUAUGUAUCUCACUAAUACCCGACCUGACAUAACAUUUUCUGUGCAACAACUUUCUCAAUUUCUUCCUAAGCCUACAAUUGCUCACUAUAAUGCAGCUAUUAGAAUUCUCAGAUAUAUCAAAGGGGCUCCAAGUCUUGGUCUAUUUUUCUCUUCCACUACCUCUGUUCAUCUUAAAGCCUUUUGUGAUAGUGAUUGGGGCACCUGUAGUGAUUCAAGACAAUCAGUGAAUGGUUUUAGUGUGUAUCUUGGGAAUUCUCUCAUAUCUUAGAAAUCAAAGAAGCAAGGAACAGUAUCAAAGAGUUCUUGUGAAGAUGAAUACAGGGCAAUGACCACUGUUACAUGUGAAAUUCAAUGGCUAACUUAUCUUCUUCAAGAUUUCAAAGUUCCUUUUGAGCAACCAUCUCUUUUAUACUGUGACAAUAACUCAGCAAGAUACAUUGCAGCAAAUCCAGUGUUUCACGAGCGUACAAAACAUAUAGAAAUAGAUUGUCAUGUGGUCCGGGAAAAAUUAAAGAAGGGUCUCAUCCAUUUGCUUCCCAUUUCCACCACAGAGCAACUAGCUGAUAUUUAUACCAAAGUUUUAAGUCCUCAAUCUUUUAAGAAUAUUUGUUCCAAACUGGGUCUCAUCAAUAUUUGCUGCUCCCCAGCUUAUGGCGGGGUAUUAAAGGAUACGGAUACCAGAGUUAUAGAAGGAUCCUAAUAUUAAUUGGGUGUCUUUUCUAAUUAUCAGUUGUUUCUCUUUAUAUAGGAGAAUAAUUUGAUGUCUUUUCUAAUUAUCAUUUGUUUCUCUUUAUAGAGGUGAAUAACCUUUAUUUUGUCUUGUGUGUUAUUAUUCUAGUAUUUAAUUAUUGAUUCUUUUCCUCUUUAGUUAAACCUAGAAUGAGUGUACUACUUGUAUAUAUUCAGACCAUUUGUUUUGAUUUGAAUAAUAAGAAAGAAGAGAUAUUCAUUCUCAUAUCCUUUGUCUUCAGUUUACUCUUUUGUUCAUCUCUGUUCUAUUUUGUAAUAUUCACUUCUCAUGAAAUCUCAAUUCACGUCAAAUAGUUUUUUUUAUAGAAAAAUUCUUAAUUUUUUUCUUGUAAAUACGAUUGCAAAAGGUUUGUUUGACGACAUUUAUUGACGACAUUUAUAGACGACAGUUUAGAACUAUUCUUCGUCUAAAAUUGUAGUCACAAUUUUUUGAUCUAAGUCAAGAUAUAAACAAUAGUUAUGAUGACAACCAUUGCCUAUAUAAAAAUAGAAUGUGUAGACAAUUAUUUUAUUAGAUAAUUGUAGUCUAUUGAUUAAAAAUAGAUAACAGUUGAGGAUGAAAUUGUGACCUAAAGUUGAAAAUUUCAUAUAGAGGACAAUUAUGAACUAAGAAUUGUCGUAUAUGGACUUAUUUACAUGUCCUCCACAACUCUUCUCCCUUUGUUCUUUCUACUUAACUGUCAUUAUUUUUUUGUUCUCUACUCUUUAUUGUCUUUGUUGCAUGUUAUCUCUACUCUCCAUUGUCUUUGUUGUGCGUUAUCUCUGCUCUCCAUUGUCUUCAUUUCUUAUGAUCUUAUCUAUCAAUUUUUUUCAUUUAGUUUUUUUUUUUCAUUUUGUGUGUUACAUGUUGUCUUUCUUGUGGUUUUUGCAUUUUAAGGGGCAGAGUUCCCUGCACCUGCCUUAUGCCUUCGCAGCUUGCUACAUCGCCUCCAAACCUCCCUACACCUCCUCCACAGCUCAUGCGCUGCCUCCAUGCUCCUGCACGUUUUCAUAUGUAAAAAUAAAACACUAGGUUAGUUAGUGUUUUAGGAUUUUUAGUGUAAUUUUUUAUUUUUAUUUUUAUCAUUAUUAUUUUUAAUGAAUUUAAUAUAUUUUAAUAUUUAUUUAGUAAUAAUAUUUAUAUGUUUUUUUUAAUAUUCCUGAAUCUUUCUCUGCUUUAGUUAAUACAAGUUAACAAAGAGGAGGAAAUAAAAUAAUCAAACUAAACUAAAAAAAUCGUCACAUAGACGACAAUUCAAAUCAAAAUUGUCAUCUAUAUCACAAUAUAGACAACAGUUAUUGACAAAAAUCACGGUCUAUAUUGUGACUUUUGUAUUGUUCAAUUUUGUCACAUGCUAGCCGAUGGUUGGAACCAAAAUUGUCGUCUAUGUGUAAUAAAUUUUUGUUUUUUUAUUUUUCAACUAUAGAGAUUAAGGAUGGCGGUUUGGAUGAAAACGUCAUCUAUAUGAGAAAAAAUAGACUCUAUUAUUUUGUGUUUGUACGUUUCUUUUUUAGUUGCACCACUCGACCUUGGAAAGGGGGAGCACCCAAAGAGUUCUCCAUUAACAAUACACUUGGAGGACAAUAACUCAAACAUAGAGUAAAGGGACCAAAAGGAGGAUUCUGAGUUAGAUGAAAAUGAGGAGGAUAUUCAAAUAUGUUAGUAAUAAUAGUAAAGCAAAAGGGGUUGCGAUUGUUAAGCAGAAAAAUAUAAAUGAUAAUUUAAAACAGUAAAGAAUGUAGUUUGACUCCCAAGUUCUUCUACCAAUGAUUUCAUACACGCACACACACGCACGCACGCCCGCACAUAUUUAGAAUCUACUCGACCUUCUAUCUUAACUAUUAUUAAAUUUAUCUGUAAUUCUAAUAAUUGUAAUAUAUCUAUGCAUAUUGAUUUCAUGUUAGAUGGUGAUCAUAGCCUUGGUCAUGCUCUUUUACUUUGUUAGUCUACUUAUAACAACCUUAAUGUUUCUACUACAACUCUAAAUACUAAUGAUAUCCACUCUUGUGAUACUACAAAUAGUCAUCACUAGAGCUAAGGCUAGUAUUUUUAAAAUAAAACUUUAUACUUUAACUAAUUCCUUUGUUCCUUGUGAGACAAUUUUUGUUAAGCAAGUACUAUCUUCCCUUGACUAGUACCAAGCCAUGCAACACAAAUAUCUUCUAUUAAAAAUCAUACAUGGACUUUUGCUCCCCUCGGCGCAACCACUACAAAAAAAUCAUGUAAAUAGUGGCGGUUAUUAAUAUCUGUCACAAAUUUCAAUAUAAUACGUCAUUUGACUAGCUGCUACAAUUAUCUUUCAAAAUAUGUCAUUUUCAAUUGUCACAAUUACCCUUCAGAAUAAAAAUAAGUUUUCCCUCCCUCAUUAUUCCCAAUUAUUUUGAAAAAGUUGGAAAUAUUAAUUAUGUGGGUUCUAGAAUUAGUAAAUAUUAUAUUAAAUUAAAAUAAUAAUAAAAUAUUUAUUUUUCUUCUUCUCUCUCAUGACUUGCCUGAGGAAAGAUGUAACUUCAGUGAAAAUCACUCACAUCUUCAAGAACUACGCCGACGAAGCAAACAACAGAGUUAGAGAGAGAUGAUUAGUGUUCAUUGCGGUUCUCAGUCCUAACAUUCCAAACCCUAAAUAAAUUUGUUGUCAUUCCCAAAUUUUGACUCGGAAUGGCUGAGAGCAAUUAUGUUGUAAUUUGGUUCAUGCAUCCAUCAAUGAGGUGUGUAAAUAUUUAAAUAUUUAUUUGUGUCUUUUAUUUUAUAAUUAUAAAAAUUAACUUAAUUUUUUUUCAGGCAUCAGAUACUGGAAGUGGUGCUCCAUCACCUAAUCAAAUAAUAGGAUCAAGUGCCGAAAGCAAAACUGAUUAGGGAUGUGUGUUUUAAUUCUAAAUUUGAUUAGGGAUGUAUGAACUUUUGAACAAUUAUGUGUUGUAAUUUUAAACUUGAUUAGGGAUGUAUGAACUUUUAUGUGUUUUAAUUUUCAAUUACAUAUAAACUUUUGAACAUUAUUAUUUUUUCUUUAAUUUUCAAUGAAAUGAAUGGAUGAUUAUAACUUUAUACAUUAUUUUAUUUUAUUAUGAAAAAAGUGGUGGUUAAAUUUUUAUUUAUUCAGAAUUAAAAUUACGUCAGUUAAAACACCACUACUUACGUAUAUUAUGGUGGCAGAAUCUUCUUUAAUGAAUGUAAAUUGCGACAGUUAUAACUGACACUACUUACUUAUAUUAUGGCGUCAGAAUCUUCUUAAAUGAAUGUAAAUUGCGACAGUUAUAAUUGACACUACUUACGUAUAAUUAUGGCGUCAGAAUCUUCUUCAAUGAAUGUGAAUUGCGACAGUUAUAACUGACACUACUCACAUAUAAAAACCAUCACUACUUACACUAUGUUUAAAGUGUUGGGUGUUGCGGCGGAUAGUGUAAAACCAUCACAUUAAACUUUGUGGCGACCAUUUCUAUGGCGGUUUGGGAAACCGCCACAAGCGUACGCGGUUAUAAACGCCAGUUUAUACGAAAAUAACCGCCACAAUAUACAUUUUUUUGUAGUGAACUGUGAUAGGUUGUAAAUGGAUUUUUUUUUUUAAAUAUUUAAUGAUGAUGGAAGCUUUCAAAGGUGCACAACCAAAUUGGUUGCCAAGGGCUUCAAUCAGAAAAAAUAUGUAAAAUUUAUAAAUUCAUAAAUUAGGGGUUAUUUUAUACUUAUUUUAGCAAUUAAUACUCAUAAGUUCUUAUAUUUUAAUAUGAAAUAUUACUGCAAUUUUGCACUUAUCACUUACCCAUGACCAACGCACGAGAAUCCUCCACGAGAGGCACGAUGAGGAGGCCUUUAUUACUAAUAGGGCGAUGGAGGUUUUUAAUUCUUUAUAUGCUCAUCAUCUUUUUAUAAGAAAUGAGGUACUCGACUCUAGACUUGAACUUGUUCGGCCGUUGCCAAUAUAAGGGAAAUUUAGGUGUAAAAUUUGGAUAAGAGAAAAUGGGCUUUUGGUUGUCUUGCAACGAGCAUUUCAAAAAAAAAAUUAACUUUUCGAAGGAAGAGGCGUAAAUGGUAAAUAGAGAACCAUGUUGAGCUUCGUUCAAUGAAACUCAACUGACCUUAGAAUUGCAUUUCAAAGUAAAAAUACUUAAAAUCAUUUAUGGUAGGCCUAAUAUGGAGAUGAUGGCAUAGUAUUUGAAAGAAUUUUAUAAAAACCCAGUUAUUUGGGAGGAACAACUUCCUCCAAGGAGUCCUCUUAAAUGGAAAACAAGUUUGUAUGACUCAUUGAAGAGUCAUCUUCGAUAGAAGUAACCUCUCUUCUUACCAUAGGGCUAUUACUAUUGGAGGAAUCAAAGUGAGAAAACAAAGGCAAAGAAUAAGCCAUUAAAGGAACAUAUCUAGAGAGAAUAGAAGAAAAUGGAAGUAAAGAGGAAAGAUGAAUGAAAUGCUCGAGCAAGUAUCAAAAGAAGCAAGAAGAAAAGUGUAAGAAAUAAGAAUAUCGUAACUUUUACAAAUGCCUAGCGACAUUUCACUUUCUUGUGUAGGGUUGGGUCUUAAAGCGUGAAACAUAAUUUUUAAGCAUUGUAAUGUUUUAGGGCAACAUGUCAUCCUAAGCCAAUGUGGCAGGGUCGUGGUGAAACAUCAACCACCUAACUGACAUAACCAUAAGAACUCAUCAUUAGGUAUAAAAAUUCAUCAUUAAUUUUCAUGGUGUUUCAUACUAUUUUACAAUUAUUACUAUUUUAAUUACCAUUUCUUAAUAAUAAUAAUAAUUAUUGUUUUAAUUAUACUUUAAUUAUACUGAGUUCGGAUCAUCAAGUUGGAUAAGCUUGGACCAUCGAGCUAGAUAAACUUGGCCCUUCGAGCUAUAUGAAGGGUCGCAAAGUCUGGUCUAAGGCUAGUCGUGAAAAUACGACCCAUUUUUCAAAGCUCGGCCAAAAAACAUUACCAAAGUUUAAAGUUUAGAAUAAAAGUCUGGCUACCCUAAAACCAAGUUUCCUAGCUUGUGGGGUUUGUGUACUACUUAGUGUAAAAUAAUAAUAAUAAUAAUAAUAUGGUGUUUUCUUCCUGCACCUUUGUACAUUCUUGAUGUGAAUGUAACUACAAGAACACAUGAUUCUUGACAUUCUUAGGAACAACUUGAGCUGGAUUUGAAAGGCACUUUACUUUAGAAUUGGAUCAAUGUUCUAAAUUCAAGAACUCACCAAAACUAAGCACCAACCAAGACUCAUAUGGAAGUCCAUGUAUUGUCAAAUUGAAUCAAAACAAAAGGAAAGAAGAACAAGAAUUAAAACUGGACAGAAUUUAAAUGAUAGCUACUGAACCAAAACAGAAUUGAGAACACAAUGCUGGAAACACAAAAUUAAACGGUAGAAAAAGAAGUAAACUCUAGGAAUCAAAACUACCGAAUGGAAAAUUGAAGAAAAGGGAAGAAGAACACUUAUAGAAGAAGAUGCUUGCUGGAUUUUGAGAAUUGGAAGAAGCCAUUCACGCCACUUGGAACCUUGAACCAAGAUAAGUGAUGGAGUGCCACCACUUGAAGCUCACCAUAGCUCACAAGAUAAGGCAAAGAAGAGGAAGACUCAAAACUCACAAAUUCUCUCCAAAAUUGAGUAUAGUCUCUCUACUAUAAAAAUCCAAUCUGAAUUNNNNNNNNNNNNNNNNNNNNNNNNNNNNNNNNNNNNNNNNNNNNNNNNNNNNNNNNNNNNNNNNNNNNNNNNNNNNNNNNNNNNNNNNNNNNNNNNNNNNGUAAACUUCUUUAUCUUUAGGCUUGAUCUUCUCUUUGAUUUCUUUUAAUUUGUGAGAAGACUAGAAGGAAGAACUUCAAAUGUGUAGGUGAAAAUCCUCUUCCUUCAUUAAUAAAAUCCUCUCCUAGUGGAUAUCCAUCAAUUCUUCUUGCACCUCCAUACUUUUGGUGAAAAAUCAAAUUUACCCUUAAUGAAAUUAAAAAAUAAGCCUAAGUCCUUGCACCCUCCAUAAUCUUCUUCGUUCUAAUGUAGACAAUAAUCCAAAUUCUACAAUUCGGAAGCCAUUUUAUGGAUUCAUAAAUGACUUCUGAAUUGUAGAAUUUGGAAGCCAACUUUGUAUUUCAAAUUCUAAAAUUUGGAAGUCAUUUAUGAAUCCAGAAAAUGACUUUCGAAUUUUAGAAUUCAAAAGCAAACUUUGUAUUCCAAAUUCUACAAUCUGGAAGUCACCUAUACAAAUCUGAAUAACUUAGAAUUAUUUGAAAAUGGAAUUAUGUUACAAUGGAAAUCAACCAAAUAUUUGAUAACGUAUUGAUAAGCUCCAGUAACCAUUUAAUCGAUAUUUCAAAAGGCUAUAAAUAUAGCUUAUUUAUCGAGGGAGUACUCAUACUCAACCUUUUUUAAUCACUUAAAUACUAUUAUAUUUUUUCUAAAAUUCUUAUUGACUUGAGCGUUAGAGAGUAUUUUAUAGGUGGAUCACCACCCCAUCUUUAUCUACAAAGCUUAACAACUCUUCACAAAGAAGUCAACUCGCUCGACAUCCAGUUCAAACAGUUUUAGUAUAUAUAUAUAUAUAUAUAUAUAUAUAUAAUUUUUUAAAUUUAAAGAACACCAUUAAUUUCAGUUCUCCCACAUGCUAUGAGUUUGGUGAGUAAAUGGUAUACAAAAAAUUUGGAUAUCAAAUCUGAUAUUUUUCUUAUACUAAGUUAUAUAUUAUUCUUAGUGAAAUAAUUUUUCAAAGAGGGCCAUCAAAUUUAAUUUAUAUUUAUGCUUAUACUACUAUUCCAAUAAGUUGGAAUAAGUUAAGGUUAUUGAUUUUGGCAUCAAACUAUUUUGUACGUGUUCUCACUUUCGGGAUGAGAGGAGAAGCUCAUCCCGUGCGACUAUGGAGUAUUUUCCAAUUUCUUGUAAGACAAUAAAAAUAAAACUUGUAAUGAAAAAGAAGUCACAAUAAUUUAAAAAGACAAGUUUGAAAAGGUAAAAUAACAUUUUUUUCCAUAUAAAUCCAUGUAAAAUUUACGUAAAUGACAUAUAAAAGUGUAAUCACAUAUAUUUUUUAAUCAAUUAUCCAUCAACUAGUAUAGAGAAAUUAUAGUACUGAAUUGUCCAAUAUUUUUUUAAACAAAUAAUUUCUGAUUGUAUGUUUUUCCCCAAAUCAUCUAAAAUAUAUAUUGAGAUACUUGGUUCUAGAUAGUUAUCAGUCACCAAUUUAUAUACGCAUUCAGGUGAUUUCAAGUUGGCUGAGUAUGGGUCUUGGGUUAAUGGUGGUUGGGGUGACAUGUGGCUUGGAGAAUGAGGCUUUUUGAAUGGGAAAAGCAGUUGGAGAGUCUUUUUUUGAAGGAAAUUCAAGGGUUGAGGCUUGACGUGGGUUUUGAGGAUAGCUGGGUGUGGAAGGAUGGGGAGCUCUUAAGGUAUUCGAUUAAUUCUGCCUAUGUUUUUUUAAGGAAGGAUUCAGAGGGGGAACAUAAGUAUUUGUACGACAAGUUUUGGAGGUGCAAAUCUUUGUCCUCAGCUCAAGUCAUUGCUUGGAGGGUGUUGUCUAAUAAGAUUGUUACCAAGGCCAAUUUGUAAAAGCGUGGGGUUGUGGUCGAAAAUAGUUUUUGUGGGGUGGAAGAGAAGACAAGUCGUCAUUUGUUUUUUAAAUGCAUAUUUGGCUCAUUUGGAGACAAUGUUAUGUUUGGCUAGGUGUGGUGUCUAUGGAUCACAAUGACUCUUGUUAUCAUUUUUUACAAUCUAAGUUGGGUAGAGCAUCUGAAUCUGUUAAUGAUGUUUGGGGAGCGUUAUGGAUUGCUGUAGUAAGUGAGAUUUUGAAGCACAAGAGCAAAGUAAUUUUUAAAGGUGGUGUGGUUGAUGUUUCAGAAAUUUUUACUAUUGUUCAGUUAAAGGUUUGGUAGUGGGUCUCAUCCAAGAUAUCUUCAUUUUUUUUUCUCUUAUUCUGAUUGGUUUCGUGAUCAUUUGGUUUGUAUGAGGUUAGUUAUUUGAUGGAUUUUACAAAGUUAGUUUGUUCCUUUGUUGUGUUCACGAGCUUUGUUUAUCUUUGGAGGAGUGUUUGUUGAUUGUGUUAGGGAGAAGUUAACUUUUUCAUUUUAGAUUUUUAUAAGGAUUGAACCAUUCAUGAACUGGUUUACAUUAAUUUAUUUUUUCUUACUUAUUAAAAAAAAUAAUUCAUAUACACAUCACUAAGAAUAUAUUAUAAUAUAUUAUACCAUAAACAUAUAUAUAUCUCAAUAAAACGAACACUACAAGAAAAUCAUCAAAUAGAAACCAAUUUUUAGAAACCAAAAUAAUUAGUUGCAAUAGUAACUAAAUUAGAGACCAUUUUAGAAACUAAAACAAAAAUUAGUUUCUAAAUUAGUUUCUAUUAUUUUCUAUUAUUGUUAAAUAGUUUCUAAAUUGGUAUCUAAUUAGCAACCAAUGUUUUAUCUACCAAUUAUUUAGUUUCUAAAUUUAGUCUCUAAAACCUUGGUUGCUAAUUAGAGACCAAUUUAGAAACUAUUUAACAAUAAUAGAAACUAAUUUAGAAACCAAUUUUUGUUUUAGUUUCCAAAAUGAUCUCUAAUUUAGUUACUAUUGCAACUAAUUAUUUUGGUCUCUAAAAAUUAGUUUCUAUUUCAUCAUUUUCUUGUAGUGGAAACAUAAACUUUAUUAAUUUAAUUUCAUCUUUCAUAUUAUUUGGAGGCUAAAUUUUAUAUAUAAGAAUAUCUUUAUAAAAGUGAGUGAUAUCUAAACUUACACUUUCUUUUGCAUUAUCAUCAUAAUUUAUAUAUCUCUUAUUAAUCGAAGUGUUAAAUAUUUUUCUAUUUAAUAAUAGAAUAUUAUGUGAGAAUCACCUCUGCAUGUUCUAUAGCUCGAUAAAAUGAUUUCUUACCCUCUAGAGCUUCAGACAAAAACAAAAUACAAUCCAUAUAAAAUCAAACUAAAAUAUUUUCCAUCACAUGUCCAAUUUAAUGUAGUCCCAACAUGUUCGUCCCAUAUAAUAAUGAAAAGUCACAGAUACAAUAACAUAACGUAGACCCUAUCUUUGACGCAUGUCCACAUCAGUUUGAAAACUCUUGACAACUAUUGUCGACCUUAUAUGUCCUUGUUUACUGACGCACGCAUACCCUUGGUGUGCUUCGUCACACUGAAGGGACAUGGUUUUUCACGUUUUUCUUUCCAUUUCUGUUCUCAUAGAUCAGAUACUAAUUACCUAAAAGUGUAUUCAGUCCCGUUUUAUUUAAAUUUGUAUAUCAAAUAGUACAUGAGACAAACAUAAAGAGUAGAAGAUUGCAGGGACUUGAUAUGUACUAAACAAAGAGUAGGUUUUUAUAUGAAGUCAAUUUCUGGUAGUAAUCAAAUAAAAGUUUAAAUUUGUAUAGUACGAUUUUGAAGAGAUCUCAAUCAAGAUUAUUUAUCAGAAUAAAUUUUAAAUAAUGUAAUGUUUCAUAGAUAUCCUUUGACACAAAAUAAUUAAUAUAAUAAUAUACAAAUUUUUUUAUAAAAUAUAAAAUUAGUCUGAUAAUCUACUUUAUUUUGUUAUAGUUUUAAAAGUAUCACAAUCUUAUAAAUAAAAACACCAAUUAAAAUAAAAAUAUAUUUAUUAUACUAACCUACUUCGUAUCAAAUUCUGACUUAAAUAUGACAUUGAAGUACUUUUUUUACAAAUAUACCAUCCAUAUUGAUCGGAAAUCAGAUACCCCAGGACAUCAUCAAUCCAGUAGCAGUUUAGAAAGUUUAAGAAAGAAAGAUAUUUCUGACAUUUUAGUAAUACAAAAUUUAUUUUAAUAAGAGAUUAGUAAAUGUACAUCAUUUGUAAAUGAUUAAGUUUAAGAAAUUUAAUGACACGUUUGAACACAUGAUCGGAAACUGAAAACAUGUUUGGUCUGCCUUCCUGAAGCAAAUAUGAAAAAUUUGUUUUCAGUGACAUAAUCACAGGUCAUCCUGUGAAGUAGUAUUUGUUUGGUAUGUAAAAGGAAGAAGAGAGAAAAAAGAAGAGUCACAUAAGGGGAGAAGAUCUUGGUAGCCAGCCUCGUGGUGCCUCCGCGGACAGUCCAAGACCCAAACUCCGAGGUUGUCAUUUCCACUUCGGUCCCACUUUCUUCAGUGACCUCACUUUAGUGAUUCACUUUACCAAUAUACACUCAAAAUUUAUCUCUCUUCCACUACUUAGUUCUACAUAAUAAUCAAUAAUGCAUCUAAAAGAGGGUCAUUUUUUAUCAUCUGUUUCUAUAACCCGUGUAUAUAUUAUAAAUGUUACUUUGUGUACUUGUGAAAUAUGUUAGUAUAAGUACGGAAAAAUCAGGAGGAAUGUUGAUAAUAAAAACGUGGAUGAAUAAUGUUGUGGACUAUAAAACAUUACCUCAGGUCAGAAGUCGCCAACACUGCAUGGCUGCAUUCACUUGGUGUCCCCGAUAAGUGGAGCAAAGCUUCAAAAGCAAUUUCCAAUCAGCUUCAUCAAAGCUCAUCUUUUAACGCCUUUCUUAUUCCCUUCAAUCUUUUUGACAAAACAUAUUCUCGUUUUAGUUAGGUCAUCCUUAUUCUAAAUCAAAAGCAAUUAGUUGGCCCCUAAAACGUGAUUCUAUGCCAGAAAGGUCAUAAACCAUAGAGAAUUAUUAAACAAAGAAUAACUUUUCUUCCGAAACACCUACGCUUCAAAGUCCUUGCACUUGAACCAUGAUAGUGGGGGAUUUCUUUAGAACAACAACACGUAUAUAUUAUGUAACGAUGACUGAUACCUUUUAUUUUACGACCAGACUUGGGUUUUAGUUUUCAAAUCAUAUUAUAUUAGUAGAUUUUGUUCUGAAAAAUUAUUAGUAGUGGUAAAAAAGGAAAGAAAAAAAAACAGGUGCGGUAAGCGAUGAUUACAGCUCUGUACGUAUAUGCGUGUGCAGUUCAUAAUGCAGAGUGGUGAUAAGUGAUUUUACGUGUUUUGCUGUGAAAGCUGUUGCCAUUGUCGUGAGAGUGCAAGAUGGCCGAAACAAAAAAAGAAUAAGCCAUGAUAUCUUUAUGAAACUUGAACUAGGUAGGAUUCAUCAAAUCAUAAAAGAAGUUAAUGUUUCUUCUCUUGAUAUUUGGCCUGAGAUAAUAAUUCAACCGUUGGAGUCUGGGUCUGCAACUCUUUUCACGUAGUUUCAAGCCUCCUCAGAAGGAUCACCAAACACUAGAAAUGGAAAACGAGAAAAUAUUAUAUAGAAAUCAUGAAGGCUGUGUCACCACAUACAGAAAACACUCAUUAUAAAUUCCCUUUCCCAUGAACUCAGAACGUAAAAAGCUCAUGAGGAAUUUGUCUUUUCAGCAGACUAAGUAGCGCUGUUCAUCAUUUGUUUUGUCACUUCUGGUUCUGGUCCUGAUUAUACCUUCUCAUCUUCCCAUGAAUGAACAUUUGUAAACCUUUUAUUUUAAUACAAGAGCAAGGGGUUGUUUACAUUUGACAGAAAAUACGUGUACAUAAUUAAUCAAAUAAACAAAUUUAUCUUUCUUACAUUUCUGUACUUUUUUCUCUGAUUUUUAUUAUUUUUACGAUGUAAUUUUCCAGGCUUGUGAUUGAAAGCCCCAUUAUUUUAAAUCUUUAAUCUUAUUUAAUGGUAUUGUAGUGGGCUUCAUAUGAUUGAUAAUGGAUGGAAUGCAAACAUGAUUGACAUCACAGUCUUUUUAGAAUGUCUUUGCAUACCUUUUUAUUUAUAAAAAAAAAAUGGCUAGUUGAAUGGAUAUGUCAUGACUUUGAAAUGAGUUAUAACCGUCUUCAAAUAAAAUAAUUUAAAUAUGUAGAUCAUAUUCCGAUGAUGAAGAAAGUGUUGCUUAAGUUUAUAGAAUAUACACAAUACAUGUUCAUGGAGGUAGACAGAUUUAGGAUAGUGUAUUAGUAGUAAAUGAAGUGAUUGAAGAAGUAAAGAGGAAAAAGAGUAGUUGUGUAUUCUUUAUGUUUGACUAUAAGAAGGCAUACAACUUAGUUGUUUGAAAGUUUAUUUACUACAUAUUGGAUACAGGAGAGGUUAGAUUUAUGUGGCAAGUAGAUUGAUUGGAUAAGAGCUUGUCUUUUGUCUUCAUCGAUUUCCGUGUCAGUAAUCAGGAGUCAUACUAAGGAGUUCAAACCAAGGAAGGGGUUGAGACAAGGAGACCCCUUAGCACCAUUUCUUUUUUUUAUUGUGGUAGAAGGUUAGUUGGAGCUAUAAGCGAGGCGGUCGAGAAAGAUUUGUUAGAAAGUGUGGAGAUCGGAGGCUGGUCCAUAAAGGUUAAUAUGCUUCAGUAUGCGGAUGACACGUUUUUUUGCAAGACGAAAGCACAAAGUGUCUUCGUUAUCAAGGUCAUUCUAAAUUCCUUUGAAAUAGCCUCUGGCCUAAAGGUCAAUUUUCAGAAGAGCAAAGUCGGAGGGGUAGGAUGCAGAUACCUGGGAUUGCCGGUAGGUGGAUGUCACCAAAGAAGUAAGUUCUAGAAAAAGGUGGUGGAAAAAGUGAGAAGAAGGUUAAGCAAAUGUAAAGGUAAGUUUAUCUUUAUGGCAGGUAGACUUUGCUUGAUUAAAUCGGUGUUGUCUGCUUUUCCUCUAUUUUUCUUGUCUUUGUAUAAAAUUUCGAUUAUGGUGAUGAAGGAAAUAGUAAGGUUGCAGAGAAACUUUUUAUGGGGAUGGGGAUCAGAAGGCAAGAAAACAGUGUGAGCUUCAUGGAAAAAGGUUUAUGAGUCAAAAGAGGAGGGAGGGCUCGAUAUGAUAGAUUUAAGGCGUUUUAAAAUUGCCUUGUUGGGAAAGUGAAUUUAGCAAUUAGGUUUUGAAAAUACGGGUUUGUGGAAAGAAGUUCUAGAUUCGAAAUAUGGAGGUUGGAGGGAACUCCGGAGUUAAAGAAGACUGUUACAUACGGAUAUAAUCUGUAUGUAACUUAUUUAAAAUUUUAUUAAAAAAUAACAUAUAAUAAUAUUAAUAAUAUUAAUAUUAAUAAUAAUGUUAAUAAGUAUAAUUAAAAUCAUAAUAUGACAAAAGAACUUGUCUAGUGUAGUGAUACACACCAAUAAACCCUAUCUUGGCCCCAACAAUUACAGAAAUACAACAUGUCCUUGGUUUUUCUCAAAUGUACUCAAACUAAAAACAUUUUUUAUGUUAUAUAUUAAAUUAUUGUUUUCAGUAUAUAAAACAUAUUACAUAAACUAACGUAAAUUACACACUUAAAACCGUCACAUUAUACAAUGCAUUAUAUGGCGUCUACUACAACGGUUCUCACUUGACUGCCACAUUAAACUUUGUGGCGGCAAGAAUGCUGGCGUUACGCGGUACCGCCAUAGAUGUAAAAUGUGGUGGUUAUAAACGCCAGGUUAUACGAAAAUAACCGCCACCACAUACACGUUUUUUUGUAGUGAUCUAAAAACUUCUUAGUAUUUUCAAUCAAUUGAUUUAAAAGAUAACAUAUUGAAAAACUGUAACUUUCCAGAAAACAAAAUUAAAACCAGUUGAAAAACUUUUUAACCAGUUGAAAAAUGUUUGUUCUUGGAUUCAUCAUCAUUCCAAAAGGUAAAAGAUAAAUCAAGACAUACAAAAUAAAAACUAAACUACCUAGACACAUAAGGCAUCAAGUCUUCAAUCAUAGUUUCAUUAAACACCAAAGUUGGAUCCUUGAGAUGUCCAACAAUAUCAACCUUAAUGAUAACAUGAAUAAGGAACAUAGGGAGAUUUUGAGCCAACUAAACAUUAUAAGUAUGAGAAACAAAUCCUUAUUUAAAAAAAAAAAAAAUUGGGUUACAAUGGUUUAAACAUGGGGAUUCUAAUUAUAUGUACUUUCAUGCCAUAAUUAGAUGGAGGAGAUUAAAAAACAAAAUUAGUGGAGUUCAUAGUUUGGGCAAUUGGAUUGAAGAACCACUUAUGGUUAAGGAUGAAGUCCAAUUUUUUUACACAAAUAGGGGUAAGGUUGGACAAUAAUGAAUUUCAUAGGAUACUGAAAUCGAAUAAUUGUUUUCUGAUUGCCCCUUUUGAGGAAAAAGAAAUUAAGGAAGCUAUUUGAGACUGUGGGAGUUGCAAAAGCCCUGACCCAGAUGGUGUAACUUUCAACUUCACUAAGAAUAAGUGGGACAUUCUAAAAAAGAUGUUAUAGUUGCAGUGUAGUCUUUUCAGAGUUCUGGUAAUACACUUAGGGGAUGCAACACUUCCUUCAUUACUUUAACUUUAAUCCCUAAAUAUGUAAAUCCAUAAUCUGAAUAUUGUACAAUCUGAAACACAAGUUUUAGCUUCCAGAUUCUAUAACCUGAGAAGUCUUUGAUUUUACAUUCCAGAAUUAAAGAAAAAAUAUUCAACGAAAAAUGUCAAUGAGUAAUUUGAGUAUUUUUCUUAAAGUAUGGGAUGCAAGAAGAUGGGCAUGGAGGUGCGUUAGAAACUACCCUCAAUCCCUAAUUCAUAACACCUUCACGAAAUUCAAUAAUGGUUUUUUAAUAUUUUUUUUAUCUUUUUAAAAUACAUAGAUUGUUUAGGUUUCAAUACUCAUCAAAUGCUAAAUGUAGUAGUCAAACCUUUGUUUCAUGGAUCAUUAAAAAUAAAUCAAAGUAUAAUAAAAAAAUCAUUUUGUUUCAUAUAAAAAUAUAACACUACAAGACGGACGUAAAAGCUAAAAAACGGACGCUUAUGCGUCGGAUUAUCGUCCGUUCCACAUCCCACGAAAAAAGCCUGGAAGCAAAUGAAAACUAGCGUGGUCCAGAAAGUUGGACGCAUCUUGCGUGGGCCAAGCCCACGCAAAACGGACGCAACAUGCAGAAGCUGGGUAGACGUAAAAUGGACGCAUAUGCGGCGGCUUUUGCGUGGGCAGAUCCGACGUAUAAUUUUUAUUUCGCUUAUGCGUCGGUCUGGCCGACGAAAAUGAUAAAAAUAUAUAUUUAAAAAAUAUCAGAUUUUGCGUGGGCUUGGCCCACGCAAAAGCGGACGCAUGUUUUAAAAAAAAACUUGUGUGGGCCUGUGGCCGACACAUGUGAUGAAGAAAAAAAAACAUUUCAUUUUGCUUUCUAACCAGAUUACCUGUAAAAAUUAAAUACCAACCAAAUCACAUUCAAACAAAUUACUAUCAUUCACAAUACAUCCAUAAACACCCAAAUCCACAAACACAUCCAAAGUACAAAAGUAAUAGAAAUAGUUAAACAAAAGAUAUGAAUACUUAAAAAAAUAUUACAACUAAAAUUGUACAUUACAAAUUUAACUAGAAGUAGCAAAAUGAAUCUCAUAGUGAUGUGAUAAACCUGUAAAAAAAUAUAAACAAUAUAAAUAAAUAAAUCAAAUAAUUAAAAUACUUAAUAUAUAAUAAAAAUAUCAAAUAGUUAAACUUACAUUAUAGGAUGCACUUUAAGGAACAAGGUUGAUCAUCUUGUUCUGGAUCAUACUCAUAAUCGAAUUGUGUUGUGCUAUUGGAAGUAGUUUUGUCACGUUCCAUAGAGAUAAGUCUAUCUUUUAUAACCUUCAGCUCAUCCUCCAGGUGUGCAUACUUCUGACUCCACAUACUAAGUUCAGCACGAAGCAUUUGAUUUUCAGUCACAUGUCCAGAUUGUGAAGUGCCGGAAGCAGAGGCUUGGGUGAGAGAAGAGACUCCUUGGCGGAUGUUAGCAGCCAAGUCUGCCGUACCAUACACCCGACCUCUACUCUUUCCUCCGGCAGCUUCCUUCCAUGUUUGAAGCUUAGUUGUAGGAUCAAGUUGGUGGACAUCAGUGUUAGAGUCCUGAAAACUAUUUGCUUGAAUGGCCUUCAAGCGCUCAUGAUACUUUUCCUACACAUAUCAUUACAAAAUGAAAAUGUUAUAAAAUUAAAAUAUAAAUAUAAAACAAUUUAAAAGAAUAACUUACAUAAGUUUCUCGAGCACGAGAAUCAACCCAUUCACCCUUCUUAUUUGUGUGGGUGGCCAUAAAUAGUUCAUCAGGUUCUGGAGGACAGCCAUAUUGACGUUCCUAACAAUGUUGUACAAUUUAAAACAUUAUAGGUUGCAAAUGUAAAAUGAUUUUCAUGUAAGGCAGUGACAAGUACUUACCAAGGUAACUGCAAUAUCUGAAUGUGAUUUUCUACCUGUGGAGUGCAGUGCUCCACCACGAGCUGAACUCCUAUUGGCUUUAUUUUGAGUUGAUUUAUCUUUGAAUUUUUGUGAAUCCCAAUAGUUUAGAAGUUCAACCCAUGCUUGCUCACCUAUCCAACUAGGGCGGACAACCUUUGUCCUAGCCUUAGUCAACGUGUCACAAAGUCUUUUUUUGACUUUAGACUCGUAGACCUUUUUAAUUUGGCAUUCAUCAUGGGGUGCCCAAGUGACUCUAGUCUGUUAAAAAGAAGAAAAUAGUUACUUUGAGUCCACAAGAAAAACAAGAAAACAAGUGAUUGUAGUUUGUCAAAAAUUAAAAUUACCUGAAAGUCAGUCCAUCAUUUCAGUUUUUCCUCCUCAGGCAUGGCAUCAUAAUAAUGAUAUGGACCUCUAAAUUGAGAUCGAAUGCAAUGUCCAAUGGCCUCACUAGCAAAAUGAUUUGGUGUCCAACUACAAAUACAAACAAAUAAAAUUACAAACAUAGUAAUAUAAAGAUAAAAUUAAAUGUACAUUUAGGAUGACUUACCCUCUACCAAGAAGUCGGAUGAUGACCCUACUAGUAGGGUCACGCUGGACCUCCUCAGGGGGGAGGUUAUGCUCUGAAGCAGCAGUGGCACCAUGGUCAACAUGGUCAACAUUUACUCUCUGCAGCCCUUAUUUAAUUUACACACCCUACAUCCCUUUUUCUAAUUUUCUGCUCCAAUAUGCUGCCCAAUUUUUUUACUCUCUGCACCCCUAUUUCAUUUUAAACCCACGUCACUAAAUGAACUUUAUUGUUUCAAUCAUCAAUAUUUUUUUUUAACACUACAAAAAUUAAAAACUUCAUAAUUAUUAAGAAUUCUAAAUAAAUAAAAAUUUAAAUUAUUUAAACCAUGGAAGUUAGCCUUACUAUAGUUUUCUCUACUGGAAGACCAAUUUAAUAUUGAGAAGGACCCAAUCACACGGCUGAAAAUCAAAUUUCUACUAUUCUAAUAAUUCAUGUAUAAGUAAAAUGAUUUGGGUUAACAACCCAGGAAGUAGAUUGAAGAAAAAUAGUUUUCGAAACUCAAUUUUACAAAACAGUUUGAUUUAAAUUAUAAAUAAAGUUGUCAACUUAGAUGAAACAUUCACUAAUUUUGAUAAGAAAUGACUUCAAUAAGGCGUAUGCAAAAGUGUAUGAAUGAUCAAGUUUUGUUGUAAAGAAACAGAAAAGAAAAGACCAUAAACAAGCAAUCAUGUAUCUGUACACAAAUAUCCAAUUGUGAAGACAAAAACGAGAUGGUAUUUGUCUAUUUCAUUAAACACUGCACUAUCAAUUAUUAUAAGGAAAAAGAGAAGUGAAGACAAAAACUAUUUGGUAGAAUAAUUGAGUUUCAUUGACGGGAUUCGUUUAAUAAUUUUAUCCAGUGGCUUAAGAAAAGAAUUAUUUACAACAAUUCUUCAAUACAACAAAAGUGGAUGAAUCCAAAUUCAAAAUCGGAAAGACGAAAUUUAACAUCUUUAAGAAACUGCGAGUGACCCACGAGGCUCAUAUAAAUGCGCGACAUCACAAUAAUCCAAACCAGCAACCAACAAUAAUCCAAACCAACAAUAAUCAUACCAGAAACCAACAAUAAUCCAAACCAGCAAUAAUCCAAACCAGCAAUAAUCCAAACCAGCAACCACAGCUCAAUAUCCAAAUAAAAAAUUGGUAAAAUGUGAACCUGAGGAGGAGGCAGACCUGGACCGAAGGCAGAGCAGGACACGGAAGGAGAGCUGCACGCGCGGAGGAAGCUCGACGCGGAGGAAGCUCGCGCGGAGGAAGCUCGGCGCGGAGGGGAAGCUCGACGCGUAGGAAGCUCGACGCGGAGAAAGCUCGACGCAAAGGAAGCUUGACGCGGAGGGAGAACUUGACGCAGAGGAAGCUCGACACAGUGGAAGCUCGCGCGGAGGGAAAGCUCGAAGAGGAAGCUGAACGCGGAGGAAGCUUGCGCACGGAGGUAACUGAAAUUGGGAAAUUAGGUUUUCAGAGAUUUGGGGGUUUUGAUAAACCGGGAACAAAAAAAAAUUUCUAUAUACUCCCAGUAUGCGUCCGACAUCCGACGCAUACUUUAAAAUAUUUAAUUUUAUUUUAAUUUAAAAUCGAAUUCAAAAUUUAAUAAAUAAAUUAAAACAUUUUUUAUAUAAAAAAAUUUAAAUUUAAUAUAAAAAAAAUAAUUUCAUUAUAUAACAAAAACUUUUAUUAAUUUAUAAAAAAAAUUAAUUUAAUUUAUACAAUACAAAAAUUAAUUAAAUUUACACAAAAAUAUUUAAUUUAAUUUAUACAAUAAAUAUUUACUUCAAUUUAUAUAAAAUAAUUUAAUUUAAUUUCUACAACAUAAAAUUAAUUUAAAUUGUAAAAAAAUAUUAUUUAAUUUAUAUUAAAUUUAUAAAAAAUAUUUAAUUUAAUUUAUACAAUAAAAAAUAACUUUAACAUCUACUACCACAAAUAUCAAUGAAUCCUAUUAUUGAAAUUGCUCAUGAUACCCUCAUCAUCCCUUCUAACUUAUAAUCCAAAAUCUAAUAAUCAACUAUAUUCCAUGAUUCUAAGUUAAUUCUAUAACUAUCACGAAAUGACUCAUAUUUCUCAAAUUGCUUAUGAUACUCUCUUUCAGCCUUUACAAUGCACUUCUUAGUUCAACUCUUACCUUGACAAUGGACUACGUUAUUAACUUCUUCCUGCUAGGGAGAUGAGACCUAGACAACUAUUGAAGUCUUCGUCUUCUUCCCUCGGUCAGGCAGAUUGUUGGGUGCUUGCCUGGGGUCCUUCUCAUCUUCGUGCUUCUUUCCUCGGCUCUCGGUCUAUGGCGAACACCGAUGGGGGAUACCUGUGAAGGCACUCUGACGCUCAAGUCAGUGAAGCGGGUGAUCAGUAUUCUCGUAGGUGAACAGUAAUAAAUGACGUACCUUUCUUCUUGGAAUGUGUGCUUUGUAUAUUAUUUUAAUGGGCUGACCUUAUUGGGUCUGAUUAGUGGAAUGAAUCUCGUUUAGGGUUGUAUUACCUUAUCCUUAAUGACGGAUUAGCUUCACUGACCUUAGUUUCAGCGUUAACGGUAGUAUGGGUCGGCCGACCGUGAUGAUUCCACUCGUCUCAGCCAACCUUCCAUGGUCUCGACCAAGUCUCUCAGGUCUCGGUUGCCUCAGUCAAGUCCCUCAGGUCUCUGCCAGGUUCCCCUUGGUCUCUGCCAAGUUCCCCUUGGUCUCGGUCAGGUACACCAGGUCUUGGACAGCCAGGUGGGUCUCGGUCAAGGAGACCAAGUGUCAGUCUUGCCCAUACCGGCACAUAACUUAUAAUCCAAAAUGUAAUCAUGAACUCUAUUCCAUGAUUUUAAGUUCAUUUUAUAUCACACACAGUCGAAACUUACUUAUUUAUGUUACAUUUAUUAAAAACUAAGUCUACUAAAUUUACUAUGUCAAAGACCUAUUAUUUAGUAUAUUGGGAAACUAUAUUAACACACUUAUAAGGAAUAUUGCAUAUGUAUCAUCUCGUUACUUACUACAUUAUUAUGUGCUUCAGUUGGAAAACAUUAAUUUCUUUUCGAAAUCAUACUCAGUAACUAUAACAAUGACAUUUAUAGAGGAUGUAGUCAACUUUAGAACACUUUGGAUAUUGUAUCAAUCUAACAAUUAAGAAUAAGUUACUUACUCACGCACUUAAUCUUAAUAUGUUUGUAUCAUAUACAUUUUCGCUAAUUCAUUAAGAUGAUCUUAUGAUUCAUUUAUGAGAAAUAACAUCUUCAAAACUGUACUGGAUAUCUAAACAAAAAUCCUAAUUCAUUCAUCCAUUGCACACAUAUAACAUUUAAAUUUAUUUAAGUUACUAAUCAAAAGUUUUAUCUAACUUUUUUUUUCUUAAACUAAAUAAAACAUUUUUAGAUCAAAUUUAUUCUCUAUUUUUAAAUACAUCCAUUACCAUUUGCAUUAAUUAAUUACUUCAUCUUGAAUUGAUAUUCUUAAAUUUAUGUAUAUUUUAUAUAAUAUUUACAAAAUUUAAAUACACAUUUUAUUUUUAUUUUUUUUUACUAUUUUUUAAUUAAUUAUUAUUUUUCUAUAUGUUUUCAAAUCUUUAUAAACUUUUUAAGAUAACUUCUUUUAAAUAAUUUUAAAAUUAAACACUUCAUCAAUUUAAUAAAUGUAAUUUAACUAAUUUAUAUCAUAAUUUCAAAAAUAAAAUAGUUAUAACAAUAUAUAAAUAAAGUAAAUUUAAAAUAAAUAAUUUUUGAAAUAAUAAAAUAUUUUAUAUAACAUUUAAAUAAUUUAAAUAUAUAUUUUCUUUUACUCAAUUAAUUUUAAAUCAAACACUUAUUUAAUUUAAUAAAUUUAAUUUAACUAAUUUAUAUUCAAAAUUGAUAAAUUAAAUAAUUUAUUAUAAUAUUAAAGAAAUAAUUUUAAAAUAAAUAUAAUAAAGAAUUAAAUAUUAAAAUAUUUAUUAUACAUUAAAUAAAUUUGAAUUUUAAAAUUCUAAAAAUGCGUGGGCCAUUGCGGACGCAUAUGCGUGGGCUUUGUGGCCGACGUAUAUGCGUGGGCCGCGGCCGACGCACACUGAUUUUUUCUUAAAAAAUAAAUUAAACCCAUUUGUGCGUCCCUUUUGCGUCCAAGGUUAUUCUUGCGUGGGCUUUUAGCCAUUUUGGCCGACGAGAGUAGCGUCUGCAAGUGGCCCACCCAAAAUUUUGGAAGCUAAUUGUUACUUUUCUUGUAGUGUAAGUAGUUGAGGUUUUCAAUUUUUCAAAUUAUUCUUUUCUAUAUUUCAAUUUUGUUUAUGCAUGCUACAUUAAUUUUUUAAUCAUUAUGUUAUACUUUCGAAAUACUUUCAAUGGUUAAUGCAGCCAUACAUAUCAAUAUUUGAAAAUAUAAAAUGAUAUUAUACUGAUUACCACAAUAAAGAUAUAACUCUAUUUAAAAAUAUAUUUAUUUUAUUUUAAAUUUAUUGAGAAUAUUUUAAACAUUAUUUCAUAUUAAUAGUUGAACAUACAAAAAUAAUCAUAAAAAUAAAAAAAAAAUUAAUAUCAAUACAUUUUGUAAAUUUGGGUUACUAUCUCAUUGAUUAGUUAAAAAUCACUAUUACAGUGAAUUGUCUUUCCAUAAAAUUAUAUACAAAUUUUAAAAUAAUAUUACAUAUUUUAUAGCACUUAUAAUUAAGAAGAGAAAAAUGUUGAUGAAUAUGCUGAUACUACAUACAAAGUGGUUCUUUGUGACAUAAAGUUGCUUCAAAUUAUUGAAAGUAUUGCUUGAAUGCGAGAGAGUGAUGAUUUGAGAUAGAAAUUUUUUAGAAGAGAAUAUCUAAAUUACAGAUACUACGUUCUUUUUCACUAAUUUUUCUAAUGAGUUCUAUGAAAAGGAUUUAUGGAGAAUUUUUUAGCAUUGGGAAAGAGUUCUAGAUGUCUUCAUCUCUAGAAAGUUAAAUGUAAAAUAAAAAACAUUUUGGAUUUGUUAGAUUCCAUGGGGUGAAGGAUUCACUCGCCUUGGAAAGAAAGUUGGAUUCCAUUUGGAUAGGAACCUGGAAGUUGUAGGCAAAUAAACCUGAGUAUAGUAGGUAAGAGAUUCCAAAGAAAGAAUGGACUUCCAGGCAGCGAGAUGUUCAUACUCAGAAAGUCUGGAGUCAAAAGGAUCAACAACGUUCUUUUGCUCAAGUUGUUAAGAGCGGAAAUGCGAGCAACGCCCAUAAGAGUGUAGAAGACAACAUGCCCCAAUUCAUAGUCAAGGUGGAGUCAUCCAAGUGACUCGAUAAGUGCUUUUUCGAAAGGUUGUUGGAGGCAGCAAAUGUGUAGUCCAUCAAGGAGAGCUUUUUUCUGGGAGAGUUUAGUGAGAUUAAGAUACCUAGGGGAAAAGUAUGUGCCCUUGUGUUGCGAAUACGGGGGCAUAAUUGAGAAGGCAAUUAUUGAGAACAAAUAUUGGUUUGACAAUCUUUUUGGAUCAAUAGUUCCUUGGAACAACUCUUUUGUGGUAACUGGGAAGUUUGUAUGGGUUAGUUGUAGUGGUAUCCCGUAGGUACUCUGGAGCAGUCAAUGUUUUGAAUGCAUUGGGGCUUUAAUCAGUAUUGUUGUAGAGGUUAACGAGGCAACCAUUGCAAGAGAGGUGUUAGAGUUCGCGAGGUUGCGCAUCAGAAUCCCAGUGGGAGAGGUGGCAAAACUAGUGAAAUCAGUGAUAAAAAAUGACAUCUCUGUCAGGUCUCCCUUGAGGAAGAGAAUUGUAUUCCAUUUCCCUUGUUAGGGUCUCUCUAAAAUAAGUGGGGCGCAGUCACUAAGGAUGAAUCUAAGGCCCACUUGGGCACUAGCGUUGGAGAAGAG